rnacentral:lncRNA from 1 species
GUCAGAUGAAAGCAAAUGCAACUACAGAAAGCCAAUGAAUAAUAAACUUAUCUAAUACUCAGGAACUUCGAAAUUUUUCUUGAGCAUUUUUACUUUGUUCCAGCAUCCUACUCUCCGUUGCAAAAAUUUGAACCUUUGUAUGGUCAGAAUAUUCAGUUUUCUUGUCUUGUGUUAGAUAUACUGGCUAAAUUGCCCAUUUAAUCAUUUUAACCCAUUUAAUGUGUUUUUUCUAAUAUUAAUAUAAUAAAAUUCAGUUUUGCUAUGUGUAAAGAAAAAGUGCCGCCAGAAUUGUUACAAAACACAUUUAGCAGUUUUUUAUUGGACAAUGACAAAAAAAAAAUAAUAAUAAUAAUAAAUAAAAAAUGAAAAACAGACCAAACAGAGAUGCUGGCAGUAAUUCCUUUGUACAAGGGGAAUUGCUGAAUAAAAUUUUAAACACAACUGGACAAUACACAAAUAAGAUUUUAACAGUUUUUUUCCCUAAACUGGAAAGAAUGAAACCUAUUGUAGAAAUGAACAGAAGGGGGAUUCAUUAGAAACGGUGCUGUUCAUAAUUCAUAAUCUGUAUAAUUGUUAAAAUCCCCAAAACAAACGAAGAAAAGUGCCAACAAGAAAUAACUUCCAAGCAUUGAAACAGAUCCAUUUUCUCAGCUCAUUCAUCCGUUAAUCGCCGUCCUGACAACCUGAUAAAUAACUGCAAAAGUAGAAAAAAUAUAACGUCUGCCGACAAUUGAAUAAUUAUAUUAUUCCCAGUUAAUAGUAUUCAAUUAAGCACAGAGAAGAAAAAAAAAAAAACCUUACAUGACAAUAGUAUCAGAACUGCAAAGAGGACAAGAACCAUGAGUACAGGUUCCCAUUCUUCUUUCUUAGAUGAUUGAGGAGCCAGUCCUCUCCUUGUGAUAUUCUUUUCAAAUUUCGCUGUUUUCUUUUCUGCCAGACUUUUCGAAGUAGUCUGCAAAUCUUUCUUAUCAUCAAGAUUUAAUGGAGUUGGAAAACAAACUUGUAUAAACUGCCCCUUGACAUGGGGACGCUAGAGAAUUUUCAUGAUUAUCCUUAAUCUCAAAUAAAGCCUAUUGGAGAUGCUCUUACUGUCUUACAUAGCAAAAUAAAUAAAUAAGGAAAAGAAAAUUCAGAAUCAGAUCCCCAGGAAACUGCUAUUAAUCUUUAUCUUUUCAUCCCAGGAAAUUCCAAUUGCGUCCAAGCUGUAUAUUUCUUGAAAUAAUAAUUUCAUAUUUAAUGCAAAAACAAGAGCAUCAACCAAAAAUGGAAUAUGUGGAAAUGUAAAAAUAAAAUUAUAUUCCUUAUUCUCUGUAUCAUAAAUUGCGGCUUAAAAGAAAGGAAGAAGAAACUGAAGGUACUCUAAAUUUCGCUUCAGAACUAUCACCGCUCAGUCAUCUAUAUUCAGACAAAUUCAUAUAUCACGUUCUAUGGAUAUGAAAGAAAUGAAGACAUCUACGGAAUCGAUUCUCGUAUAUUAGACUAUUUAGCUUAGCUGGCAAUAGCUGGCAAUUGAUUGUAGUACCGUUAGUUAGUUAGAUGAAGUUAGUUAGUUAAAGUUAGUUAGUUAACUGCAGUUUAGUGAGCUGGGAUAUUCUGUUUGAUGCUGGCAUAUUCUGUUAAUGAACCAAGCUGUAUUUAUAUCUGGAUGUACGACAUUUUUAGAUGAAUGAAUCAUUUCUUUCAUUUCAUAGCUUUCUUCUUCAAUAUGGUAUCAGAGCAUUUCCUUUUUCUCUGAGAAAUCCUAUUUGAUUUGAAGUUUCAUUCAUGGCUUUGAAUGUACCGAACUCAACAUCAAAUAAUCCUUCAUCGUCAGUCAGUAAUUUAGUUACUGAUGAUGGAACCAGCCCGUAUUUUCUACAUCAUUCGGAUAGUCCAGGUCUUGUCCUCGUUUCACAGCAGUUGGUUGGGGACAACUAUGCAUCCUGGAGCCGAUCGAUGAUGAUAGCACUCUCAGUGAAAAACAAAUUAGGAUUCAUUAAUGGAUCUAUUCCUCGGCCUGAAAAUGACCAGGAAUUACUCAAUUCAUGGAUCCGAAAUAACAACAUUGUCAUUUCCUGGAUUCUCAAUUCUGUAUCCAAGGAAAUCUCUGCAAGUGUCAUAUAUUCCGAAUCUGCAUAUGAGAUUUGGAAGGAUCUAAAGGAGCGAUUUCAACAAAAGAACGGGCCACGCAUAUUCCAGUUGAGGCGAGACCUGAUGAAUCUCACACAAGGUCAGUUAUCUGUCAGUGCAUAUUUCACAAAAUUGAAGACAAUUUGGGAGGAACUCAGCAACUACCGACCUAUGUGUUCAUGUGGAAAAUGUGACUGUGGAGGUACUAAAAGACUUGCUGAACAUUAUCACACGGAAUACGUUAUGUCCUUCUUAAUGGGGUUGCAUGAGUCCUUUGCUCAAGUUCGGGGUCAAUUACUGCUGAUGGACCCUAUUCCUCCCAUUAACAAGGUCUUUGCCCUUGUUUCUCAAGAAGAACACCAGAGGAAAGUUAAUGAAGCUAUGAAUGCAUCUGGAUCUGACUCCAUGACCUUUCAAGUUCAAAGUAAUACUAGAAAGGAUGGUGGAUAUUAUUCCAACAGAAAUCAGAAGAAAGAGAAACCUGUGUGUACCUACUGUGGAUACACAGGCCAUGCAGUUAACAAGUGCUACAAACUGCAUGGUUAUCCCCCGGGUUAUAAACCUAAGCAAAGACCUGUAAUGAACAGCCAAGCUGGAUCAAAUAAUCAUGCUGUUGCCAAUCAAGUUUCUGAACAUCAGGUCACUGAUCUUGCCGUGGAUCAAUCACAAGGAAAUGUUGAAGGAUUUGUGAAAGACUUGAUGCUGAUCAAUACCAGCACCUGAUUAAUAUACUAAAUAGUCACCUCAAGGCUGCAAAGAUAGAUACAGAGAUGAACGUUAUCUCUGGAAAUGAAUCAGGUACCUGUUUCUCGAUUUCUGUUAAUCCAUCAAUUACUUCGCCUAAGUACUGGAUAGUGGACUCGGGUGCCACAAGCCACAUUUGUUUUAACCAUUCGGCUUUUCACACUAUGAAUCACAUUGAGAAUACAUAUGUUACAUUACCAAACCACACCAAGAUCCCAGUGCAUUCAAUUGGGACUGUGCAUUUGUCACCGGAAUUGGUACUGAAUGAUGUAUUAUUUGUCCCGCGAUUCAAGUUCAAUCUGCUAUCAGUAAGCUCCUUAACCAGAAAAUCAUCAUUGUGUAUCAAAUUUCUCACUGAUUCAUGUAUCAUUCAGGAUCUGCAAACUAUGAAGAUGACUGGCAAGGGUGAGAGGAAUGCAGGCCUUUAUGUGAUGGAAGUUGAUUCUGGUUCAUUUCAUCAUCCCAAAAGUGUUAAUUCCCCUUGUUUUUCAAUAGUUAAUAAUGUGACUGAUAAGCUUUGGCACAAUAGGCUUGGUCACUUAUCAUAUCAGAAACUGAAUUUGUUGAAGGACCAAUUACGGUUUGAUUGUAAUAGACAAAAUGGUGACAUUGUAUCUCCUUGCCCCAUCUGCCCUUUAGCUAAGCAAAGGAGGUUAUCUUUUGUUUCAAAUAAUCGUUUAUCUGCUGCUGCUUUUGACUUGGUACACUGUGAUAUUUGGGGGCCAUAUCACACCCCAACACAUGGUGGUCAUAGAUAUUUUCUCACCUUGGUAGAUGAUUGCACAAGGUUUACUUGGAUAUAUCUUAUGAAACAGAAAUCUGAUGCUAAUUCUGUCAUUCCCAAAUUUUUCACUCUUAUUGAGACUCAAUUUCACAAGACAAUCCAGAAAUUCAGAUCAGAUAAUGCUCGGGAAUUAAAAUUCACAGACUAUUUUAACGCAAAGGGAGUCAUUCAUCAGUUUGCAUGUGUAGAAAGACCUGAGCAAAAUUCUGUAGUGGAAAGGAAGCACCAACAUCUCCUUAACGUGGCUCGGGCUUUAUUUUUUCAAUCACGAGUUCCCAUUCAAUUUUGGGGAGAUUGUGUGCUAACAGCUACAUUUUUAAUUAACAGAACCCCUUCCCCAAUCUUGAAAAACAACACUCCAUUUUCACUAUUAUAUGGCAAAGCAAUAGAUUACAGUUUUCUAAAGGUCUUUGGUAGUCUUUGUUUUGCCUCAACACUACCAUCCCAUAGACAUAAGUUCCAUCCCCGAGCCACAGCAUGUGUAUUCAUAGGCUAUCCUCCGGGCAUUAAAGGCUAUAAAUUGUAUGAUAUCUCAUCAAAAUCUUUUUUUGUCUCUAGAGAUGUUGUAUUUCAUGAAAACCACUUUCCUUUCCAUUCCAUACCUCACACAAAUGAUCUUAUUGAUCCAUUUCCUGAUAUUGUUUUGCCACACAUUACUUCUGACUCAAUACCCUAUCACUCAAAUCCAUCCACAACAUCCAAUCUACCCUUGGUUGAUAAUGAUAAUGGCCAAGACUCCUCUGAUGAUGAUAAUGGCCAGGACUCCUCUGACCUGCCCAUCAUUCCUUCUACAUCUUUAACCUCAAUUCCAGAUUCCAUUGAGGAACGAGUACUAGAUUCUACUCAACCUUCAUCCUCUCUCCGUAGAAGAUCAACUAGAAUCAGCAAAAUUAUAUUAUUCCCAGUUAAUAGUAUUCAAUUAAGCACAGAGAAAAAAAAAAAAAAAACCUUACAUGACAAUAGUAUCAGAACUGCAAAGAGGACAAGAACCAUGAGUGCAGGUUCCCAUUCUUCUUUCUUAGAUGAUUGAGGAGCCAGUCCUCUCCUUGUGAUAUUCUUUUCAAAUUUCGCUGUUUUCUUUUCUGCCAGACGUUUCGAAGUAGUCUGCAAAUCUUUCUUACCAUCAAGAUUUAAUGGAGUUGGAAAACAAACUUGUAUAAACUGCCCCUUGACAUGUGGACGCUAGAGAAUUUUCAUGAUUAUCCUUAAUCUCAAAUAAAGCCUAUUGGAGAUGCUCUUACUGUCUUACAUAACAAAAUAAAUAAAUAAAGAAAGAAAGAAAAAAAGGAAAAGAAAAUCAGAAUCAGAUCCCCAGGAAACUGCUAUUAAUCUUUAUCUUUUCAUCCCCAGGAAAUUCCAGUUGCGUCCAAGCUGUAUAUUUCUUGAAACAAUAAUUUUAUAUUUAAUGCAAAAACAAGAGCUGAAGAGCAUCAACCAAAAAUGGAAUAUGUGGAAAUGCAAAAAUAAAAUUAUAUUCCUUAUUCUCUGUAUCAUAAAUUGCGGCUUAAAAGAAAGGAAGAAGAAACUGAAGGUACUCUAAAUUACGCUUCAGAAAUAUCACCGCUCAGUCAUCUAUAUUCAGACAAAUUCAUAUAUCACGUUCUAUGGAUAUGAAAGAAAUGAAGACAUCUACGGAAUCGAUUCUCGUACAAAGUGAACAAGUAAAAACUAAAUUUUUGUUUUAAAAAAAAAAAAAUUCCAGAUGCAUUAGCGCAUGCAAAAGGAAAGUUAUCGGGAUAGAAAAAUCUACGGUGAAGCCCAAGUUACCAAAAGAUCAAUGGGGAGGGAGGGAGGGGGAGAGAGAGAGAGAGAGAGAGAAGCCUCUACCAUGAUCUUUCCGCUUGGAGACUGGUAAUGCUACCCGAGAGAGAAGAAGGAGAUGAGACAGAGAAUGCGAGUCUGAAAGACCUUUUGGUAACAGCACGGAAACCUAGGACUUUUGACACAACUUAUUCAGUUAUCCCAUCGUGCGAUGCUUUGUUUAUUUCAAGUGCGUAUUCAAUUGAGUGACUUUUUAGAUUUAAAAAGGUAUUCAAUAUAAAUUUUUUUAGAUUCUUUAAAAGUAUUGAUGUAUUUAAUUAAAAUUUUUAUAAAUUUUUAGUAAGUCUCUAAAAUUUACGGUAUAUUCAAUUGAGAUUUUUAUAAACUUUUAAAAAGUCUCUAAAAAUUACGGUGUAUUUAAUUAAAAUUUUAUUAAAGUCUCUAUAAAUUUUGAGUAUUCAAAUUUUAAUAAUUUCUAAAAUUUCUAGAGUACUAAAUUUUAAGCAAAAAGUACUCUAUAAGAUCUCAAAAUUUGUCAAUCAUUAAUCAAGAAAUUUUGGGAAAAUUUUACUAAAAUUUGAUUUUUUUUUUCAAUCUUUCUUUCAUUUUCCUUCUAUGAUUAAAAUUUAUUUAUUUUUAUUGAUUAUAUUUACAAUUUAUUUCUCUCUCUUAUUGUUUAUCUCUAUUUUCUAUGAAAAAAUUAAAUUGAAUUUUUGUAAUUUUUUUUCUUUUUUUUCAUUCAUUUUUUUGUGAAAAAAUAACUAUUUUUUAUUAAAUGAUUAAAUUUUAUAUGAAAAAUUUAUAAUUAGAUUUAACUAUAUUGAUUUUUAUUUAUUUUUAAAAAUAUAUUAUAUUAAUAAUAUUGAAUAUUAAAUUUAUUGUUUAUCAUAUAUAUGAAUAAUUUUGAUUAUUAUUUAUUUAUUUAAUGUCUUAAAUUUUUAUUCUUUUAUUAUUAUUUUUUUAUUUAUAUGGGAAGAAAAGGGGGCAAAAUGAGGAAUUGUGGAAACCAACACUUCGUAUGUGAGAAUUUCACACCAUUAUACUAAAUCCACUGAAUUCUAUUUCAAAUGAAAAUUUUCAAAAGUUUUUUGAAUUAUAUAAAAGUUUAUAAAUAUUUUAAAAUGAAAGUUCAUAGAAGUUUACGAAAAACUUCUACUAAUUCCAUACAAAUCUAUAUAAAAAGAAAAUCCAUUAAAGUCUUUAAAAGUCAAUCAAAGUUUUCAAAAGUUUCAAUUGAAUACACUUAAUUUUAAAAAUAAAAAUAAAAAUAAAUCGAUUCGUGGCUGGUUCGACUCAGCUCACUAAUUGAAGAAUUGAGCCGAGCUCAAAUCGUUCAUAGGGUCAGUCAAAGCUUGGACAUCUACGCUGACUUAGCUCAUUAUCACCUCCAAGUCGACAUAAUUCACCCUUUGUUUUCAUUUUGGAGAGAAUAACCAAAAUGUGCGUUGUAAACGCUUUUGAGCUCUCACAUUGGCGAGUCUAUGAUUUCCUUGGAGUUCUGUAUUGCGAAGUCAUGAGAAGGAAAAUCAUGCUGCUUGGAGAGAAUGUCUUUUGUCACAAAAAAUAUUUUGAUUAUUUUUUAAAUAUUUUUUUGAAGGAAAUAAUCGCAAGAGGUACCAAGCCUUCUCAAAGUUGUAUCAAUCAGUUAGAUACAAAAUCAUCAAUAAAUAGAUCCAAAAGUAAACAAACAAGGCAUUCGAUAAUAUAAUUGAAUCCAAUAAACUAGAGGAAAUACAAUGUUGAUUUUACUACCAUUUUGUAGUAAAUAAAUUUUUUUUUAACUUGUCACGUGAAGAAAAGCUCUUGUGUAUGUGGGAAUUGAAUACGAGAUAAUUCAUAAUUUAGUAUCUUAAAUCUUUUUUAUAACCAAGAGCGGAGCUAGGGAAAAAUGUUGGGGUGGACUGAAAAAUAAAAAUAAAAAAUCAAUGAAUUCACGCCAUGAAAGAUUCUACAUGCCCCCCAAACAUAGUUGAAAAGGCUCAACUUAUUACACUAAUGACAAAGUGAGUUAGAUACUCAAAUAAGUUUAAACAUAUCAAUCCUAAAGAUGUUUUACUAAAUCUUCAUCGCUUUUCUUGCCAAAUAAAAAAUCUUGACACCUCCCUAUAAAAUAUAAAAUGUCGAAAACAUGGUAGCCAUGAACAAAUAAUGUAUACCUAGAGGCGGAGGCCCGUAUAAUUUUUUUAAGUAAAGAUUUUAGAAUUGUAGUCCAAAUGUUUGCAUUAGCCCAGCUCUAAUUUAAAUCUUAACCAAAGUCCAAUGCUCAAUUAUUCAAAUUGUAAUAAAGACACUACAAUUAUUAAUUACUCUUUUCAAGACAUUCAUGAAAUGUGGAUAUUUUAUUGUCAAAUUAGAUAUUCUAUUUAAUGCAUGUUUGACUAAAAUUUAUUUAUAAUUAUUAAGUAAAUUUUAUUAUAGAUAAUUUGUAUUGAUUAGAUCUAAAAGUAAAUUACUUAUUCUAAUAGUUAGAGACACUAUGUAUUUUUCUAAAUUACGUACGUUUUCAUUCAUUACUAAUUCGAAUUUGUAAAAAAAAAUACUUAUUUUGACCAUAAAGUAUAUAUUAUGAUCAAAAAACAACUUACUAUAAAUUUGAUAUUGAAAAUAAAAAGAAUAUGUGUUAAACAACUUAUUUAUUUAUAUAAGUAAUCUAUAUCAACAAUGUAAAUAACUUUUUUUAAAACUUUCAGUUGUUUGGAAAGACUGGUUGUCAAAGUUAUUAGAAAAGUACUCACUAAUUUAUUUUUUUAAAUGUUCAUUGGUGAAUAUGUAUAUUUUCUUAAUUCUAUCAUGAUUCGGUUAAUUUAUAUUUCUUAAGGUAGGCAUUGAUUUUCUAUUUGGUAAAAAAAAAUACAAAAAUUUAGUGGAAUAUUUUAAUUCGAGACAUCUAAACUUUAUUAUUUUAUUAAAUGUCAUAUACUUUCUAUCAUGAAUGUCACGAAAAUAACCUCCGAAACUCAAUUUCUUGUGGCGUAAGUUCAUUUAAAAAAUUUUAAAUUUCAGCCCAUCCUAACAUCAUUUUCUAGCUCCACUCUUGUGUAUACGCACCAAAAAAAUUAAGAAAAACCUAUUUUCACUACUAUGAGACAUAGGGUCUAAAAAGAACAAGAAGUCAUCCAGUUAUUAAAGGUUUUUAGUCAAAAUACACCGUUUUGAAAAUAUUAUCUAAUAUGGACAUUAGUCUUCUAUAUAUUUUAAUUCCAAAUGAAGUGGGAAAAAUUGGCCAAGAAUAUUGAGAGUUAAAAAUUGGAUUUAUUUCACUUCAUAAUUUUAAUAAUGUUAAGUUAUAAAUAAAUAAAAUUUUAAGACAUAUUUUUCUAAUAAAAUUAAAUAUAGAGCAAGUUACCCAUUUUAAUAAUAACAUCUAUUUAUGGUCAAUAAGUAUUUUUUAACUUAUAAGUAUAAUUAAUAAAUGAAAAAAAAUUUAAAUUUUAAUUACUUUUAAGAUAAUAAUAAUUAUUAUUAUUAUUAUUAUUAUUAUGUCCCUCACCAUAUUUUACACGUAUGGUCAAUUUCAUUAGAUAAUUUUCUUGCUCAUAAGCCUACUAACAUGGAAAUGCUUUCUGAUGUGAAGAGGUUAAAAUAUCAAUUAAUCCAAUUCUGUCAUCUCAUUUGGGUUUUAUUUCUUUAUACUACUGCAGCAAAAAUAAAGUUGUUUUUGGCCUUUUACCUACAAUCUUAAAUUUUAAAAGUUUUACUAUUUUGAGCAAUAAAUUUAGAAGUGGGCUAAUUCUAAAAUUUGGUCUAUUUAAGAAAUUAGGCUGGAAGUGGUCAAAUACUCAAAUAUUAGAGAAAGUGAAUAGUGGGUUAAUUCUAAAUUUGGGCCUAAAUAUAACUUUUUAAGAAAAACGUUACAAAGCAAAAUAGGAAAUGGCCCAAUCCGCCCCUGGUUAUAACUUUAAUAAAACGUUGCUAUAUUGACUAUUGAGGCAUUAGACUCGAUUAUUCUUAUAUGGAGUUCGUAUUUGGAGGCAAAGAUAGGUUGGUUUAUGCAGUUGGGGGGCCAUUGUCACAAUGCUAUUUAUUGAUUAACGUUUAUUUUUGUCUGUUUAUGUGGUAAUAGAAUCCUUGUCAAAAUUUAUUGAUUAAUAAUAUUUAUCACUAUUGGUAUUGUUUACCCACCCCUCAGUCACUACGAACACCCAUAAUCAGUGCAAUGAGAUGUGUCUAUUUAUCCAUCUCUUCACUCGAAAUGGGAGCAGGUCGUACGGGCCAAUCCGCCCCUGGUUAUAACUUUAAUAAAACGUUGCUAUAUUGACUAUUGAGGCAUUAGACUCGAUUAUUCUUAUAUGGAGUUCGUAUUUGGAGGCAAAGAUUGGUUGGUUUAUGCAGUUGGGGGGCCAUUGUCACAAUGCUAUUUAUUGAUUAACGUUUAUUUUUGUCUGUUUAUGUGGUAAUAGAAUCCUUGUCAAAAUUUAUUGAUUAAUAAUAUUUAUCACUAUUGGUAUUGUUUACCCACCCCUCAGUCACUACGAACACCCAUAAUCAGUGCAAUGGAAUGUGUCUAUUUAUCCAUCUCUUGACUCGAAAUGGGAGCAGGUCGUAAACUCCAUCUCAUUGCCUAACAGACUUGUGGUCAUAUAUAGCCUUGUUCCAGUUUAUUUCAUAUAUUGAAUUAUGUUGCUUUUCAAGUAGGAUUAAUCCAUCUCACAAUAAAACUCUAUCGAAAUCUUGUUAAGAGCACUACAGUAUGCAACACAUUUUAAUUGCAAUAAAGGUCUUAAACAUCUACAAUUAAUAUUGAUGAUUGGUGGGUCCGACGCCUAUUUGGCUUCUUUUAUUGACAUAGAUCAUGUCUUGAAUCCACUAAAGUUACAUAAGGCAAGGCGUAUCAAGAUAUCUUUCACUUCGUGAUUGCAAAGCUAAUGUAAUUUCCAUCAAAACCUCGGGAGUAUGUAAUACGUUGAUCAACUCGUGAAAAUUUAAGUCAUUGGAUUGGACUUAAUUUUCAUAAUACAUUAUUGCUAGACUUAAUCCCAGAGCUUCUUAUCACAGAUAUCACCUUGAAUCACUAGUUCUUGUUUAUAUUACGACCAAAACCAGUAGUAUCUUUCACAUACGUUUCAAGGGUUAUGUCUUAAAAGACAAUGCAAGAACCAUAAUUGAACUAGUACUGUGUCUGUGUAUACACAUAUGAAUGCCUGUGUAUGAUCUUAGUCUACCAGCUUGCAUCGCUCUUCCCUUGGUUUCCUCCGUACAAACGGAAGAGACUGAAAGCAGAAAUGGCAGAGAGAAGCACCAUAACAAGGCUUGCAAUGACAGCACUGGCAAUGCCUUCCCCAAUUUGAUUACAGAAUUUCCCAUACCAGUUGCAAACCUUUAUCCACUGCAGUUCACUCUGCCCCAUCUAGGAAAAUACAGCAGAUUGAGCAGCUGCUGCAACCGCAGACAAAGUCAAGUACGCCAUUAUCCGCACAAGUACGUUAAUUUCAGAUGUUAGGAAACGAGCAAGAAUAAAACUGGACGUCCAGGCCCCUGGACGUCCAGGCCCCUGGACGUCCAGGCGCCUAUUUGGCGCCCCCUAUUGGGGGGUCGUCUGACAGUGACAGGCGACCCCCAGUACAAACGGAAGAGACUGAAAGCAGAAAUGGCAGAGAGAAGCACCAUACCAAGGCUUGCAAUGACAGCACUGGCAAUGCCUUCCCCAAUUUGAUUACAGAAUUUCCCAUACCAGUUGCAAACCUUUAUCCACUGCAGUUCACUCUGCCCCAUCUUGGAAAAUACAGCAGAUCGAGCAGCUGCUGCAACCGCAGACAAAGUCAAGUAUGCCAUUAUCUGCACAAGUACGUUAAUUUCAGAUGUUAGGAAACGAGCAAUAUACAUAGAGGUUUAUAGUGGUUUACUCUUAACGUCGCAUCUCUUUUGCACCCAAAGAAAUAGUCUCCUAAAAAUUAUAAUACAUAUAUGGCAUAGUCAAUCUACUGCAAUAAUAUUUGUGACUCGCAAUGAAAAGGAUAAUUGAACAAUAAGAUAAGGCUCCACUUAAUCCGUGAAAUGGACCACUCAUUGUAAAUACAGAGAAGGAUUGAACUGUAAACUUUCCCCCAUCUCAGUACUCUGCCUAAAUUGUAUGGCCCCUUGAAGUUUAGAGAAGGAUUGAACACAUUUAAUGCAGGAUGAUAUGCUUCAUUCAAAUUACUCGUAAACUUUGGCACUAAAAUUAUCUAAUUUUCCAGUUGCCAAUCCCCUAUUCCAAAUAGGAAGACAUCUGAAAGAAAUCACCUUUUUGUGUCUAUUACAUAAAAAUCAGUUUUCUUGGAGUGUGUGGAUCUUAAAUGAAUCUGUCUGUUUGCUUAUUAUUACUCUGGAACAGGGCUUGAUCUUAAAUUAUAAGUAUCAACAUGCCCUAUGGUUAUGAAGUCAAAGACUCGUGACAGAUACAGACAGACUGAAGAAAUUAAGCUGUAGAAGAGUGAUAUUUGGUACCUGAUCUCCAGAGAAAAUGACCCAAGCCAAGGGCUUGUUAAAGAGCACACUUCCUCUAAUCAUACUCAAAACACACCUCAAAACUUGGAUCACGGAAUAGGCAGCAGCUAACCCACUGGCUAUUACCAAGAAUCUGUACACUCAAACAUAGGGAAAUCAUAAUUUAAUUAACAACCCAUUUUUGGAUCAGGGCUUAAUCUAUAAUGAGAGAGAGAGAGAUCUAGAUCUUACACAAGGGCUUUCAUGUCUGUAAAUUUAGCCUUCUUUUGUAUAGUAAAGAUCACUUUAACCUGAGAGUCGGUUCCAAUAAGAACAGCAGCAAGAAUGGCUAGACCACAUACCAAACACCUUAAACUCAGCUCUGCAACCCUAACUCUCCUAUCAAUUACCUUCAAAUUACUUCCAUGAACAUUAUUAAUACUAGUUCCAACACCAAGAUAACUCAUAUUUACUCCUAUUACCGAAGUAGGAAGAGAACCCACAAAAUAUAUAAGCACAAGGUUCACCUACCUACCACAUUCCACCACUUAUGAACACCUAAUCAGUAUACUUUUUUCUUCUGUCGAGUAUUUUUUUUUUUUUUAAUGGAAUGGGAGAGAGGACGAAUGUUCAAUCUUAUCGUUUGAGGAAUAGUGGAAAUUAUGAACCAUAUUUUCCUACAUAGUGAAAGAGUUGGUGUGGAUGAAUGUUUGACAAUUGCACAAGAGUAGAGUUGGUAAAAUGAUUGAAGUGAACACAUUUGGAACGCGAUUUUGUGCUCUGGUGGGCCAUUGCGGGUACACGUUUACACCUUUGUAAUAAUAAUCCUCUCCUAAAAUAAUUUCUUAUGCAAACUAAUCUCUCAACCAUAUGGUAUAGAUUCAAAAUUUGAUGAUAAUAAAGUGUAAUUUAUUGUUAGAUCAUUACCUAACCAUGAUAUUUACUUCAUGUUUGACAAAGUUUUUUUGACAUUAUAAGUUGAUAUUUUCAUAAAAUGUGAGAUUAAAAAAUGAAUAAAAAUUGUGGAUUCAAUCAAAUAUGAAAUUAAAAAUAAAGUUUGAAUUUGAAUAACUUAGAAUCUUAGAAGAACUUUGCCAAACAUGGACUAAAUCAAAUACUUCUCUCCAAAAAUGUAAAAUACAAAAAUAUAAAUUUGAGCACUUACAAAAAGGAUAAAUUUCCAAUAUUAUUUUUUUGCUCGGAGACAAAAAAUUAUGUGAUAUCAAUUAAUGAUAUCAGAACACCUAGACCAGUUCUUAGCGCCAAAGCUCUAAAAAUUUUCACAUUGUUAACAAUGAACUACAUCUUAAGAAUUCUGAAGCUGAUAUCACAUAAAAUGAUUCUAUUAUUGGUAUUUCUGCUUAGUUACGUUCAAGAUUUAGGGCGCAAAUGGCUUGAAAUCCUGCCUGGUUUUUAUCAGCAAUUUUUUUAAUAGUGGGAAAAUAAUAUUUAACAACUAACAUUCGACUGAGCUUAUACUCAGAAUUCAUGAUAUAUUAAUCGGGAAUUUAGUAUGAGAGUUUUGCUAAUGCUUUUACAUAAAAAUCAAAACAUUCUUGGGACAAGACAAGAAGCCCCGCCCGGUUCAAGAAUUGGUGAUCAGGGAAGAUACUCAAACUUGCACGAACCAUGACCUGUCAGUAUGGAAAAAAAAAAAUUAUAUAAAAUGUUGCUUAUGAACAUCUAUCACAUGAAAAAAUACCAAGCACAUGGGAUUCACCAUAUUUUCAAGAAAACGAAGAUCUAGAUUUCGGAAAGUUUAGGCUUCUUUGUUGGCAAGUUCAUAUCAAGACAUUUUUUUUACAUGUAAAGUCUCAACAUUUAAAAGUUCUGAGUUCAAGUUUCUCCACUGUACCUAAAAAAUUAUAUACUUGCCAACCGCACACAUGAGGAGCAUAGUGAAAACAACUUAAAUAACUAAACUCUAACCUCUUGAGCUUAUUGAAGAAGUUGUCCUACAUGUGGACGAGAAUAUUUGUUUGCUUACUUGGAUUUUCAGCGGUUAAAAUUGCAGCAGAAUUGAAGUAGCAACUUCCUCCUUUAUGCUUGAACUUCUGAUAGUAGCUAUUGAAUGCAUAAGAAGCAUGAUCCUUUACUGUAUUUGGAAUAUGGCAAGCUUGGUUUGCCUGUAUCUUACUGCACUCUGCACCAUUGCUACAGGCCCAACCAAGAGCCCUCUGCAGUUCAUCAUCUGGUGUUUGCUCAUCUGCUAUGCACCAGUCCGCGAACUGUCCCUCUAACAUCAACCAAAAAAAAAACGUAAAGCGAAGUUAGAUGACGUGUAAAUGAAAAUCCAGGCACUCAUUCCGAUGCAGCCAACGAGAAGUUAAAUUUCAGCACGACAGAAUUCCGACACAACCCAGGGUAAUUAAUUCCUACGACAACAGAGCAAAUUAUAAAUCUAGCAAGGACGCGUAAUGUACAGAUCUAGAUAUGUGCUUCGCAAGUAACACAGUUCAAUGUUUACCAGAAUUCCACGAUAAAGAUAAGAAGAAGAUCAAAGCUAAUAGAAUCUUCAUCACGGCUGACGGCAUCGACCUGAACUUGUAUCAACUCGUAGACUUUAGAAGGAUGACACCAAGAAGUUCCUGGAUUUUUACAGAGUCUUUGCACACAGCAAGAAAUAUAUAAACCUUCUCCAGAUCCAAGAACAACAGCUUCAGAUGUAAUCCACUUGUAAUACCAGUAAUAUCCUUUCUUUACAAAGUGAAUACUGUUCACCAAAAAGAUUAGUAGCAAUAGGAACAAAAUGAAAUUUAAUAAUGAAGAAAUAUAUAUAUAUCAGGUCGGACGGAAAAUUUUGUUUGUACAUAAUUAUUGCAUAUAAUAGUGUCUAUAAUGUGAUGUGGCAAUCAUCCGAUUAUUAACGUGCGUGUGUGAGAUUUGAAUUAAAGGUUGGAUCCAGUGCUACAUAUAAUUAUAAACAUCAUUAUAUAAACAAUUAUAUACAUAUAACACUUUCCCAGGUUGGACUUGUUAUAAAAUUCGACGAGAUACACUAUAAAGAGGGGAAAAAGAAAAGAUAAAUCUGCGUGGAUAUUUUAAUUUCUGCUUUUUUAACUGGUAAACUUGUCAGGGCAGAUGAGUCAAUACAUAUAAAGAUGGAUAGCCUAUGAUAUGAUUUGCUGUCAACAGAGAGCAUCAAGAUUUUCCUCCUCCUGAAGGAAUCAUAAAAGGGUAACAAGAUUCUUCUGUUUCGCUUUUCCAAAUUGAUUUUGCACUUUUGUUUCUCUACAAGAUCUGAAGAGAUUUUAUUUUAAUCCCGUUUUAGAUCUAGUAAUUAAUGUGAAUGAAAAGAUUCUCUGGUUAAUGACCCACAAAUUAUCCUUUUUACUGUAUAAGUCAACUUUCUAUAUCAUGUGAUGUCUGGUUUAGGCUCGGUACUGCCCCAUCGGGAAAUUAAAAAAAAAAAAAAUUGCAAUCCACACCAAGACGAUCACAAAGUUUGCAUAGCUAUAACAGAUAAUAGAUCAUUGACACAAAGUAUCCUAAACGUAGUCUUCAAGUAACUUAAAUCAUUUAUAUCGUUCCACUUUUAAAAUUUGAGCAUUCAAAUCGAUUAUUCUUUGAGCUUUCUGUUUGAUUCUGUCCAUUUAUUUUGUUAAAUAAAUAGGUGGGGGCUUCGCAUAUGAUGUCAAAAAUACAAUCUUGCGCUUAAAAAAUUUAAAUAAACAAAGAAACGAUAUUAAAAAAGGCAAAAUAGAAAUAUAAAAACAAAACAAAGGAAACAAAAAUUAAAGAUAAAAUAUAAAUUAAAAAAAAAAUCUCUAUCUUCUCCAAACUCCGUUCCUGUCCAAAAGUGGUCAAGAAAACACUAAAAAAAUAAUAAGAAAUAAAUAAAUAAGAAAUCACAAUUGAAGUCGAAGAAAAAUUUCGCCAAAUGCUGAUGCAGAAACAAGAAACAGGGACCCAAAGAUAUAAACAAUGACAAUCAUGAGUAUAAGAUGAAAAUAAUUCUAUAUAUACAUUAUGGUGUUCAUAAGAGUAUUCAUAAUGUACACGUCGAAUUCCAUGAUUGGAGGGAUGAAAAAUUUAUUUUUCAACUCCCUAAUUAUAUUAUUCCACUUGUACAUUAUGAAUACCCUUAUGGACACCAUAAUGUACAUAAGAUAAACACUCGUAAAAAAUUCUAUCAACUUCUUGUUUGACAAAUAAACUAUGCAAAAAAUAGUUGGUGGCGAUUGUCAAUGCUCUUGAUAUGUUCAAUGCAGGAAAUUCCACCAAAGAGUGACUGCAUUCUGGAAGAUCUAAACCAUCCAUGUUCCCACAUAAUUCAUCUGUCAGCUUAUGAGUAAGUUAAUAAAUGUAGAUAUAGCUAAUUAAAAAAAAACCUUUAAAAAAUCAGCAAGUGAAGAAUGCAUCUCUUCAAAAAUUGUGUCCUAUGAAGAGGUUUCAACAAAUCCUAUUAAUAUUUGUCAUUUAGCAUCCAAUAAAGCUGAUUUCCUAACAAAAAUUAGGGCAAGAGAUAACAUGAUUAUGUCCAAAUAAAAAACACAAUUACGUACAUCAUGUGAGCAUGUGCAAAUACAGAAAUAUCUGCACACACACACACACACAUAGGAGCGUGCAGGUGUGAGGGGUGGUUUGACGAUGGGGCAAAGCAGAAAAUUUAAAGUUGCAAAAGCACAAGCGAUUCAAUUUCCUUUAGAAAUUAGAAUUAUUAUUCUUCUAUAGGUAAUUUCAUUCUAGAUUUAUUUAUCAUGGAUUUUAUACAAAUCACGUAAAACAAAGUGCAAGCAACUGGCAUGCAGCUCAAGUUCCAAAUAGACCAAUGCUUCGUUCUAACAUAGUGAUGUAUUACAUCAAAAGAGGUUACAAAAACAUCAACAAUGUAGUUCUUUGUGAGUGAGGCAUGAAUAGAAGGAUGUGAUUUUGGUAAAUCUCAUGGAAAAAGGGUGUCCUUCUACACUAUGAAUGGCCAAAACACCAGAAAAGUAGAGCCUCAGAUUUUAUAUCUUUACUCUUUGUGUCAAACAAUGGUGUAGAUAGGUGGAGGAGGGUUAAACAAUUUAUCAUUCCAAAUAUAUUAGGAUAUCAUGGUCCACUGGGGUGUUGGGAACCUGAAUCCUACGUCGAAAAUAUGGGCUUCCUUUGGUUUAUAAAGGCUUGGAUUCUCCAACCUCAACGGCCAGCUUUUGAAUCUGGCUCUUCCAUGCUCUAUUACAAUGUGCCCAAACCAAACUAAUUUUUCCAUCAUAGCAAGUCGUUGUUCAGUCAUUCAGUUCUAAAUGGCAAGAUGUUAGCUUCACUCUUCAGUUACUUGGAAUAGUUAAUGUACCUUAAGUUAUUACUUAUAACCCAUUUCUAAUCUCACCCAUUCUCCAUUUUUUAAUCUUUUUUGUUUUUUUGUUUUGUUUUUUUUGACAGAAUUCAGCAGUAUAGAUUCUUUAACAGAAAAGCAAACAUCGUAUGACGACAUUCCAAUAAAAUGAGACAUAAAUGGCUAAAACAAGAAAAGGCAAAAAAUAAAAACUUACCCACUUCUUGAAUUAAUUAAUACAACGUAUCCCUAAAUUUCUCUCUCUCUCAAGUCCGAGAUCAAAUGGAGAUCAAUGGAGGAUCAAACUAAUUUAACGGUUGUGGAUUUUGGGAAGACAAAGAUUAGCGCUAGGUUUCAAGAUUUGAUGAGAGAAGAGAAGACGUGGGGUUGGGGAAGAAAGAGGGGAGAGAAGAAGCCAGUAUUCACAUGAAUUGAGACAGAUGGCUUUAUGAAGAAAAACCGGCCAAAUUUGAUCCAGGCAUGUGGCGGAUUCACAUGUAUACACGCAUAUUUCUGUCCGAAUCCGAAAUUACAGUAGCCUGGAAUACAUUCAGCAUUCUGUAUGUAUUUUGUUGACCCCAAAAAAUGUUGUCAACAGAUGUCGGUCCCACUCGCGCACACGUGGGUGAAUGUCCAACACGCUAAGACACGGGGACGGUCUAAAAUGAGCGGUUCAAAGGGCGUGGGAGUAGCCCAGCGACGCGGGACGAAGACGUUUGAAAUUCGACGGGUUGUUCGUGAUUCGAUUGUACAAUAAUUACCAAUCGGUAUUCAUCUAUGUAUAUGUAAAUGUGUAUAAACUCGAUUUGUAUAUUACAAGUAAAUGAGAGAGAGUUGAAUAAAGUGUAGUUCUUUAUAUUAAUUCUUGCAUUGGUCUUUUGAUGUUAUACAAGGGAAGUAUUUAUAGUGAUACAUGUGAAAUGGGAGCCUUUGGAUGAGGUGGCACGUUGCCUCAUCUUUUUGAUUCAAACAUCUUAUCCUAGGAAGGGGGCUUGACUUACUAGCUUGCUGCGCAUUUAUUGCUUAUGCAGAGCCUCCAUACUAGUGACAAGAUUUGACCUUUAUGCUUAUGACAAACGUUCCAUCAAUCAUUCGAAUGAGAUCUUUGUACAGAUGAUUUCUUGGGAGAAGUGAACAUGGAGGAAACUCCCCUGUUCUUCGGAGGCUCCUGCAUCAGUUUCGGGGCUUCGGCCAUUUCACACAAUACUUCCGCUUGAGGGCUUCAGCUACCUUCAACUAGCUUUAGCAUCAUGACUUCGGUGAAAGGCGCCUCGACUAUUGGACUUCGGCUUGAAGGGCAUUGCCCAACUCGGCUGGAGUGCCACGUGGUUCGGCCUGAGUGGGCCAUUGGCCCAGGUGGAUUGACCAAGUGUGACAACAAGCAACAAUAGUCCCCCAAGUCCAAGUAUGAUCAUUUAUGUAAUGCGUGGACUUUAAUGAAGUAAAAAUUGAAAGAAUUUUUUGAACUCCAAAUAAUAGUCCCCGAAGUCCAAGUGUAUAUAUUUAUAUUAGAGUUGGAAUUAGAAAUGUGUUGAAAUUGAAGACGAAAAUGAGGUGGUUUGAGAAAUCGAACCUGCGAGGCUUGAUGGCUAAAUGUUGAAGUUGAAGCCGAGGUGGUUGGGAAAUCGAACUGCGAGGCUUGAUGGCUGAAUGUUGAAGUUGAAGCCGAGGUGGUUGGAAAACCGAACCUGCGAGGCUUGAUGGUUGAAUGUUGAAGUUAAAGCCGAGGUGGUUGGAAAAUCGAACCUACGAGGCUUGAUGGCUGAAUGUUGAAGUUGAAGUCGAGGUUCAAUGGUAAUGAUUAUACCUCGAUGGCUACGCCAAUGAUUUGAUAUUUUGUGCUUGUUUUCGAUGAAAAGACGGCAGACCCGUACGACUUCCAAGGCGCCUGCUGCCGUCGAAUUAAAAACACAAUUAUGAGGACAGCUGGAGGUUCUAGAAGCAGACGCUUGAAUCUGGGGACGGGGUGACUGGAAUGCACGCUUGAAUCUGAGGCGUAGGUUUGAAAAAUCGUUUGAAUUCAACGCCUCGAAUUUGUUCUUCAGUGAGGGUUCAGAUUGACUGAGAUUCGAUCUGACGGCUGGGGCUCAUCCUGGACCUCUAUAAAAGGUAAGAGAAUCCCAUUUUUUAGGACUUUUGAAACUUUGCAAUUUGAUUCUCUCUCAAAUUCCUGAAUCUUUUCGGCGUCAAGGCUGCUCGUUUUUUUAUUUUUCGGCUUAUCUCCGUUCGUGUAGUGUUCUUCCCUUAAGUAUCAUUCGCAGAAGAAUCUCUUUUUUGUUGCAUUAAUUUUGUGAGAUGGAGUCCACCUCGGGUAGGGAGUUGGUGACGGUUGCGUCGUUAGAUUAUGAGGUCAGUCAGAGGGGGGAUGCCGAGGCUGAUAGUUAUGCCAUGACCGAGGACCUAGUAGAUUAUACUGAAGAGUGGGGGGCAUCUAGGGUGCCCUCAAGUAUGACGUGGAAAAGGUUAGGAGAGAUACAGUGUCCCUCAUACCAUAGAAAUGCUAGUACCCAAGCCAAAUGAGCGAGCCUACUAUCCAAGGCCCAGAUGCGUGGCAGUCAGUGAAUACCUGUUUAAGGCAGGUAUGCGUCUUCCUCUGCACCCCUUCUUUAGGGCAGUGUUGAGGAACUUUAUGUUGUCGUCGACCCAGGUUCUGCCAAAUGGGUGGAGCCAGUUGGUCGGCUCGUACUUUUUGUGGAAAGAGGUGUCACUUGGGGAGGACAUGCCUCUUCAUAUAUUCAUGUCCCUUUUUCAGCCCAGGAUCAUAGGGAAAGAGUCCAGGGAGUGGUAUUACCUUACACCUUGGGGGGCUCACGCACCUUUGUGGUGGGACUGCCUUCCUCCAUUAAGGGAUGGAAGGAGUCCUGGUUCUGGGUACGGGGAAAAUGGCAGGCAGUGGAGGGGGACAAGGCCCUUUCUUGCACAGUGCUGACCCAGUACUACGAAGCUCGUGAGUCUCCCAGCCCCUGCUUGUACUUCUGAAUUGAACACUUAGAAAAUUUCUAACUGUUGGGGCUUCCAUUGCAGAUUGUAGUACGAGGUUCGAGCUCAGUACAGAAGAGUACGAGGUGAUAGAGGACAUCUACAAGAGGCCUCAGAAACUUCGUCAUUUUGACCAUCUGAUUGACAGGAGUCGCUAUUUCUUGGAUUUUGGACUGAUGGCAUCCAGAGGUAUGAGGCUCCCAUAGUUGUGAAUUUCCUUGUCAUUUUGAUUGGAUACUGAUGUGCCGACCUGACGUUCUUUUACAGAUAAAUUCAAGAGAAAUGAGUACCCGGCUCCAGACAUGGCUACAAUUCUGAAGGCCACCACCACCGUCAAGGCUAGGGCCUUGAAGCUGGGGUCUAGUGGGGCCAAGGAGGUCCGAGGCAAGGUGGAACGCCUUUCCAAGGACAGUACUCCAAAGGCUUUCGAAAAGGGAGCUUCUCAGAGGCAGGAGAGGCCAAAAGAGCCUCGUGGGAAAGAGAAGGUCCCAAAGGAGGCAAAGAGGAGGAAGCUGAUGCACGUUACUAGCUCGUCCGGGAAAUUUGGGACAUCAGUGUCCCAUGAGGCCAAAUCAACAGGCGAGCCAAAACUGCUCACAUCUGCCUCCAAAGCCAUCAAGUUAGAAAUGGUCAGAGAGGCAGAGGCUGAGGCUGAGGAGGCCAAGGAGGAGGCUGCGAGGAGGGCUGCUGAGGCUACCGAGAAGGAGGCAGCUAAACAAAAGCCUGUUUGGGAAAAGGGGAAGUCUCCGAGCUUCCUAACUGGAAGGGAGGAGACCUUGGCCCCAGCCUUAGUGGAGGCUCUUCCCCAGGAGGUCCGAAGUGCCACGGAGAACUUUUACCGUUUCUAGACGGACAGGUGGCAGUUGCAUGCCUCCUCCUGCGAUGCCACCGACCUGACGAGGGCGUUGGUAAGCCAAAGUGUCAAGACUUUUGGCCUCGCUCUUGAAUGCAGGGAGGCCCUGAGUGAUUUUCAGACAAGGACUAGGUCUUCGGAGGAGAAGACGGCCUCCCUUGCAGAGGAAUUGAAGGCGGCUAAGGCCGAGGUGGAAGAAGCCAGGGCCCAAAAACUCGAAGAAAUGGCCAAGUUGGAGUCUGCCUUGGCCCAGAUUGAGCCUUGAAGAAGGAGGUCCACGAGUCACAGUGUAAGGUGGCCUCCUUUACAAAGAAGGUGGAGGUCUCCAAUGAGCACCAGAAGGUGACCGCCAAGACCCUGGAGAAGGCAAAUCUCUCUUUGACGGGUGCCCAAGAAGCUUACCAUUUCUUGGAAACCCAAAUCAAGUGGUAUGUGGAUGAUGCAUCCCAUGCCAGAGAGGAGGCCCAACAGGCGAGGGAAGAGGUGGUGCAGGAGUACGUUGCCAACUUCCACAACACAGACGAGUAUAAGAGCUUCAGUGCGUACUGGAGAAACUUUGCCUAUGCUGAGGUGAUGGAGCGGGCAGAGAAACUGUAUCCCAAUUUGGAUCUGACUCAACUCAGGUCUGAAUUCGUGGAUGAGGCACCUUAGACCCCUGCUGAGGACGUGCAGGGUAAUGAAGCAGCUGAGACAGGGGAGACAAAUGUCGAUACUCAAGCUGCUGAAGCCCCAAGUACAGAAGCACCUCCCCCAUCUACCCAAGCUUAGAUUAGUUUUCUUUUCAGUCUUUUGAAUGUAAUGGUCUGAGGCCCACCUUUGUAAUCUUUAUUGAAGAUCAAUAUGAUGCCUUUUUGAUUCAUUGUUGUUUCUUUGUCCAAGUGUACGCGCCUCGUUAAACAAAUGAACUUAAAAGUUGAUAGAAGCACUAACUAAAUAACUUUAACUUGGUACCUUAACUUCAAUCACUUUAAACAACUGGAUUGAACAACUGUAUGAGCCUUGGACUUAAGCAAAUGAGCUUUACUUAAGCAUAAUGACUGUAUGAGCUUCGGACUUAAGCAAAUGAAUUUUACUUAAGCACAACUGUGUGAGCCUCGGACUUAAGCGAGCGUCGAGUUUAAGCAAAUGAACUUUAUUUAAGCAUAACUGUAUGGGCCUCGGAAUGCACGUGAGGUGGCUUCUCCCGUUGGUGUUCAGCCUGGCCAAAGGGAGACAUGUGCUAGCGCCUCGGAGUUUAAGCGAGGUAGCCCAGAGGUGGGGCGCAAGCCUCUCCUCCGAGGUGACGACGCAUCCCAGACAUGGUGGAUGGUGCAGCCAUGUUGAGGCUUCUCCCGUUGGCGUUCAGCCUGGCCAAAGGGAGGCAUGUGUUAGCGCCUCGGAGUUCAAGCGAGGUGGCCCGGAGGUGGGGCGCGAGCCUCUCCUCCGAGGUGACGACGCAUCCCUGACAUGGUGGAUGGUGUAGUCAUGUUGAGGCUUCUCUCCUUGACGUUCAGCCUGGCCAAAGAGAGGCAUGUGCUAGUGCCUCGGAGUUCAAGCAAGGUGGCCCAGAGGUGGGGCGCGAGCCUCUCCUCUGAGGUGUCGAGGUAAUACAACAAGUUAAUUUAAUCACCGAAUUUUAUUGAACCAUGAAAAUGUUACAAGGGCUAGGAAAGGUCAUCCAGCAAGAUAGUACAUUUAUUGGUAAUAGAUUCUGAGGUGUUCAAUGUUCCAUGGACGGGGUUGUGCCUUGCCGUUCAUGUCUUUAAUCUAGUAAGUCCCAGGUCAAACCUCUUCUCUGAUUUUGUAUAGACCUUCCCAGUUUGGGCUAAGGGAACCGGAACCAGGUUCUUUUGAGGAAAGGAAGACCCUCCUAAGUACAAGGUCGUUGAUUCGGAAUGACCUCUUCUUGACUUUUGAGUUGAAGUACCUUUUCAUCUUUCUCUGAUAUGUGCCGAGUUUCAAUUGGGAGUCAUCUCUUCUUUCUUUGAUGAAGUCGAGGUCGAGCCUCCGAAGCUCAUCGUUAGUUAUCUCGCUGAAGUGCAGACGUCUUGGGGAUGGAAGUCCGACCUCCACGGGGCUCAUAGCCUCUGUUCCAAAUGUCAUGAAGAAGGGGAUUUCUCCUGUUGGGGUCCUGGUGGUGGUUUGGAUCGCCCAAAGGACUUGGGCCAGCUCAUCAACCCAGGCCCCUUUUGAUAUAUCAAGCUUCCUUUUCAAGACGUGCUUGAUCGUCUUGUUCACGGCCUCAACUUGGCCAUUUACUUGUGGGUGGUGAGGCGUGAAGAAGUGCUUCUUUAUGUCGAGCUCUUCGCAUAAUUCUCUAACCUUCUUGUUAUCAAACUGUCUGUCAUUGUCUGAGACAAUUGAACGGGGAAUUUCGAAUUGGCGAAUAAUAUUUUUCCAUAAGAACUUGGAGGUAUUGGCUUCAGUGAUUUUUGCCAGUGGUUCGGCGUCGACCCACUUCGUGAAGUAAUCAAUAGCCACAAUUGCAAAACUUGCCCCUCCUCUACCUUUAGGUAAGGAACCUAUGAGGUCCAUACCCCAUUUUGAGAAAGGCCAGGGGUUGGAAACGACGGUCAAAUCCUGCGAUGGUUGUCUCUGCACAGGAGAGAAGCACUGGCAUUUAUUGCAUUUUCGUACAAAUUCGAGGGCGUCCCACUUUAGAGUAGGCCAGUAGUAUCCCUGCCUCAAUAUUUUUUGUGCCAGAGAUAGACCUCCAGAGUGGUUGCCGGAAAUGCCCUCGUGGAUUUCUCUUAAUAUGUAGGUAGCCUCUUCUCCUCCGACGCACCGUAGGAGUGGGGAGGAGAAGCUCCUCUUGUAGAGAAUGUCAUCAAUGAAAAGGAAAUGGACUGACCUCUUUCUUAGCUUGUAAGCCUCAUUCUUGUUAGUUGGCAGUACUUGGUCUUUGAGGUAUUCUAUGAUUGGCUGCAUCCAAGUGGGAGUUUCGGCGAUCCACAUUACUGUAGGGACAUCGAUCGAAGGUAGGAGGAGGUGCUCAAUAGGUACUACUGUGAGUAGCUCUGAGUCCUUGCUACUAGCCAGCUUCGAGAAUGCAUCCGCAUGCGCAUUUUCGAUGCGGGGAUCUGGAUCAGCUCAAACUUUUCGAAAGAUGGGAUGAGGUCAGCACCAUUUUCAGAUAGGAGGCCAUCGUUUUGUCUAUGGCUGAGAAGUUACCAUUGACUUGGCUAACAACUAGCUGGGAGUCACUACUGAUGAGUAGCCUCUUUACUUGCAUUUCUGUGGCCAGCCUGAGGCUAGCAAGAAGUGCCUCAUAUUCUGCUACGUUAUUGGUAGCGUUGAAUCCGAACCUUACUGCUGAGGUGAGUUUAUAACCUUCGGGGCUGAUGAGGACAACCCCAGCACCUGAGCCGACAUCUCCAACUGACCCAUCGACGAAGAGAUUCCACGUGGGUGGCUCGACGGGUUCCAUGAUUUCAUCCACCUCGAAUAGGUUGGCGAAUUCAGCCACGAACUCAGCCAAGGCUUGCCUUUUUAUGGCUGCCCUUGCCUUGAACACAAGGUCAAAUUCACUUAGUUCCACUGCCCACUUCAAUAACCUUCUUGAGGCAUCGGGCUUUUGGAGUACCUGCCUCAGGAGGAAGUUUGUCAGUAUAUGGAUGGUGUGAGCUUGGAAGUAGGGUCUCAAUUUCCUGGAGGCCGUGAUCAAGGCUAAAGCAAGCUUCUCCAUAUCGGGGUAACGGGUUUUCGACGAUAUGAGCGCUUUACUGGUGUAGUAUACAGGGAGUUGGGUAGACCCUUCUUUCCGUAUCAAAACCGAGCUGACAGCCUCAUUGGAGACAGCCAAAUACAGUUGUAGGAUAUCAUCGGGCUUCGAUUUGGAGAGGAUGGGGGCCUGUCCCAGGUGCAUUUUCAGGCAUUGGAAGGCCUCUUCACAUUCCUCAGUCCACUGAAAUUUCUUCCCAGUCUUCAGUAAUUUGAAAAAUGGGAGGCAUUUGUCGGUAGCUUUGGAGACGAAGCGGCUAAGUGCGGCCACUCGCCCGGUAAGACUUUGCACCUCCUUUGGCUUUUGGGGGGACCUCAUUUUGCAUAGAGCCUCAAUCUUUUCGGUGUUGGCCUCAAUUCCUCGUUGGUUGACCAUGUACCCCAAGAAUUUGCCGGAUGCUACCGCAAAGGCGCAUUUGAGGGGGUUUAGUCUCAUCCAAUACCUUCUUAGGAUUUGGAAAGUGUUGUUGAGGUGCGUCAUGUGGUCCUCGGCCUCCAAACUUUUUACCAGCAUGUCUACAUAAUUUCAAUCACACAUUCUUCAAUAAAAUAAUAUUAUACGCAAAUUAAAAACUUUUCAUUAUUUUCUAACCACACAUUUUCCAUCAGUACACCAUUCAAAAAUAUAUUUUUAUUGAAAUAAUAUGGCUCAAACAAGGACUUAUUAAUAACAAGAAUCGAAUUUUAGCUUACAAACUCUGUAUCUUCAUGAUCUUUGGCAACAACUCUCUCUCUUAGGAAUUGAUUAAGUUCUUGUUUGGGCUCCAUUAAAAUAGAUUUUGAAAAAAUAAAAAUGAAAAUUAGACUUACGUGUGACAUGAUUUUAUUAAAGAACGCGUAGUUAAAAAAUAAGAAAGAAAAAGUACAUUUUUUUUCUAAAAUGGAACCCAAACAAAGGCUAAAUGAUGCGCUCAUAGGGUUAAGAAUAUAAUUAAUUUAAUCAAUGGUCACUAAAAUUUACUAUACAUUACUAUUCGCUCAUUGAAAUUUAAAAGGUUACCUUUUGCUCAAUAAACUUUGCUAUAGAUUAUAAGUUGUUCACCAAAAUUUAAAAGAUUAUUUAUUACUCACUCAAAUUUAAACAAAGUUAUACAUUAAUCACUCAUAUAAUUUCCAUAAGUGUCACCUAUUGUAAAGUUCAGUGAGUAACGAGUAACGAGUAACUUUAUCCAAACUUAAGUGGGCAACGAGUUACCUUUUAAAUUUCGAUGAGUAAGUAGUAAUAUAUAGCAAAGUUGAUUGAGCAACGGGUAACUAUUUAAAGAUCGAUGAGCAAGUAGUAACGUAUAGUAAAGUUCACUAACUAUUCAUUGAAUUAUCUCAUUAAAAGAAUAUGAUAAGACAAAAGCCAAGAAAAAUAAGAAUACACCAAAAUAUUGUUGGUUCUUUCUUGUAUUAUUAGCUUGGUCCAUCUUUACUCGAUCAGUUACCUAAAAAAAAAAAGGUUAAACCCCAAUCUUGAGGGCCCCCACCACCCCGUCUCUAGAGCUUUGUGAAGGAGGUAAAUCGCUAGAUGUGUCCCAAUAGGCCAGGGAACAAGAGCUGCUUGUACAUUGCGCCUACAAGGAAUCCAAUUUCAUGUCUCGAGAAUCGAAUUCCCACACUGCGGCUGCCAGCAAUGCAUGAGAUAACUUCACUCCUGUCCUUUGCACUACUGGACUAUGCCCCGGGGGCGAUCAGUUACCAAAUAUUAUGCAACAUUGCUAGAGUGCCCUACUUACUAGAAAAUGAGGAUGAAUACAGACACGAAAUAUAAUAGCUUGAGUUUUUUUACAGUAGACUUUCACUUGAUAAGUGAUGGGAAAUGAUUUUCUAUGAAAUGUUAGCUGGAGUUUGUUACACCUUGAAAUCUACGAGGUUUAAGUAUCAACAUGGCAACGAAUCUCACAUAGGCUCCCAACGGUGCAACACAUGGCAGAUCUAUGCAUUCUUAGCUGUGUUUAGAGAAGGCAUGUAACUCACCAGUCCUUAUCUUCGCCAUUAUUGUCAUCCUUAUAGUAUUUGCACAACAAUGCCUUUCAACGAAGGCAUUGCUAGUCACAUCAACUCCUUAAUGCAGAAUGAUAAGAGCGAAACAGUUAGGUGACCGGUGGAUGAAGGUGCAUGUGACAUUCGAUUCUAAUUUUGGCGUACUUCGAGUAAGACGUGCUGGAUAAGGAAAUUGCCUUAUCAAUUCCUAAAAAUCAGUACAUAAUCCUUGGGGAUCAAGAAAGAUUUUGGGGAAUCAAUAUCUACAAGAAAAUCCAAUCGCACAAAAAAAUGAACUCGUGGAAGGAAAAAUACCAUAAUUUGACCAGCAUCAAACGAGCCAAUGAUAGUGUGACACAUGGAUUUUUAUUUUUUUUGUUCGGGUGGUUGGUGUGGGUAUGCAUAGCUUAACGUAAGAAACCAAUGUAUACAAUUAUCAAAGUUCAAAGCCUCGUAUGAAUAACCAGAGCCUGAUCUUGAGAGACUAUUAUUAUGCAUUUACCUAUGUGGUAAGUUACAUGACUACCAGUUAAACAAAAUGCCAAGCAAGCAUUUUAUCUUCGUAGGCAAAUAUAUUUGAGUGUGUUGCCUUCUCUAUCUUCUAGGCCUAGGCAGUAAGGCCACAUUCCACCGCCUCGCCCACUUUCAUUUUCAAGGCAUUGAGCCUCAUUGACACUCUUCUUGAGAUGACAUAACGUUCAACAAAACUUAUCACCGCCUUUCGGAGGCAAUCGAAGAGAUCUAACCUUUAGCUAUAACGAAGCGGACCUCUUGAGUCCGAGGAGAUUGAAGUCAACUCAUGUUUCCUUAGGACUUGUGUAAAAUGUAAUCUGAUACGUUGAAUUAUAUGUGAUUUGAUUGAUGCGACAUUUCUACAAAAAUAAUGACUGGUAACAUGGUCAAAUUCCUCCUCAUUUGCCUAAGAUAGGGUAUUGAAAGUCACAUGCCUAUAAUGACUAUAAUGUGAUAUUGUUGAGCUUAAGAGUGGGAGCAAUUCGAAUCGAUUUGGUUUCGAAUAGAGCCACACCGGACAAAGUACCAAUGAAAAUAUUAGAAAUGAAACCAUUGGUUCUAUAUCUAACUAUAGAAUCGAGCCGGUCAGCCCAAUUUGGUUCUUUAUAUUAAAAUUUUUAUCAAAAUAAAGUAUUAACUACUUUCAAUUAAAAAGAGAUGAAAUAGAGUUAACUAAAUAAGGCAACAAACAAAAAUACACUUCAAUGCUCAAGAUGAAUUGAUAAGAGAAUAAAAAGGAUAAUUUAUUAAACACAAUAUAAACUGUAAAAUUUAGAUAAAAAAAUGCAUGUAGUAUUUGUAAUCAAAUUAACCCCAAAGGGCAGAUCUUGAUUCUAAUGAUUGAACACUUUGAAAACAACAAAAAAUUUAAGUUCUUACGAAAGAUUGAGUUAAAAAUACACUUUUUUUUUUAUUGGAUUUGAAUUAAAUCUCUAAUUUUUUGUAAGAUAUUUAUAAAAUUAUUUAGAUUUAGAUGUACCCAUUAAAUAUUAUUGUAAAAGAAAGCAGAAGAAGAAGUGUGUAGAUAGUGAAAUUUUAGGCUCCCUCCCCUCUUAGCUAACCACCAUCAACCCCAUUUUUCACUUGUGCAGUAUAUCAAUAAAAAGAGAAACUAGGGCGAACCGAAUUCACUAUUGGUUAUUAAUGCAGUGCCAAGAAUCGAACCGAAACCGAUCACUCCAUUUAAUAAGGGAACCGGAAUUGAACCGAUUGGCUAUAUCGGGUUCCAUCGGCUAUGGAAAAAAAUGCUCACUAGUUAAGCUUCACAUGAGCUAUUAAGAUUAUACCAUGUGUGUAAAGUAUCCAAUAGAAUAGACCUCAUCUCUAUCUUUCUUGUUUAUAAAUACUCACACAUUGUGUCACUUGAAGAUAAUUGAAAAUUUGCAAUUAUCACUUUAGAAAUUCAAAUUCAGCUCCCGCCCCAUCCUUCUUUCGCGUUUCUCCUAUAUCCAAUUUAAUUUAUAUAUGACUUCAGUUUUUGAGUGCACAUGAUCGUGGAUCUCCGCCCCCUCUGCCCUUCGAACCUGCGAUCUUGCACCUCUAACAUGUGUACAAGUGUGUAGUAAUGAGCACGUGAGAAGAGAGAAAGUAGAAAUUUGUUGAUGUUUGAGUUCCAUCUAGGGAUCAAAAAUACUUUUUGACAAAUAUGGACUGAAUAGAAGACACAAGUUUUUUGUUCAUUAUCAUGUUUACUUUAUCCUAAAAAAUACGAAACUAGUAAUUUUUAAAUUCAAAAUUUUGUGGAAAAAAUGGUAAAAACAUCGAGUUUUACUCGAGACAAAGAAUCUGAAGAAUGUUAUGUUCACACUGCGAUAAGGACAUUGAUUGAAUAAAGAGAGAGGUGGGCACUACUCAAAUGAUGUUCCUUCUUGAUGUUAAUUGAUUGUUAGGGACAUUUCUUAUGAAUUCACAUUGACUUACUGUUUUAAAUUACUUUUUACGCGUCUGAUGUAGUAAGCUCUUAUUUGGUUUCACUAGAAAAGUUGAUAAAAAAAAUUUAAACGAAAAGGUUAACAAUUAAUUUUAACCACAAAUUAAUGAAAUCCACAACUUUUAUCAACAUUUCCAAUUACAAAUUCUAUCAACUUUUAUCAAAAUAUAAUAAAAUUUUAAUAUUUAGGAUAAAAAAACUAAACAGGGACUAGAUAUUAUUGAUUAGUGCAAUAAAUAAAAUUUUAAUCUCUAUUAUCUUUUUAAAUAUAUUCAAUUUAAGUUAUCUUAUUAAUUUCUUACUAAUCAGAAAUCACUCCUAAUACUGGCAGAAUUUUCGACCACAUUUUAAAAAUAAAAUUAAGGUUGCCAAUGUCAUGCAUUUCGUCAUGGUUUGAGAAAGUAAGUAGAACCACGAAUUGAGGAUAUUUUUAGGCAUGAGGUUCAAAAUAUCCAAAAAGUCUCACUGUCACGAUGUAAAUAAAACAACAAAAUUCAAAACCCUUUUAAGGGGUAAUGGAAACCGUCUCCUAUACUCCCUAUCUUUGUCCUAACUAACGCGGAAACAAUAUACUUUUAUUUUAAUAAAUUAAGAAUCGUCAACUUCAUUAAUUUUUGAUUUACAGUUUUAAGAUUGUGUAACUCUUACAUAUAUAAUAUUUUUGUCAUUCUUUUACUUUCAUCUCAAUUGAAGUCACAUUUAGCCCCCCUUUGGCUCCCAUUACAUUACAUUCUAUUUCUCUCUCUCUUGUUUUCAACCACAUAAUCUUUCAUAAUAUAAUAUUACACGUAAAUCAAAAACUUUUUUUUCAACCACUCAUUUUUCAAAAAAAUACUAUUCCACCCAUUUUCAUUUUUCGAAAAUGAGGGCCAAAUAGGGGCUUACUUUUUGGCCUAAAUACUUAUUUAUUUUAGUACAACUACAGAUACCCUUUUACUAAUAUCAAACUUGAAGAGGCCCAUAAUGAAAGGCUAAUGGUGUGGACUGUGGGGGUGCGGGAGUAGACUAUAAAAUUCAGGAUUUUUAGAAAGGUCUUGCAAAAUUGAACCAGGUCUAAUCUUGGUCAAUUAGUUGCCUAAAAUUAGGCAUGACAAAUUGAUAGCUGGGCUAGGGAAAUUGUGCGUAUAUGGUUGACGGAUAAAAAGGAUUAAUUUAAAUGAGUUUAAUAUAUAAACUUGAAGAACGGUUAGCAUUCUUGAUUAUGACAAAUCUAUUACAAAGAUAUAAUUAACUAUGAUCGAUAUGAUUGAAGGAAAAGACUGACACGAUAAAAAUGUAAAUCAAGGAUUGAGCAUGUUUAACAAGGUUAUAUGUUCUACAACAAUUGACCUUGAUGAAGCAUCGUAUUCAACUUUCUGACUAAGCAACUUAACUUCGUCUUAGACGUGUAUAUUUUUUUAGUGUUUAAGAUUCUCACACACUUAGUCGGUGAAUUUGAUUAUGUGCUGAGGAAGAAGUAGAAUAGACGUUUUAAUAUGUACAUUAUGUUUAUCAAUAAUGUUUGAAAAAUGGAUAUGAAGAUACCAAGAAUGCCUUUAGGAUAAGAGGAAUGAGAGAAUCCAGAAAGAAAUAUCAACAAGUUGUUGUGCCAACAAAGUGGAUUUUCUGAGUUCAUUUGAUUGAGCACGGACGAAAUCUAAAUCCAAAGGGUUCCCUUGAAAAGAAGAAAGAAAAGAGUGAAGCCAAUAGAUUUGAUUUGCCUUAUCGAAGGCCUAUGAGAAGGUGGCCUUGCCAACUAGGUUAAGAUUUCCUAUAACUAUCGCCAACUAGACUCGCUGGUUAAUAUGUCCCCUUAAACAGUGUGAAGUUGAUAGCAUGAUUAUCACUUUACAACUUUUUGUUCUUAAAGUGGAGGAGGAUUUUCAUGAACUUCUAUCCAUUCAUUGGACUUGACAGUGCCAUAAGCUUAUGGACCAAAGGCAUCUUGAUGAGUGGAUGACUUCUUGUUUACACCCCACACAGCCACCCCAGUUUUUCCUUGGCUUGAUUUUCAGUUUCUGAAAGUGGAAUUGUGGGGCAACUUUAGAAUCCACGCUACAUUGUGGCAUCGCAUGCACCUUUGAUAGGAAUGGAUUUGCGGGCAUUUGGAAUGUCUAAAUAGUUAUAGGAAAUUGGUGUUUUCUGGGUUGAAGUCUGUUGCCAAGAGAAAGAGUAACCAUCUGGUUUGAGCUUGUCAUUAGGUUUGGUGCAAAGAAUAGUGCAUUUUGUGAAUGAGAAGAGGGCACCAUGUGGUUAUCAUUGAGGUUUUCCUGGUCAAACAAGGGCCGAAUAUGAACCUAAUAAAUCAGAAUAAUAAAGGAUUUUAUGCUCCGAUGCAUAUGAAAUUUUCCAAAGAAGAGAAUAUGCAUUUUUAGGACAUGAAAAACUUACAAAUAGAAGUAAAUAAAAUUGGGAAGGAUAAAAAGGAUUGAAAUUGAAAUACAUGUGGCUCUUUUAACCUGACCUACCUGUGAAGGGACCUAAGUGCGAGACUAGAGGGAAAUAGUAGCCAAACUCAUCGUUGGCAAGUGAGCAGAGGACCUCUAGUAGGCCGCGCCUCCAACACUUUUGCACGUGAGUUGAGUACCAAUUGUAGGCCUCGCCUCUACUUGCACAAAUGCAUUAAAGCUCGCCAAGCUAGGUGAGCUAGGCACUUUGGAUACAGCCUACCUCACAUGCCUAACUUAACUCGUCAAUGACUUGGUAAAGGAUCCAAGGAACUCUAAAUAGGCUUCAGAAAGAGAAUCUUUGAUAAAGAUCGUUCCUUCAAUUUAGCAAUAAAUUAGAUUGCGACUAACUUAGCUUGAAGCAUGGCUUGCUGUUUUGAGGCUUGAUACUACUCUUGGGAACAUUGAUACAUCGACUUUCAAGCAUCUCGUAAUUGAGCGGUGCUACCAUCAACAAAUCUAACAUGGACAAUGAUUGUUGAACAUGGAUAGAAUGAGAGUUGAACUCCUCUCUCUCUCUUUCCCUUAAAGCCCUUGUUUGAGCCCCAUUUUUGUGAAGAAAAUGAAUUUUUGAAUAUUGUAUUGAUGGGAAAUGUGUGGUUAAAAAAUAAGGAAAAAAUUUUUAUUUGUGAAUAAUAUUAUUUUAUUGAAGAAAGUGUAGUUAAAAUGAUGUCAAAUCAAUGUUGAAGAAUAUAUUUUGGUUGAAAAAUGGGGCUCAAGCAAGGGCAAAAGCUCGUGGGUUUGGUGUAGUGAAAAAGAAAAAGAAGCUUUAGUUUCUGAAUAGGGCAAGCAUACCUAGGAAAUCGAGAUUGGGAUACCAGUCGCCUACAACAUGAACCAUGUCAAGGAAAAUUGAGAGGGGGAAAAAAAGGAAAGAAAAAAACACAAGUAACAAAAUAUUACCAUUAAAGGAAAUAGACAUAAAAAAGGUAAAACUAGGCUAUUCCCCGUCUCUUUCUGCUAGUUGGUCCAUGUUAUCUAAGUCCUCAAUGCCAUUACUUGCUGAUUCAGUGUUAAGAUUUGAAGUUCCAUAUUAAAAUGUCAACCUUAUUAAGAGAGUAGUUCAAAUUCUUAUAAGUUGGUCUAUGUUUUCAUCUUCAUUCGAUAUGAAAUUUUAUCCUUUAACAUGCCCAUACAAAAUGGUUGUUCGUUUGAGCAGACCAAUCUUGAAAUUCGUGUGUUCAUUUUUUGUUGAGUUUAAAUUGGAUCGAAUUGCACAUUUAAGUUUAAUGGGUUUUGAUGCUAUGUUAAAAUUUAGGGUUCAAUCUUAAAAUGUCAACCUUAUUAAAAGAAGUAACUCAAAUCUUAAUAAAUUAGUUUAUAUUUUCAUCUUUAUUAGUUGUGAAAUUUAUUGCUUAACAUUCAUAAGGAAGAGAGGAGCCUUCUUAUCGAUGAACCCCAAGUGUCCUUUCACGGGGCUUCAUCCGAGCUGUUGCCCACCAUGGCUUGACCUCCUUGCUCAAUAAAGCUCUUGGACUAUCUUCAAAGUGCACAUCAAUCAGAACAGCAACAUGAUUUAACAUAUUUCAUAGCCAAUUUAGAAGAUUAAUAGUGGCUACACAUAGAUUGACACACACACACACAUAUAUGAAUAAUUACUUUUAUCAUUGACAUUUGAAAAUGGAAGCAUAUGCGGCAAAUAUGAAAGUACUAGAUAAGUGCAAAUCAACGGAAAGUGAUUUUAAAUUUUUAAUACAAGCUCAAUUGAUGGUGGAGAAAAAUGAAAAGAUAGCAUUGUUUAUGUACGGUUCGUGCAUUUCUUUAAAGAAAUUGAUUAAAAGCUCUUAAAUGACUUGCCAUUUCCAGCAGGUCGAGCAUGCUUUUAUUUUUAAGUAACUUUUUCGUAAAAAUGUUUGAGCUUUUCCUAGAAGUUGUGUGUUUAUUUUGGAAUGAUUAUUUCAAACUUCAAACACUUAUUUUAUAAAAGUUAAUCAUUCAAACACUUAUUUUAUAGAAGUUAAUCUUUACUUGUUUCAAAUGUAUGUUCAUUUACAUAAUCUUUAUAACUCCUUUGUGGUCGAACGAUUUGGGCUUGGUAUUGAAGUAGAUGGUGGUUGAUUGUUGCGGAAGCUCUCUCAAAAGGAUCUUCAAACAGUGGUUUUCCAGGCUCAGCCCAACGUACCUUUUUCUACCAACAACCAAUCCAAACGGCUCCAAACUACAACCAAUUGAUUCACCUUGGUUGCUAUUCAAUCUUACCCACGUAGCACAAGAAAGGAUGAUGAUUUAUCGCCACAAAGGCUAAGAGAAAACACUACAAAGAUAUACUAAAAAAAAGAUCUCACCACACUUAUCCUAUCCCAUUCCGUGUCGCUCACACCUCGAGAACAUAUCUUCUCUCAUCGCCCACCAAGCUCACUAGACAGAUCACUCAACUCAUGUCUAACUGGUAAGUCACAAUAGAUCCUAAGUCCACGGGAUAAUCCUCUAUCUCCACAUCACUUCUCCCAACCUACGUGGAUAAUGGGUCUCCACCUAACAGAAGUGAUAGAAGUGUCUCUCUCACACUCCACCUAAUCAGGGUCUCUUCCAGAUAAAGGAUCCUAGACAUUUGAUCACAUCUCCACUCGUGAUCCAAAUAUCACACUCUACAUCCCUCGUGCAUAUCAUCAAUGCAACUCUAAGCAUCUAUACUCCACCUUACCAAAAGACAUCCAACUCACUGCUAAUGCAUCUCAAACUCACUAUGGCAAAACAACACCUUUCAGUAACCACAAAUGUUACUCCAAUCACCAAAUCUCCAAAAAAUUCACAAAGAAAAUGGCGAAGGCGGCACUCACAAAGAGAAAUCGAAGAAAGAGUCGGUUACUUCACAACACUCACAAAGAUAAAGAAAGUAACUUUAACAUGGCUGCCUCACAUAAUCUCACAAACCACACAGGCUCACAAAGAUAAAGGAGAUAAACGGCUGCCCAACUUUCUUCUCACUACCACACUCUCACACCAUUCACAGAGCAAGUAGAGUACGCCACAAAACUUAACCCACUAUGCAUGAAAACAUAUUACACAAAGUAAUAAGUCACUCUAGUUCAUGCAAUUACACACAUCAAACAUAUUGAAAGUGUAAAAUCAACAUUACAACAGAAUUAAGUGAUCACAUACAUACAGAAAGGAUUACACACAGAUGCAAUGCAGUAAUCCUGUUUAUUUUCUCAAUAAACAUCACUAGGAUCACUACUCGACACUAAAGUCGCAUUCGCCUUGUCUCUAUCAUCAUCUUUCCUUUUAUUAUCAUCCUAGGACAAUCUUUUUCAACUAUGUCCAAAUUUUACCACAGUUAAAAUAUAUGUUAUUUUUUGCAUUUACCUUAGACCCAUAUUUGCCAAUAAUGCCAAAUAAUGACCACAAGUAAAGUAUGAAUAUAAUUUACAUAGAAUAGUCCAGUAAACAUUCCUAAGGUCACAUGCAAUUCUAAUAAUGCAGAAAAAAUUGACAAAAAAUUCACAAAGAAUUUAAGGCAAAUAAUUAAUAAAUAAUUUUUAGGUCUAACAACAGGCAAUGGUUACCCCUUCAUAGUAACCCCAAACCUAAUGUCACCCCACACGAUGACCUCUAAUGUAAAAAACAAAUAACUAACAUACACAUUUAUUUUAACUACAAAAAUAAAAAGCAAAGAAUACGAUAUCGAGCAGACACGUCUGAAGGUCCGUAAAUUAUGAGACAUGCGAAUCUAACACUUUAGGACCACCACUAUUCGUCCUAAAGUCUCUGGAAAUUGCAGCAAUCAAGAAAUCACGAUCGAGUUCCGAACGUCCGAAGAAUAACGCUAUCCAGAUUCUUCUGCAUACCCUGAAACAAAAAACUUUCAACACGAAAAAUAUUAGAAAUAAUAUGAGGAACAAAUUGCCAAAAAAUGGUCUACGCGCCCGCACGUGCCUGUAGAAGCCUCUGCACGUGAUGUUCACGCGCCUCCGACACGAGUCGUCGCCGUCCACACGCGCCUGACCGUCGUGAUCGCCUCCACCUGCACGUUAUAUCUGUGGUCUCCGUUUCCCCAAAGUCCUUCUGGAUUGGUCAGAAAACACGAAAAAUGGAGACUGGCUUUAACAGUUUUUGGACAACUUAUUCAAUCUUAUUUCUGCUGCGUUUCUGCCUAUUUUCUGGACGAUUUCUGGUAGAUUUCACGAGCCAAAACCUUCACCUUGAAGCUCUGAUACCAAUUGUUGUGGAAGCUUUCUCAAAUGGAUUUUCAAACAGUGGUUUUCCAGGCUCGGCCCAACGUACCUUUCUCUACCAACAACCAAUCCAAACGGCUCCAAACCACAACCAAUUGAUUCAUCUUGGUUGCUAUUCAAUCUUACCCACGUAGGACAAGAAAGGAUGAUGAUUUAUCGCCACAAAGGCUAAGAGAAGACACUACAAAAGUAUACUAUGAAAGAACCACCAAUUGCACACGUUAUACCAGCAUUCUGGACACUUCUGGACACCUUUUUUCUCACACAAAAGGGGGCAGCCGGGAUUCUCUUGUUUCUUCUCUCAAAAUCACACAAUCAUCAUAUCAAAGUGGCUAGGGUUAUAGCCAAAUAUAUACUCUAGGGUUAGGCUUUAAGUUGGGCCAUUAAAGGAGUAAACGGACCAAGAUUCAAGUCAUUCAUAAGGAAUACAAUUGGGCCGGGUGUAACUCAUGGACUUGGUUGUUGGACUUAUUUCAUUUAUCGGCCUAUACCUAUGAAAUAAUAUUAACUCACAUUAACAUCAUAACUCGAGAUUUAUUGGAUAUCAAAAACCCAACAUUGAUAAAGGAAUCCUUGAUCAUAAUUUCCAGUAUUCAUACAACGUCCAACAUGAAACUUGUGAUUGGUAGUUUUGUCCUUUAUCCAAGUUUAGCAACUAAAAAAAAAAAAAAUUUCAUGGGCAAAUAUUUACUCAUUCAAUCUCUAUUUCAUUUGUAGGGCUCGUUCGUGACUUCUCCCAAUAGAUGAAUUAAUCUUCGGUUCAUUUCGUCAUCCCAACUAGUGAAUCAUUAAUAUUCAUUUUUUCAAUAAAAUCUUUUGCAUGCACAGGAUCCAUCGUUCUCAUCGCUUCGUACUUAAUGAUUAGGUCCGAAUGGGUUAAUGAUAGUUGAUUGGUAUAUUCUGUGAAUUUGAAUAUUGCUCAUAAUAAUGGGUUUUGCUAUAUGAUCGACAGGCACCGGCCAAUAGAGUCAAAGAAGAUUAAUCCUAUAACAAUUGGGCCUUAUGAAUAUGCCCCCAUAGGUUCUUUAAUGUUGAUUUGUUGGGCUGGACAAUUGUGUUUGAGCUGUUAGAUACAAUAUCAGGCUUUAGUCGUACAGAAAAGCCCACUAAGUAAUAUCUACUAUUGGGCUUUCUUCCAUAAAUAAUUACAUUGUGGGUCCAAUCCAUUGGCAUGAGAUUACCAGAAGUCCAUCAAGGAGAUAAUAGGCACAAACUCCAAAACUCAAUGGUCAACCUCAACCAGCUCUCUUAAAAAAAAAAUUGGCCCCAGCUACUAAUCAUGUUAGGGAAAAUUUUAUAACUAAAAGAUUAAUUAUGAUUCAUUUUAAAAUUAAGAGAUAAGAUUUAAAAUUUCAAAAAUAAGAUAUUAAUUAAAAUUUAUUUAUGAAAUAAUAAAUUAAGAAUAUAUUUUAUUAAGCCCCUGUUCGUUUGCCAUUUCUUCCUACAUUUUAGAAGAAAUCAAGCCGUCUAUGGGCCCCACCAAGCCGUAAAAUUUGAUUACGAAUUUCAAGAAGCCAACGGCUAGAAAAUGCAUUCCCAUUUGCUGAAAAUGGGAAACAAACGUAGGCUAAAUAAAAUAUACGAAUAUCACAAUUAUACAAUUUAUGGUCAAAAUUACGUACUUACAGGUUACAACUUAUUUUUUAGUCACAUAUCAUCAAUUUAAUUGGUCAAAAAUUAAAAAAUUUAUAGAUCAUAAUUUAUUUAUUGAUCACAAAUCAUAAAUUUUAUAAAUCACAAUUUAAAAGCAAUUAUAAGCUUUUCCUCGUGUACAACUUCUUGAAAUGCACCUUUUACGGUGCAUGGUCUUUAAUUUUAAAUUUACCUAACCUAGUUAAGAAGCCUUAAAUGACUAUUGGUUAGGUUGUCAAAUAAAAAUUGAUAGGGCUUGCUAUGAGCCAGCUCAUGACAACAACUUGAUAGACAUGAACAUGUACUCUCCUCACAUGGUAUCCUUCUUGCAAAAGGAAAAGCACUGGCCCUCUCUUUUCAUUAUGCGGAGAAAGACACUUUGGAUGAUUUCACAAUGCUGAUGUCAUAUUAGAUGUGUUUUCUUCAAGAUAAUUUUUUUUUUAAAAAAAAUAUUUAUUUAGUUUAUAUCUUUAGAUGAAAUAAGAGAAUAUAAAGAUCUUGAGUUUUAAUUUUAAAUAAUGAUAUAAAAUUAAGACCCAUUUGACAAGGUUUUUGCUUUUGUUUCUGAUUCUUUUAAAAAAAAAGAAGAAGAAGAAUUAUAUCCUUGUUUGAGCUCCAUUUUUGUGAAGAAAAUGAAUUUUUGAAUAGUGUAGUGAUGAGAAAUGUGUGGUUAAAAAAUAAGAAAAAGUUUUUAAUUUACGUUUAAUAUUAUUUUAUCGAAAAAUGUGUAGUUGAAAUAUGUCAAAUCACUGUUGAAGAAUGUAUUUUGGUUGAAAAAUGGGGCUCAAACAAGGAUUCACACCACAAUUUUUAUUUCUUACAACACAUUUUAAUUACAAUUAAGGUUCCUAAUCUUUGCUCAUUAUAACAUUUAUGCCCCUAAUAACUAUUUACGUCAUUCAUAUCCUCAAACUUUUCAUUAGUUAAUACAUUUUGUCCAAAAGUUUGAUGAAAUAGUGUAAAACAACUUAUUUUCCCAUCAUAUUGUAUUUGAUAACACUUUCCUCUAAAAGCUCUUUUAAUCGGACAAAAUUUUUUUAGAAAAUUAUUCAAAUAUAUUCAAAAGCAAUUUCUUAGUUAAGAAGUAGCUUUCCAAACACUCUACCAAGGAUCAUAAUUAUGUAUAAAUUCCUAUUCAAUACAAUGACAUGAUUCAUAUUGUAUCAACAUGGUACCAUAAUUUAUCCUUCUCUCUCUCCCAAGUCUAUUUCAUCUUGGUUAAUUAUCAACAGCGUCAACUUAUUUUUCUGAAUAUUAAAUCUACUCAUGGCUGAGAAGGUAUGAAUAUUUUUAAGCUCUGUGUUUAUUUCUACUUCUAUUAUAUGAACAUGGCUUUGGAUUUUUCUACACAAAAUAUUAUUCAUAUUUAAAUUUUGAAGCUACUGCUUUUGUCUUCCACAUACUAUCUUCAUCAUUUUUUUCCCAUCAGGUUACUGAGAUGGUGCUAAAGGUUGAUCUUGAUCUCCAAUGUCAUUCCUGCUACAAGAAAAUCAAAAAAAUUCUUUGCAAAAUUCCUCGUAAGUCUUUGAAUUCGUCCAUAUUAUGAUUGAACAAAAACAAACAUUAUUCAUUUUCGUGUUGUCGACUUGUUUGGAUAAGAACUGACUUAUUUUUUUGAUGUAAAACUUAAUGGGACGAAAGAAAUUAGGGGGCAGAUAUAUGAUGACAAGCAAAAUACAGUGACAAUCGAUGUAGUAUGCUGUAGCCCAGAAAAAAUUCGCGACAAAUUGUGCUGCAAAGGUGGAAAGGUUAUCAAGAGUAUUGAAAUAAAAGAGCCCAAAAAGAACAAGAAGCCCGACAAAAGUCCAGAGGAAAACCCCGGGGGCCCUACGAAGACCGAAGUGAGCAAACCACCUGAGCAACCGCCUCCACCACCCGUGAAUAAGCCCGAAUCAAUUCCACUUCAUCCACCAGCACGGACCUGUUGUGGACCAUGUUCAGAAGGUCAUGGUGGGGGUCCAUGCUACCGUGGGUACCCAUCUUUUCCACCGCGUUACGACGGUUGUUAUGGUUAUGGGUACUGGUGUAGGUGUGGAUGUGGGUGUGGGAGUUGGAGGGGGUGCCAGUGCCACCUGAGAAAGUGUAUUUGUGAUUGUUACAUAGAAGAAACCCCCUCUGCUGAAUGCAAGAUUAUGUAACAAGUAAUUUGGGAUAGUUUUCCAUUUUUUACCAUGAUUGGGUUGUCAGCAAAUUUUCAGUCAAUUUGAGGCAUUGGUCUAAAACCUAGAUGGUGACCGAUGUUGGUGUCUUGGUACUAUGUUUAUCAUGUGGGGUACCCAACUUUAAGAUGAGUUGUAUGAAUAUCACUUAUCUUCAAGUUAGUACAAUAAUGUCAUGUAACCCCCCCAUCAAAUUUAACGUCUAGUCAACUUAUUAUGUUAGUUGUGCAAGUAAAUCAAAACGAUUUAAUUGUACCAAAUUGACAGUGAAUAACAUGAAUGCAGCUUUGCUUAAAGUUGGGUGAAUGGCAACGCAUUUAACUUCUAUGCUUAUAGAUUUGUCAGUUUGUUAAUGAUUUAGAUUGAUUGUAUUUUUCAUAUAUUUAGCCCAUGUUUGGUAUAAAGUCAAUCACUUUUUAGUAUAUUUUAAUAAAAAUUGAUGGGUUGUGUGGUUGAAAAGUUGUAGAUCCCAUAAAAUAUAUGAUAAAAUCAAUUGUUAACUUCGGCUAAAAUUUUAAUCCAAUCAAAUUGGGGUUUUAUAUAGUUGUGUCACAAGUUGUGCCAUAUAUAUUAGGCCAUGUUUGGUCUAGAUUAGAAGUGGAUUAAAAUUUUAAGUCAAAAUCAUUAAUUAAUUUUAAGUUUUAACCACACACUUCAUAGGAUCAACAUGUUUUCAACCACACAUUUUAUCAACUAAAUUUACUAAAAAUUUGAUUUUAAACUGCACCAAACAAAGGCUAAUUUUACAUAGUGAUGUCAAAAAAGGUGAGAAAGUUUGGGUCCUGCCAAAUUUUCUUAAUGACUCGAUACUUUAUAGAUUUUGCUAAAAUAUUACAACCGAACAAACUGCAAUCUUUAACAAUAUAUUUCAUAGGAUUUACAACUUUUCAAUUACGAUUUCAUCAGUUUUUAUUAAAAUUUUCUAGAUUUUUAUCAAAAGCUUUAUCAAAUAGCAUCUUAAUCUUGUUUCUCAUGAAAAAUAUAUUCUAGAUGUUAGGUGCUUCAAGACUAUGUACUUGUUUGAUAGAAAUUUAAAAUCGAAUUUUUAGUGGAUCGAUUUUAAUAAAAUUUGAUGAAAUUUGUAGUUGAAAAAUUGUGAAUUUCAUACAAUAUAUGUUUAAAAUUAAUUAUUAAUUAAAAUCAAUAUUUUAAUCCCACCAAACAAGACAAAAUAUUUUCUUGACUCUUUUUUUUUUACAUACAAAUGAAGCCUUCCUAAUCUUUUAGUGACAAGUUUGUCUGUAGAGAUGAGGGUUAAUAUUGGACGAUAGAGAUGGUUUUGACAAGUGUGAUAGGUAGGUAUUUGACCACAACCGCAGCAAUGAUGGUAUUACCAACUAUUAUAACUACAUAUUCUGUAGUUAUAACUACAUAUUACAACUAUUAACUACCUAUCACACACACACACACAUAUUGGUUUGAGUUAAAAAAAUUGAUAAAAAUUUAAGUUAAAAUCAAUAAUUUAUUUUAAUUACACAUUUAAUGAGAUACAUUAUUUUUAUCAUCUUUUUAACAAUACAUUUCAUCAAAUUUUGUUAAGAUCUAUGAAAAAUCUGUUUUUUUAUCAAAAUGAAACGGGGGCUUAAAAUCAGUUAAGAAAAGUUCCUUUUUACCAUGUUUAAUUCAUUGAAAUAUUUACUGGAACUGAAUUUUUGGGGUUUACAGUUCAAUUUUACUUGUCUAUGUUUCCAAUUUUGUGAAAAUUAUUAAUAGAAUAUUAUUGAUUAUUAACGAGGCUCUAAAAAAGUUGAAAAAAUAAUAUUGAAAACAGAUGAGUAAUAUAAUUUUUAACUACGCCAUGUUAUGAUUACAAUGAAGGUCUUAAUUUUUGUUCAUUUUUGUGUUUAUAUCUCAAACUCCUUUUUCAUUGUAUUUAAUCUUAACUUUAUAUUAUUAGCACAUCUUGUUCUCGUUGAUGGUCAAAAAAUAUGUUAGGAGAAAGUAAAUUUACUCUCUGUACUUUUAAAUAAGCAAGAUCAAUAACAAAUACAAUAGUCUGACAAAAUACUUUCCUCACAUUAACAUGAUAUUUGGACAAAAAACGUUUUUGGAGAUAAAGUGUUUUAAUUAAUUGAAAUUAAACAUAAAAACACAUCAAAAAAGGUUGAAGAUAUAAUUGUAAAAAUAAGAAAAAUUUGAGGACCUUCAUUGCAAUUACAAUUCGAUGCAGUUAAAAAGUUGUGGUAUGAAUAUAAUUAUCAUUUUACUUAUAUCUAUAGGUUUUCUUCUUUUUUUUUUUAUUAAAUAAAGAAAUUGUUGUAAAGUCAGAAAAUCUUGUAUAUCUACAAAAGUAAGAUCCAAUGCAAAUAUGCAAUACAAAUGACACUGCUUCAAGUCAAAGUUAAAUAAUAUAAAUAUUCAAGUCUAUCAAACUUAGCCUCUAUUUGGUCCUCGUUAUUUCAAAUUAUACCUUUUGAAAUAGUAACGUGUGGUUAAAAAAAAAAUUCGAUUUACGGGUAAUAUUAUUUUAUAGAAGAUUGUAUGAUUGAAAAUAAGAAAGAGAAAAAUAUAUUUUUGGGAUAAUGAGAGCCAAAUGGGGACUUACUUGAAUAAAACCACAUACUGUGGAUUUACUUUGAGCGAAUAUACAAUAUCUUGUUCAUUUACCCAUAACUAGAAGAUUAAUAUCACGGUGGUUCGACAAAAUCUUCAUACAUUGACUUUUUCGGAAGUCACCUUGUUGAUAUCCUCCUACAACAAGGUAGGUCACUUGGUGGGGUUUCUUUGAGACAAAGAAACAAUAAUAAGGCUUUAUAUAUAUACACACACACACACAUAUACAUACAUACUUCAACAGGCUCUUUACAUUUAAUACUACCAAAAAUAUUUAUUAUUUGUCCUGUGUUUUAUUUUAACGAGCUUCCAUCCAAAUUAUUAUGUUGUUUUUCUCCAUUAAAAAUUGCAAUAUGUAAUAUCUCGAAUAUACAUACAAUAUAUUAUGAGGCAUAAAUGCAAGUUUCGAGAUUUUAGGGUAACUUAAUAUUUUUACCAUUUUCUAAGGACCUAGUGUUAAUAUUCUUAAUAAUUGGAUAUAUAUGAGUUUUACAUGAAUUUGAAUUUUAAUAUUAUUUUGGAUAUAUAUUGAAUUAUUAUUUAAUUAUCUGAUAUAAAAGUAUUUAGAUAAAACUUUAAAUUUGCAUAAAUCCACACUGGAAUCUUAUCCUCAUCUAGUUAGAAUUUUCUUAAAUUUGAAUUUCAUGAUAAAUUUGUUUGUUGAAAGGUCAAUUUAAAUUUGAAUUAAGAGUCCUAUUAGAAUUUUAAUUAAGUAACAAUCAUUAUCUAAUGACAUCUAUAAUUAUCCUCUUGUCGCACUUUAAUUCAGACAAAUUAAAGAAGGGAGAGAGAAAAGAAAAAGAAAAGGAGAGAGAGAGAAAGAAAGAACUAGAAAGGAAAGUGAGAGAGAAAAGAAAGGAAAAGAAAAGAAAAAGUUUUUUGGUGCGAUUCACUCGUAAGAAUUUUCACUCUUAAAUAGUUUAAGUAUAUGAGAAAUUUAACGAACAAGGUAUGGAUUUCUCUAAAUGCUAAAUGAUUUUGUGUUUUCAUUUUUUAAUGUUAUAAGAUAAGUAUUUUAUGUGCUAUUACGUUAUCAAAGUUAAAGAAAAAUAUUAUGGAUAAUACCAUGGGGUAUUAUUAUGUAGAUUUACACAAAAACUAGCCAUGGGACUACAUACCAUAAGUGGAGGUUGAGAAUGAGUAUGACUUAAAGUGAAAAUGAGACGAUCAUGUUUCUAUCCCAUUAGAAAAUUAUGUUAUGUACGUAUUUUACUCUUUUUUCAUAUAUAUAUCAAAUUGUGAAAAAUACUAAUAUGAAAUAUGUAAUGAGUGUAUCUAUAUGCGCAUUCCAUAUUAAAAAUAUUUUAAGAUACUUGAUUGAUCGAGGUUGGAGAACGAGACUGCUGACGAUAUUGAUGCCACUAGAUCAAGAAUUUUAUUUCCUUUCAAUAUUUAUUAUUUAGUUUAAAAUUAUUUAGCAAUCAGACAUUUAUUUUCAAAAUCAAUGGAUUUAUAUUUCAUUAGUGGAUUGUAUUUAUUUGACAUAUUACAAGGUAACAAUAAAACUUAUUUUAUUCUGCAAAGUUCUUCAAUUUUUUUGUAUUACAAUGUGUCAAUCAACUUUUAUAAUAACUAAAGGAAUUAUUUGAAUAACCUACAGAACAUAGGUUUCGGGCAUUAUAGUAUGGUAUCAGAACUCAGGCAAUUUUUCCUGCAUACGUUGUGAAAUUAAAAUUUUAUAUUUCUUUAUAUGUUAAAAUUUUAUAUAAGUUUUGAUCCACACAACAUUUGAAUCAGCAUUAUCAACUUCUAACCACGAUCUAAGGUAUGAAAUUACUUUAGUUUUAAAAUUAACAAGUGAUUGCUUGACCUUGAUAUAUUCUCUUUGUAAAAAGUUAAAUUGUCGUAUUUUAUAGAAACUUCAUGACUGUGCUAUUUGAUUUUACGGAAAAAAAUUCAUUUUUUGAGUUUUCUUUAUUUGCAUAUUUGUAGGAUUGAAAGACUUAGAAAAAAAGACCUAAAUUAUCUAAGGCAAGUUAGGGAUGUAGGUGAUGCACUAGUAACCCGUUCAUCACAUGAAAACCUUUUCAGUGGAACAUUAUUCAAAUCAAUAAGACGAAAAGUAAUAAUGAAACCCACUAUUUUAUUUUAUUUUUUUUAUGUAAAGCCCAUUUAGCAAAAUUUUAUUGGAAACAAUAAGAAUAUAUUGAACAAAAACAACACUAUUUAUACUCAAGUAUUCUUGUUGUCAACUAUAUCAGGUUAGUUGAAUUAACUUGAAUGACCUAUAAUAUACAAUCCCUAUAUUUAAGGUUUAGUUAACAAUUAAUUUAGCACGAGAAUUACUAACUGCUAUGCUAGGAAUGUCGUAGCAAGAACCACCUCAACAGCUUCGAGAUAGCCCUGGAUUGUCUUUGAUUAUAUAACAGUUUUACAAGAUGCACCCACUCGUGUUUGAAGGUGGCAUUGAUCCACUGGCUGCUGAAGAAUGGCGCUUCGCCAUUUUGAGCAUAUCUUCAGGUUUAUGGAAUGUACUGACGCACUAAAAAUUCUUUUUAUAGUAUUUACGAUGGAGAAAGGAGCAAGUCAUUGUUAGAAGAUGACUUCUGGAUCCCGUACCAAGGAGUAGCAGCGCAACUUUACAUGGGCACGAUUCAAACAGACAGUGCUUCAGAAGUACUUAGGGUUGGAUAUGGUCCGAUUCAAUUCAGUUCUCAAGAGAAUUGAAUUGAAUCGAAUCUGAAUUUUCUAUAUUUAGUAAGUGGAACCGUUCGGAUUUGGUUAUAUUAAUACCACACACAUAUACACCCUCUCUCUCUCUCUCUCUCUCUCUCUCUCUCUCUCUCUCUCUCUCUCUCUCUCUCACACACACACACACACACACAAACACUUGCACACACACUUUUUAAACAAUCAUUUAAAAUCUUUUUUUUUUAAAUUCUCGAUCAUUGUCCACCGUGAACAAUGACACGCACUAUUCACGUUUAAUUUUUUGUUUAACUUUAAAGUCUAAAUAAGCCUACAUAAAAUUUAUUGGUCUCUACUACCAAAUGUAACAACCCAAAUUUUAAUAUUUAAAUCAUUAUUAAAAGUUUCAUUUCAUAAUUAAAUAAACAUAUCAAAAAUCACAACAUGAAAAUUUUGGUUCCACCAAUAUUAAAUAAAACAUAUAGAAAAACAUAACCAAAUAAAACAUGUUCCAAAAUCUAAAUAACAAAAUCCACGUACUAAUAAAACUAAAAUAAAUGCUGAAAAUAAAAUUCAUAGUUAUGUUACACCGGAUUUUAUUUAUUAAGUCCAAUGAAUCCAAACACAAUGACCGCACCUUAUCGCCUGCAAACCAAUACUUGUUCUAACCUCUGAAAUACUUAAUAUGACAUAAAAAUAAUGGUGCAAUCUCGAAUAAAAAUAUUUGAUCACGCAUCAAAAAUAUCAUACUAUGAUCAUAAAUUUAGGGACCGAUAAUAACUCAAUACAUAUCACAUCUACGGUACUGAAUGACCAUAUCAUAUAUAUCAUAUCAUAUUUUUACCUUUCACAAGUAUAAUAAUUCGAUAACACGUAAAAACAAUUUAAACGGGAUAAAAACAAAUGCACCUCGUAAUCCUAACUCAUUAAAUCAAAUAACUUUUUUGCAAGAUAAAAUCCAAAAUCACGUUUCAAACUUUAUUUUCUGCCUCUGCUUCUAUGCUGUGCAUGUGUAUAUAUAUUUAUGUUGAAUUAAGCUUGGCGUACAGAUUUUACCUUACAGGUUCCCUACAGGUAAUUUAAAAAUGAUCAACUUGAUGGCCCACUUGUUGGUAAUAAAAAAAUGAGAAAAAUCAUAAUGGAGGGAAAGUAAAUGCAUCCCACGUGAAUACACUUUCAUUCCCCCCAAAAUAGCAAACAAUUGGUCUUGUGGUUCCCUUUUCCUUCCAACCUUGUAAUCCGGCAGAAACGACUGUAGCCACUACCGUCCGACCAGCAGAAAUAAGUUCCACCUCCGGCAGAUUUCGACUUCAUCUGAACGAGCGACAAAGGUCCAUCAUUGCACCCAUUUUCUCCACCUCAAACGAGCUACGUGAGCAAUUUCUGUAAAUCCACAAAUUGGGGAUGGGUGCCGGAAUAUCUUCUCCACCUCGAACUCUCUCUCACAUCCCUCAUGAGCUAAACUUCCAGCAGCGGUUCGAAAUGCCCAAAACCUUCCUGCCAUUUGCCCGUUUUCCACACAAGCCGUGAGUGACUUCUUGUCUUUGUGUUUGUCAUUUGCCCAUUUUCAUAUGAGAAUAUUAUUGAUAUUGUCAUUAAGUAUUAGCAAUGUGAAUAAAUUUUGUGAUAAAUUUGUUGUAACUUGGCAGCAAUGUUAAUAAACUUUGUGAUAAAUUUAUUGUAACUUGGCAGCAAGGUGAAUAAUUUUUGUGAUGAAUUUGAUGUAAUAUAAAUCUAUGAUGAAUUUGUUGUAAUAUAAAUUUGUGAUGACUUGGCAGCAAUGUGCAUAAUUUUUGUGAUGAAUUUGUUGUAAUAUAAAUCUGUUAUUACUUGACAGCAAUGUGUAGUGGGUGAAUAUGUAUAUAGAAACUGAAUUUAUUCAAAUGUGUUUAUUUACUAUAUUUGAUUUAUGUGACAUAACGUUACAAGUUAUAUUAUUGCUGACAGUAAAUUAUGAAAGACGUGGUCGAUAAUUCUUUGGCAGAAUCUGAAAAUGAGAAUGUUGUUGAAAAUACGAAUUUAGUGAAAAAAGAAGGUUUAGCAGAUGGGGACUCGAUUGUGCCGGAGAUGGGUAUGCAGUUCAACGAUGAAAAAGCAAUGUUUGAAUUCUACAAAAGAUAUGCAUACGAUGUAGGUUUUCCCAUUCGGAAGAGAAAUUCAAAAAAAGGAGAAGAUGGACUUUUAAGAUAUGUGACCUUUACAUGUAGUCGUGAAGGUCGAAGGAGUACAAAUGUUGUUGGUUCGUUGAAGCCUCAACCAACGACGUAGACGGAUUGUAAAGCUAGGAUCUCUGCUUCUUCAGAUGUUAAUGGAACUUGGAGAAUCAAUACAGUCAAUCUUGAGCACAAUCAUACAUGCAGCCCUUCAAAGUCCAGGUUUUAUCGUUGCAAUCGAAAAUUGCCUGCACAUGUGAAAAGGAAACUUGAAGUGAAUGACAUGGCAGGAAUAUCGUUGCAUAAAAGUUUCAACUCUGCAGUCGUUGAAGCUGGUGGAUAUGAGAAUUUGCCUUGUGUGGAAAAGGACUGUCGAAAUUAUAUUGAGCAAGUAAGAAGGUUGCGACUUGGAGAAGGUGAUACAGCCGCAAUACAAUCUUACUUUUCCAAAAUGCAAGCACAAUGUCCCGAAUUUUAUUUCAGUAUCGAUUUAGAUGAUGAGUCACAAUUGAAGAAUGUAUUUUGGGCUGAUAAUAAAUGCAGGCAGGCGUGUAGGAGUUCGGUGAUGUUGUCACCUUCGACACCACUUAUUUGACUAAUAAGUACGACAUGCCUUUCGCUCCUUUUGUUGAAGUUAACCAUCACGGUCAAUCUAGAUUGCUCGGUUGUGGUCUAUUGUCGAACGAGGACACAGAUACAUUUGUCUGGGUAUUUAAAACAUGGCUUGAGUGUAUGCAUGGUCAAGCACCCCAUGGAAUCAUUACAAACCAAGACAGGGCCAUGCAAAAUGCAAUUCAAAUUGUCUUUCCGAACACAAAGCAUAGAUGGUGUUUAUGGCACAUUUUGAAGAAAUUGUCGGAGAAGUUCGGGUACCAUGUUGACAAGAGAAACAUAUUUUCGACUAUACAUCGAUUGGUGUAUGAUUCGCAGACUGGUACAGAAUUUAAAGAAGGUUGGGGAUUGAUGAUUGAUGAGUAUGAGUUGCAUGAUAAUGACUGGUUGGCUGGACUGUAUAACAACAGAGCUCGUUGGGUUCCUUGCUUCUUAAAAACAACAUUCUGGGCUGCUAUGUCUACGACUCAGCGAAGUGAAAGUAUGAAUGCCUUCUUCGAUGGGUAUGUGCAUUCGAAGACCUCGCUUAAGCAGUUCGUUGAACAAUAUAAACAAGCACUAAGAAAUAAGGUUGAGAAGGAGUACCAAGCUGACUUCAAGUCAUACUCGCAAAUGGUACCAUGUGCGACAAAUUAUGAAAUGGAAAAAUAAUUUCAGUUGGUGUACACAAUGUCGAAGUUUCGGGAAGUACAGGAUGAGUUCACAGGGGAGGUAUAUUGUGAUCUCCUCGCUGCCUCGGAGGGAAGUUUGGGGACCACGUACGAAAUUUUAGAGGAUGUGCUGAUCGAACACAUACGGAAGAAAAAAAAGUGGUUCGUCUCUUUUCGGAGGGAUAGUAGUGAAAUUAUUUGUAGUUGCCACUCGUUCGAGUUCCGAGGGAUAAUGUGCAGGCAUGCAAUCGCAGUCUUGAUCUGUAACAAUGUGACAUCAAUGCCAGAAAGGUAUAUACUACGAAGGUGGAGAAAAGAUGUUAGUCGAGCGCACACAAGAGUAGCAGUGAACUAUGCUGACUUAGUUACUACUCAUGCACAGUUGAGAUAUGACGGUAUGUGUCAUGCUUUUUCGCAAUUGGCGGACCUCACUGCAGAUGACGAAGGGCGAUCACGUGCAAUAAUGGACUGGAUAAAAUACCAAUAUAAAGAGCUUACGAUGACCAAGUCGAGCAAUGGAAGUAAUGUUAUUUCGCAGCCUGCUGUUCACUUACCCUCCGAGAACAUUGAUUCUCAUAAAUCUGCAUGCAAGACUGUGAGGGAUCCUAUAUUGGUCAAGAGAAAGGGUGCACCGAAGAAACUUCGAACGAAAGGCCCGUUGGAGUCGAGGUCAAAGAAAAAAAAAGGUAUAUUUGUUUGUUGGCAUCGCAAUAGAAAUGGACCACAUUUUUGAAUUCUCAUUUAACUUUGAUAUAAAUGCAGGGAAAUUCGACUUCAAGCAAGGGAACACAUCGACGGACAUACCUACUAACAUCCUGGAGGUUGCACCCGAAGUUCAAGUAUCUCAACUAAACUAUUCCCUAUCGACCACGUUCUCCUAUUCACAAAUGUUGAUGGUUAGUAUUUUCAAUUCUCUAUUGCAAAGGAUGUUUACGUUUUAUUUACAUUAUUGCUGCAUAUAGGGUGAUGCCGAAAAUCAUUUAUUUACCCAACAAUGCCUAUCUUCGAAUGUUAUGCCACCAUCGUCACGUGAUAUUAUAUUUCAUUCACAAGGUAAAUAAAUGUUCAAAUUUCUUAAUAAUUCAUUCUUGUAUAAUUUCAUUACAAGUUUUAAUGUUCGUUGCAUACGGCAGGUCAUGGAAUGCCCUACUACUAUCCACAUUUACCAGAACAAGGUGGCAGCGGCUUGUGAAAAGGUUAAGCGUCCACCAUUGACUUCGCAUAUAGAAAUGGGAGAAUUUAACAUGAAUGACUUAGUUGUUACUUUUGUAGGGAGGGAAACAUCAUAUGUAGUGGCCGAAGGGAUCUCAACUAAGUUGUUAGAAGGAUUGACGGACCAUUUUCAUAGGAUAAUAAUGGCUGGACCGUAGGCCAUGUUUUUGUUUUUUGUAAAGCAUUUUGCUUGGCGGGCACUUUUUAUUUGGUGGCAAAGAUUCAGGAAUAGACUUUGGUAUCUAUUCUAUUAGGCAUUGAUGAGAGUAACUAUGUGAUAGUCAAGUCCGCUGGAAUACUAGUGGAAUAACUUUUAUAUUAUUUUGACAUCUGCUGCUUGGUGAGUUCUGUGGGCUUGUUAUUAUUGGGCAUGGGCAUUUAAAGCUGCGAAAGCAGUGUGUAAACAAAAGAUGUUUUAAUGUUGCGUUAAUCUAUCUUGGAGUUGAAUUUGAAAAAAAUUCUAUAUUAUGUGAUUUAUAUGUGAAUUAUAUUUUUUGGUUGUCUCAAUAAACAUAGCAAAGGAAGGCUCGACUUACUUUCUCCCAUGGUGCAAAACAACUGUAUGCUUAUUCCUAAGAUGGUUGUUGUUGCUACCUCAAAGUUGAAUAUGAAGUUCUUGGGAGUAUGUUGGAGGUUUUCAAAACCACAUUACAUAGAAGGCUACAGUAAUAAAAUUGAUAGACUGACGAGCCACAUUUUUCUUCAACCUCUGAUGAAUGAGCCACUAAAUAAAUUGAAGAAAAUUCUACCAUCAAUUUGAACCAUAAAAAUUAAUUAACAGAAACAAAAGCUAUUCCUAACUAUCAUGGUUAACCAUCAUUAUUUUCCUUGUGGUAUCAAAAUGAGUGGGACGGUCCAUUUACUGUUCGAAUUCACAACAAAAUAUAUACAAAUUAAAGGACAAAAACACUGAAUUAUCUGGGCUACAGCACUCAACAUACAAGUAGGCAUUUUUAUUUAUCUGGGCUACAGCUACAAUUGCUAACCAAACUACAGCAACGUAACAAAAUUACAACUUGCAGAGCGGUUGACAUAGAAGUAGACUGGGGUCACAUACUUCACAAGUCGCAAAACACUUAACAUAAUUGUGACCUAUUAUCACGAAGCUAAUAUAAAGUUCCCUCUUAGUAUUCUUACGUCAACAAACAUAACUCAACUUGACCCAUUCGAACAACGACGCCAAUUAAGCCAGCCUCUUCCCUUUUGCAUUCCCAGAUGCACCACAUUUUUCUUUACGGAUAGUCACGUUCACAGCAAUAUGGAGCUCUUCGUCAUCAUUUAACCGCACUUGAGAUUGGAACGUGCGGGUCAUAUCUUCAAUUGCUUCCAUUACCAUUGGGGUAGUCGAGGUAGCACUAACGCUACUACAUUCACCUCGUGCUUGACCUUCUUCGUACCAUAUCCAAAAUCCACAUUUCUGACUGCAACACUUGAAUAAUCUGCCUUUGUUACAAGUUUCUUUCUCCACCUCAAAGCACUUUUGAUAUCCAUGCUCACACAACGGACAGUGCACUUUGAUAGGGCAUUGGACAAAUAAGUGUGCCUUGCUUCUACAACUAUGGCACACACCUGAAUUCUUCCCUAGCAUUCUACUAUGCAAAUCAACCUGCCAUCACCAAUCAAUUGGCAAUAUGAAUUACAUUACAUAAAUAAUGUAUAAAUUACAAAAGACACACCGCCGCGACAUAACAAUAGGCCCAACCUCUUUGAACAUUAUAAACAACUACAUGCAGGGAAUAUUGGAUUUUUUACUUCACAUUUGCUCUUCCUAUUUGAAGACAAUUAAUUUACAUUCCAUAACAGGACUCCGAUAAGUCUAGAUUUUCAAGAACGUUAUCCAUCAGACGAGGCACAGCACGGUUACAUUAACAAUAACGACAGAGCACUGGGUAUAAUGCAUUCACAUUUCUCCCUUCCUAUUUUUGUUUGCUAUUUGUCUUUCAUGCCAAUCAAUUAGCACUUUUUCAGAAGAACCAUAUAAAUGACAACAGGAAGAUGAAAUUAAACUACUACCUGAAUGAGAGUAGAUGGUCGUCAUCGAACUUGUUCAACAACAGAGAGAGUUCAGGGGAUCGUCAACUUGUUCGAUGCCUUUCAAAGACUGGGAAAGUGCUUGGGGAUUAUAGGACAGAAACGAUUCUAAAGCCUGCAGCCUGUGAAGAAGAACACAGUGAUGGUGGCAAAUUCGGCUACAUCGAGGUCAUUCAACGCCGGCUUCUAAGAUGCAUUCUUCUGGGAGAAGACAACCUCAUGACCAAAAAACGUUGAUGGGCUGCCGGAGAUGGAGGCGAAUCAGCCGACGCUCACUUGUGGAUGUGAAGUGAAGAGGCGAGACAAUCGAGCUUGGUCAGGUGCGGUAUCGACCGCGCUUGGUGUAUAGGGUUUGAAAUUGGGGAUUAUAGGAGAGAGUGUGAAAGAAAAUGCUGAAUUAUUGACUGAUUUUUGCUCAUUUUCUCGUUCUUUUUUCUGGGAGAAUUUACUCACUUUCCACGCAAGCCUGUAAAACGCCUGUAGGAUCGACCCUGUACACCAAGCGCGUUCGAUGUAUGUUUGUGUCCCCUCCACCAUCAUGUUAUACAUAUAUAUGUACUUAGGCAAUAGUGACCUAGACCCUAGGGGGUUGGUGAUAGUGGGAAACGUGUAGGAUAAGGUAAUAAUUAAAAAUUUUAAAUUAAACUUUAUCAUGGUAGGAUUCAUACACGUUGAGGAAAUAGAAUAUUUAAAUUCAUAUUUAACUUAAUUAAUUACAAAUUAAGGUAAUAUCUUUCAAAUUCGAUAACUUGGGCUUCGCUUAUUCAAAUUAACUUUUUUCUCGAGCCUAAUAUACAUGAUUUAACACGAGCUAUCUAACGAGCCCAAUAUUGAUAUACUUAUCAUUGCUCUAUCAAAAUCUAAUUAUUUGACCAAAAAAAUUGAAUUUAAUACAUAUAUGAUUUUAGUCCCCCCAAUAUUCCAAAAUAUAAAAUGUAGCAUAUAGAAUAAUUAAAUUUUAUUCUGUGAAUUUGUUUAGAGCUUUACAUCUUCGAUAACCAAAGAAAAUUUCGAUGACGGAAUUUUAUUAAUAGGCGGAGGAUGUAAUACUCCAAACAUACUCACAAUAUAUUAAAAGGCAUAAAUGCAAGUUUUGAAAUUUUAGACUAGUUUAACAACUUUACAAUUUUCGGAACUUGUAUUAAUAUUCCUAAUAAUUUGAUGUGCACGAGUUUUACACAAAUUUAAAAUUUAAUAUUAUUUUGUAUAGCUGUUAAAUUAUUAUUGAAUUAUCUUAUAUAAAAGUAUUUAGAUAAAAAUUGAAAUUUGCAUAUAUCCACAUUGAAAUCUUAUCCUCAUGUAGUUAGAAUUUUCUUAAAUUCGAAUUUCAUGAUAAAUUUGUUUGUUGAAAGACCAGUCUAAAUUUAAAUUAAGAGUCCUAUUAGAAUCUAAUUGAGUAAUUAUCGUUAUCUAAUCACAUCUAUAAUUACCCUCCUGUUACACUUCAAUUCUCGCAAAUUUAGAGAGAAAAAGAACAUAAGAGAGAAAAGAAAGAAGAGAGAGAGAGAGAGAAAUUGUGAAAAACGGAGAAGAAGAACAAAAAGAGAAAGAAGAAAGAAAAUAAAAAGUUCGAGAUUUGUUCGCAAGAAUUUUCAGUCCUACCUAGCUCAAGUAUACAAGAAAUUUAAUGAAUAAGGUAUGAAUUUCUCUAAAUGCUAAGUGAUUGUGUUUUCACUUUUUAUUUUUUUAAGUUACGUAUUUUAUGUGUUAUUAUAUGAUCCAAAUUAAAUAAUGAUAUUGUGGAUAAUACCAUAAGGUAUUAUUUUUUAGAUCUAUACACAAACCAACCAUAAGGCUCAAUACUCUUAAGUGGAUAUUUGAGAUUGGAUAUGACUUAAGCAAGAAUGAUAUGGUCAAGUUUCUAUCCUACUAGAAAAUUAUGUUAUGUACAUAUUGUAUUUGCAUUUUAUAUUAAAUUGUAAAAAUACUAACAUGAAAUCUAUAUUGGGUAUAUUCAUAUGCUCAUACCAUUUAAAAUAUUUUCAAAUACUCCAUUCAUCGAAGUUGGAAGUUGAGACUUCUGAUAGAGUCCGUGCCACUGAAUCAAGAAUUUUAUUUUAGUUCAAUAUUUAGUAUUUUGAUUAAAAUUAUUUUGCAAUUAGACUUUUAUUUUCAAAAUUGAUGGAUUUAUAUUUCAUUAGUGGAUUGAAUUUAUUUGAUAUAUUAUGAGACAAUAAAAUGGUUUAUUAUUUUUUGAAUUACAAUGUGUCAAUCAAAUUUUAUAAUGGCUAAAUAAUUUAUCUGAGCAACUUUUGGGACAUAAGUUUCUGGGGGUUACAAAAUUUUUUGAAUGUAAUAUAGAGUGGAAUGACUUUUUAAAUUUAGAGUGUCAAACUCACUCUCUAUUUUAAAAGCAUCUUCAAGAAGCUCUUUAAAAAUAAGAUACUCUAUAUUUUAAAGAGUCAAUUUUUAAAAUUAUGAGCAUCUUCAAGAGACUAUUUAAAUGCAAGAUCAUCUCUAUUUUAAAGAGUCACCUUUUAAAAUUAUGCUCUAAGAAACUCUUUAAAUUAACAUUUUAAUUUAAAUAGUGAGUUUGACUCUCCAAAUUUGAGAUAUUUUCAAUGUAGGAAAAUUAUAUAAUAAUUUGAAGAGGAGCUAGUCAAAAUAAAUGAUAGAAAAAAUAAUAAAUAUUUGUUUGGAAUAGUAAAAUUUAAUGUUAAAUAUAAAGAGCACGUUGAAAUAUUUUAAAAAAUUUACUCUUUAAAUUUAUAAAUGCUUUCUAAAUUAUAGAAUAUACUUCUUAAAAAUAUAGAAUCUAUUGGAGAUACUAGAACUCUCCAAAUUUAAAAAGCUAAACUCACUUCAUAUAAUUAAAUGCAUUCAAAAUAUUUUAAUAUUCAAUGGAGAAAAAUAAUAUAAUAAUUUGGAGGAAAGUAAUGAAAACACAAGAAAUGGAAAAAUAAUAAAUAGUUUUUGGGAAUAAUAAAAAUAACUGUUAAAUAUAAAAAGCUUAUUGAAGUACUUAAAAUUUUACUCUCUAAAUUUAUAUAUACUCUUUAAAUUGCAAAAUAUACCCUUUAAAAAUAAAUGGUCUAUUGAAGAUGCUCUACAAUGUUUAAAAAAUUUCUAAGAAUAUAAUUUUAUGAGUUAACUCUUUAAAAUAGAGAGUAUUUUAUAUUUAAAUAGCCUUUUUAAAAAUGCUUUUACGAGGCCCAAAGGAAAAGGGUACUAGUAAGAGUUGUUGAUAGCCCAAGCUAACACCCUAAUGUCCAUCUUAGGAUUGGGUAAUAUUUCGCCGGACAGAUCUAUGCUCAUUUUUAUUUAUUUAUAAAUUAAUGAUUUUUAUACCCUUCUCAAAUGGAGGCUUAAUUAAAAAAUAAUAAAUAAACAAAAAAAAAAGAACAAAAAUGGAAAAUAAUAAAGCCACUUAUCUUCUCUACCUCUGCCCUUGUUGCCCAAAUGUCAUUGGCCACCACCAUCAUUACCUCCAAUCCCAAGUCAAGCUCGCAUACUCGACUCUUUCACCAUCUCCACAUCAACAACUGAUAAGUGCAUUUUAUGCACUUAUUUAGACCAUAUUAUUAAGUUUUUAUGUCAUGAAAGUGUUAAUUGUUACUUAACUUGAGUAAUUUUUCGUUUAUUUCAGUGAUGGACCAGUUCCUAAGCAAUUGGAAAAGAAAAAAGGGGGAAAUCCAAAGUAUGAGGACUAAAUUGCAACAUUUCAAUAGUUGAUUCGGAUCACAAAAUGAAGAUUAAAGAUGUUGUGGGUUCAAUUGGAUGCAAAUGAAAGUCAAAUAGUUGAAAUUGCAAGAGAAAGAGCUUGAAAGAAUUAAAAAUCGACUUCGGGGGCUAAAAUGCAACAUAUAGAAGAAAUUUUGCCUGGGCGACAGCCCAGUUAUAAAAACAGGGCGAUCGCCUCAUAUGUUUUUCUUAUUAUUGAGAAGCAAAUGUUAGCCUGGGCGACAGCCCGGGUUUUGCCUGAGCGACAGCCUAGGCCAACCGCGGCGAAAAUUUUCUGAUUUCUUUUUCUGAUUAAAACUCUUAUGAAAACAAAUCUUAGGAGUCUUUUAAAGCCCUAGGGACGUCCAAAAAUAGAGAGGACACAUUAUACAUUAUUUUGGGAGGAUCUGAAGAGGAAGAAGAAGGAAGAACAAGAAGAUUCAAUCCAAGAUUCAGUAUCUCACUUCAAGAAUUCAAUAGGGUGAUGUCUUUUCUUGAUUCUUGUUGUUAUGUUCUUCUUUCCAUUAUGUUAGGCUAGAAAAAUCUAUACUAGGAGAUCGAUGAACCUUGUAAUGUGAUAUUUAAUUCUUUGUUCCAUAUUUUGACACUAAAACAUAUAUUGAUUGGUUUGAAUGAUUUAUAUGCAUUUAAUUGCUUCCAUGAUUAUAGGUCCGUAAUUAUGUGAGUUUUGGUGGUUUGUUUCAUCUAUUCGAAAGAAGAGGAAUGAAUUCGACAAGGUAUAAAUCAUCAUAAGAUUCGAUAGAAGAUAGAAAUAUACCUCUAUGCUUUGCGUAUAUCUCUAAGUACUUACAAAACUACGUGCAUUCUCAUAUAUUUGCAUCCGUCAUAAAGAUAUAGGCUAGUGGUGUAUGAGAAUAGGUUCAAUUCAUCUCGAGAGAGAGUGUUGGAUAUAUUUAGGAGUAUUGAUUCUUCAAAAUGUCAUCAUGUUGUCAAAGUGUGGAAUUAAGGUUAAAUUGAGCAUUGCUUGGGGAUUCAUGAUCCUAGUGGGCUUUUAUAUCCAUCGAGUACACCAACUUGCAAUCAACACAUUUACUUCACAUUUUAGUUCAUUCAAAUUAUACAUAUUUGCAUAUUUAAUCCAAGUAAUGUUAAUUUAAGUCACUAAAAUUCACGUUUGACAAAUCAGUUUCGGUUAAGACCAAGUUAGGUAAAAUUAAACUAAUUAAUCUCUGUGGGAUGAUAUUCGGACUCAAUUGAUCCUCUUUAUUACUUGUUAAUGAACCAUACACUUGCGAUGAUUUAAAUCGAAAGAAAAUAUUUCGUGAACAAGUUUUUAGCGUCGUUGCUGGGGAUUGAGUUUUAGUUUGACUUCAUUUAUUUUGGCACUAAUUUGAACUUCUACUUGUAUUUUUGUAUUUUUUUUAGUUUCUUUUUUCGUUUAUUUUGUCUUUGUUUUAUUUUUGAAUUCGAUCUAUCUCUUUAGUGUCUAAGUGCUACUCUUAUUUUUUCUCUCAGAUUUGCAUGCUAAGAUUGACCGGAAGAGAAUUGAUUCCGGUCGAUCCUGAAAUUGAGCGCACUUUUCAUCGACUACAAAGAAAGAACCGAGAAGCAAAAUUGCAAAUGGCUAAUGAACUGAACAAUCCUAUUAUCCUAACCAAUGAAGGAGAGGCAGUGAACGAAGGAAAUGAGAUUUUGGGCAACUUCUUGACUCCUCAAGUGAUUCAAAACCAGUCCAGUAUUGUGUAUCCACCAUUUGGACGACCCAACUUUCAAUUAAAGACGAAUGUGAUACAACUAUUCCAGAAUAGGCAUCAAUUUUAUGGCAGAGCCGAAGAAAAUCCACAUACACACAUAUCUCGAUUCUUGGAUGUGUGUCAACACUUUAGAUAUCAAGGAAUCUCGGACAAUGCUAUUAGGCUAAGGUGUUUUUCACACACCUUGUGGGACAAGGCACUUGAAUGGUUGGAUUUGCUUCUUAUUACAAGCAUCACUACUUGGAACGACCUGGCUCACAAAUUUUGCACGAAGUGCUUCUCACCAGCCAAGAUAACUAAAAUGAGACACGAAAUAUCCAUUUUUAGCCAUUGAAAAUUCGAAUCAUUUGAAGAAGCCUGGAACAGAUUCAAGAAUAUGCUCCGGAAGUGCCCUCAACAUGGGUAUGACAAAAGGACCCAAAUUCGAUUUUUUAUGCGGGGUUACUUCCGUACCACAAAAGCAUGAUGGACUCGGCAUCAGAUGGCUCAAUAUCCACACGAACAGUUGAUCGGGCACUAGAAUUAUUUGAGAAAAUGACAACUACUUCAGUGAUGUGGGCAUCUGAGCUGGUAACUCAGAAGAAACCUCCGGGUGUUUAUAAGGUCGAUACUUAUUCAACCAUAUCUGCGACUCAUUGUUUCACAAGGUAGAAAGCAUAUCACAAACAACACAAAAUAAGAAGAUUAGAUGUGAAGAAUUCGGAGCUGAGCAUAAAAUAUCAGAGUGUCCAAUUUUAAUGCAAGGAGUUGAGCAGGCAGGUUUUGCACAAUGGAGGCAACCCCAAUAGAACAAUCAAUAUGGGGAAACAUACAAUAAUAGUUGGAAGAAGCAUCCCAAUUUCUCUUGGAGCAACCAGAAUUAGAAUAGGCCGCAGGGUCAAUUUCAACAGCAAGAGAAAAAGCCUCAAUUGGAAUACAUGUUCGGGAAAUUCAUGGAGAGGACCAAUCAAUACAUGGAGAAAAUUGAAAUCACUCUGCAAAACUAGAAUGCUGCCAUCAAAAACUUGGAAACUCAAAUGGGACAGAUGACCAUUGCUUUUACUGGAAGAACACAGGGAAAUUUGCCAAGUAACACGAAAAUCAACCCAAAAGAGCAUGCCAAGGCCAUCACAACUCAAAGUGGAGUGUAGCUACCUGAUAUAUAUGUCAAAAAGCCUAUCAAGAACAAAGAGAAUACACCUUCUGUAGAAGAAGAAACUGUGGAGCAGGAUGAACAACCAAACACAUCUACCGCAAAGGAAAGCUUAGAAAAAGCUAGGAAUAAAGCAACAGUUACAGUAAACCCAUAUGAACCUUCAAUUCCAUUUCCACAAAGGUUGAAGAAACACAAAAGGGAGCAACAGUACAAGAAAUUUCUGGAAGUCUUCAAGAAGCUCCACAUCAACAUCCCGUUCCCCAAUACAUUAGUCCAGAUGCCCAGCUAUGCUAAAUUCCCAAAGGAUGUCCUAUCUAAUAAAUGCAAGCUGGAGGAACAUGAGACGGUAAUAUUGAUAGAAGAUUGCAGCGUAAGAAUUCAGAAAAAGCUUCCACCAAAAUUGAAAGAUCCAGGGAGUUUCACAGUCCCUUAUACUAUUGGUGAAGUUUAUUUUGAUAAAGCUUUAUGUGACCUUGGUGCAAGUAUUAAUCUUAUGCCUUUAUCUGUUUCUAGGAAACUCGAUUUGGGUGAGGCUAAGGCAACUACUAUGACGCUGUAAUUGGCUGACAGGUCAUUGACGCAUAUCAGAGGAAUAAUAGAGGACAUGCUUAUCAAGGCUGAAAAUUCAUCUUUCCUGCUGAUUUCCUCAUCUUGGACAUGGAAGAAGACAAAGACAUUCCGUUGAUAUUAGACAGACCAUUCUUGGCUACGGACAGUGCUUUAAUUGACGUUCAAAGGGGGCAGCUAAUUUUGAGACUUGGAGAAGAACAUAUCUCAUUUAAAGUCUUCAAGGCUAUGAAACUUCCUACAGAGUCAGAUAGUUGCUUCCAAAUUGAUGUGGUCGACAAGGUGCUUCAAGACACGUUUCGACUUCAACGUUCAAAAGAUGCUUAUGAGGCAUGCAUUGCACAGUCUUAAUCAAUUCACACAGAUUUUGUAGAGAUUGAAACAUGUGCAAGCUUCUUGGAGACUAAUUCGCCCUACACAAGGAAAAGGCACUUUGAGGAACUUGGAGUUGGAUCCAAAAAACCACUACCAUCCAUUCAGCAUCCACCUCUAUUGGAACUAAAGCAAUUGGCGCCACAUCUUCGAUACGCAUAUUUGGGGGACUCUUGUACACUCCCAGUGUUUAUCUCGAACGCCGUCAGUGAAGUGGAGGAAGAAAAAUUGCUUAGAGUGCUUCGGGAAAACAAGACGGCGAUUGGUUGGACCAUAGCAGAUAUCAAAGGGAUCAGUCAUUCACUCUGUAUGCACAAGAUUCUCAUGGAGGAUAAUUUUCGAUCGAAUAUUGAAGGUCAAAGAAGGUUGAAUCCGAACAUGAAAGAAGUGGUCAAGGUAGAGGUACUUAAAUUACUGGAUGCAGGAAUUAUAUACCCAAUCUCAAAUAGUACAUAGAUUAGCCUAGUUCAAUUUGUGUCGAAGAAGGGUAGAAUCACAGUGGUGUCUAACGAGAAGAAUGAGCUAAUUCCCACCAAAACAGUGACAGGAUGGAGGGUUUGCAUCGAUUAUUGCAAACUCAAUGCAACUAUAAGGAAGGAUCAUUUUUCACUCCCGUUUAUUGAUCAGAUGCUAGAGAGACUGGCGGGGCAUUCACAUUACUGUUUCUUUGAUGAAUAUUCAGGGUACAAUCAGAUACCAGUUACACCAGAUGAUCAAGAAAAGAUCACCUUCACUUGUCCCUAUGGUACUUUUGCAUACCGUAGGAUACCUUUUGGUAUUUGCAACGCUCCUACAACAUUCCAGCGAUGCAUGAUGGCGAUAUUCUCCGAUAUGGUGGAAAAAUUCAUUGAGAUAUUCAUGGAUGACUUCUCAGUUUUCGGAUCGUCAUUUGAUGAGUGCUUGAAGCACUUGAAUUUGGUAUUACAGAGAUGUAGGGGGACUAAUCUGGUUUUGAAUUGGGAGAAAUGCCACUUUAUGGUCUAGGAAGGGAUUGUACUUGGGCAUCGAGUGUCAUCGAAGGGAAUUAAGGUGGACAAAGUGAAGAUUCAAGUUAUUGAAAAUCUACCGCCACCAAUGGGGUUCGUAGUUUCUUGGGACAUGCUGGGUUUUAGAGGAGAUUCAUCAAAGACUUCUCGAAAAUCACUAAACCACUAUGCAAUAUGUUGAUAAAAGACAUACCGUUUGAGUUUAAUGAGGAGUGCCUAACAACUUUCAAUACAUUGAAGGCGAAACUUACAACAACACCGAUAAUUGUAGCACCGGAUUGAGAACUGUCAUUUAAGCUAAUGUGUGAUGCCAACGAUCAUGCCAUAGGAGCUGUUUUGGGGCAGUGACGAAAUAAGGUUUUUCACGUGAUUUACUAUGCAAGCAGAACCUUAAAUGAUGCACAAAUCAACUAUGCCACCAUUGAGAAGGAGCUCUUGGCCGUGGUUUUUGCAUUCAACAAAUUCAGAUCAUAUCUCGUGGGGUCUAAAGUUGUAGUGUACACAGAUCAUGCCGCACUGAAGUAUUUGAUGACAAAGAAGGAUGCAAAGUUAAGACUGAUCCACUGGGUAUUACUCUUGCAAGAAUUUGACAUCGAAAUCAAGACAAAAAAGGGAGUGAUAAUGUGGUGACUGAUCACUUGUCUUGAUUGGAGUUCGAAGAAUCGAAGGAAUCAGUGGACAUCAACGAGAUUUUUCCCGAUGAGUAAAUAUUCAGUAUUGAAGAAGCACCUUGGUAUGCCGAUAUUGUAAACUAUUUGGCCAAAUCCAUUCCACCACUAGAUUAUUCAAGUCAUCAGAGGAAAAAGUUCUUCUCGGAGUUAAAAUACUACUUCUGGGAAGAUCGUAUUCUCUACAGGCACAGGGCAAAUCAGAUUGUUAAGAAAUGUGUACCUGAAGAAGUACCGAAGAUUCUUGAGCAUUGCCAUUCAUCCUCAUAUGCGGGACACUUUGGAGCUUCAAAGACUGCUGCGAAGAUUCUACAGUCGGGGUUUUACUAGUCUACAUUAUUCAGAGACACCUUUGAAUUUGUAAAGAUGUGUGAUAGGUACCAGUGCAUUGGGAAUAUCUCGCGGCGAAAUGAAAUGCCAUUAAACAAUAUAUUGGAGGUUGAGAUAUUUGAUGUUUGGGAGGAUCGACUUCAUGGGGCCGUUUCUCCCAUCGUUCUCCAAUGAAUACAUACUGGUGGCUGUUGAUUACAUAUCGAAGUGGGUGGAAGCCGUUGCAUUGCCUACCAAUGAUGCGAAGGUGAUAAUUGAUUUCCUGAAGAAGUACAUUUUCAUUCGCUUUGGCACACGGAGAGCUAUAAUCAGUGAUGGGGACAAACACUUCUGCAAUCGUCAAUUUGAACAGUUGUUGAGUAAAUAUGGCGUAAAACAUCGUGUAGCUACUCCAUAUCACCCUCAGACUAGCGGAAAAGUUGAAGUGUCCAAUAGGCAAUUGAAGAGGAUACUUGAGGUAACAGUGAAUUCAUCUUGAAAUGAUUGGUCUAAAAAGCUGGAUGACGCAUUGUGGGCUUAUAGGACAUUCAAGACACUGAUAGGUAUGUCUCUGUAUCUCCUGGUUUUUGAAAAAGCGUGCCACCUGCCACUAGAGAUAGAACAUUGGGCAUAUUGGGCUAUGAAACAAUUGAACAUGGAUUUGAAGGCAGUCGGUGAAAAGCGUUUACUGCAGCUUAAUGAAUUAGAUGAAUUCAAGAUGGAAGCAUAUGAAAACUCAAGGCUCUACAAAGAACGAACCAAAAAGUGGCAUGAUUUGCACAUUUAGAGGCGAGAAUUUAAAGUGGGGCAGAAAGUGUUAUUGUACAACUCGAGACUAAAGCUCUUCACGGGAAAAUUAAGGACAUGGUGGUCGGGUCCUUAUACUGUCACAAAGGUUUUACCAUAUGGAGCUAUAGAAGUCAGCCAUGAAACUAAGGGUACCUUCACAGUAAAUGGGCAAAGGCUAAAACACUACUGGAGAGGUGACUUCCCCAAGUAAAAGUCCAAUGUUCAACUCGGGACACCAGAAUAAAGCAGCUAUGGGAAAGUUGAGCUAUCGACUAUAAACUAGCGCUGUGUGGGAGGCAACCCACUGUAUCCUUUUAACUUAUUUCGUUUUAUUUUUGCUUUAGCUUAGGAGCCUUUCAAUUUCACGUUCACAUUUUCUUUUUGUUUUUUUAUAGUUAGGUCAUCGAUCAUCCAUGCAUGUCAAAAUAGUCUAAACACUACCCCCACAAGAUGCCCUAUGCAUCGAGCAUGAGUUGUGAUUGAUUUGAGUGUUUUGGGUAUGAUAAUCACGCAUUUCGAGGCAUAAUGUUGUUUUUCAAAAAAAAUUCAGGGUUAUGGUGUGAUUUCAAUUCAAAAACUGAUUUUGGCACUAAGUCUAUGGCCGGCACAUACCCCAAGUUGAGUACCAUAUUUUCAAAAUUUUUAGGGUAUGUGAGAGGCCAGAUUAAUUCUCCAAUCGAAAACCACCUUUUGGGACAUAUUUGAUUAAAGUCGUGUGUGUGGAAUCAAAUGUAUUUAAAAAAAAAAAAAGGGAGGGGGGCUCCGCGAGGCUAGAUGAGUGCUCAGCUUUAUAAGCCGGGUGCUCGCCCGGCUGCGUUAAAGGCCAACAGGCCAUUAACUGCAGCCGCCCAGUUCAAAAAAAUACAGUUUUUAUAAAAACUCACGCACACACAAACACGAAAUUCGCAACUCACGGCAUAAGAUCGACACUACACACACAAGAACUCAUCUAACACACAAGAUUGGUUGGACAAUUCAAUCCAUUGCAUUCAACUCCUUCAAGGUAUGCACUCUUCUCCUAUCUCUUCUCUUCACAUUUUGAGCCGACAAUUUCAUUUGGAUUUCCUAGGCAUAUUAAGGAGUUUGUGAUGAAAUCAAUAGUGGUUUAAUAGGUUUGUGUUGUGAUGAAGACAAAAAGCAAAUGGGGCUUUGAUUCAAACAUUACUCUCUUGCAACCUUAGAAAAAUUAAGUGCCUUCAAGUUAUUUGAUAAAUUGCCUAAUAAGAGAUUAUUGGGUGAGUAGGGAGAGUCUAGUAAUUGGAAGCAAUGAUACAUGUUGUAGAUUGUUUUUGGUGUUGAGAUUCACAGAAUUGCAUUAGAAAACGCCAAAAUUUUGAAUUGCAUACCCUAAGCACCAUGGAUACACAUCAACAACCUUACGAUACAAACUUUUUGUUUAGGGAAUUUGAGAUGUAUUAUAUUCAUUUAUUUUAUACAUAUCCUAUUUAAUGACAUUUUCUCACGCAUGGCACAUGUUGUUACAUUUUGGCACAUGAUAAUUGGCAUAGUUUGGGGGUAUUCUCCACUUCACCUUACUCAUUUGUUUGUUACCUAUAUACUUACAUUUUCUAUAUUCAUAUGUACGUAUAGAAUGCCACCAAAAAGGAAGGCCACAACUCAUGAGAAAGGAAAGUCUAAAGUUGGCAAAACCUCAACCCGAUGCCAACGGGCAACAUAAAAUCUAGUUGACAGGGAUAUUCCACGGUUUGUGACUGUUAAGACUCGUGAAAAUUUUAACACAAAGUGGAAAGAUAAGAAAUUUUAUCGAGAACGGCGGGUCAUACUUAGCGAUUUUGGAGGAACGUUACUGGAGAGAAUCAUACACCAUUGUGGGUAGGACAAAGUUAUUGAUACACCUCACGCGGCAUUUCCUACAUUGGUAAAGGAAUUUUUCACCAAUUACAAUGCUGAUAUUGAUAACCCAAAAUCUCCUCAUAGAAGUCAAACAUGGGUUAGAGGAAAAUGGAUUCGGUUCAGCCCAACAACAAUUGACAGGUACUAUAGGUUGAAUCACACUCAUGUAGAGCCAUUACUAGAGGAACAAGACAUGGCACUGGUAGCACAUUUUCUGUAUGUUAGGGAAGUUGAUUGGCCACUUAAUUCAUUUCAUUUCCUGCAUAACGAACUAACUCUAGAGCUCAAACUCUUGCACAUCAUCUUCUGCACAAACAUUUACCCUACAUCCCAACAGACGAGAUUCAAUGAAGAAAGGGCAAGGUUACUUUAUCAUAUGGCAAGAGUGCGUAAGUUUGACCUGGGAGCCUAUAUAUAUACCUUCAUACGAGAGUUUACCUCUUCCAUAGAUAUUCAGCGAGGUAUUAUGUUUCCUCGCUUGAUCAGUGGGAUUUCUCUAGCAGCCGGGGUACCAUUGUUGCCAAGAGAAGAGAGUGUAGCUCCAGAUGCAUUAAGUAGAAGAGUAAUUGAAAAUUCAAAGGCUAGAUUGAGAGGAGCAGAGAGAGUACAUCGUCUCGAACUGGGUCCUAAUGAACCCCAGCAAGUCCUAGAUGCUGAUAUAGUCCUUCUCAGUAGACAGUUGUCACAGAUGCAGGCAACUGAAGUGGAGCUGGGUAGAUCUGUUGGCACCAUGACAAAUGCUUUGGAGGCAAUGCAGCGAAUGCAGCUAGAUAUGCAGAGGGAGUUACAAAGAGUAAGUGUACAAGUGUGAGGGUUCCAGCUAAGUGAUGACCGGACACGUUAUGAUCAAAGAACACUCACUUAUGCUUAUGGUCAAGUGAAUGAGCAGAUGAUGCGUUUUGGGAGUCAACUGGAGACAAUUGAUUGUAAUGUACACCAAAUAGCAAGAACCGUCGAAUCUCUUCGAACCACGAGUUCAUCUAGCCAGGCAGACCAACCUGACAACUCUACUCAUCCGCAUCCACCCUCGGGGAGUAUUUGAUCCUUUACUCUUUAUUUUUGCGUACUUUUGCUUUUUCAUUGGGGACAAUAUAAUAUUUUGUUUGAGGGUGGGGUAAAUGCUAGGACACAUAUGCUACUCAUUUUGACGAGUCCUUAAAUUGCUAAUUGGGUUUGUAUAACUAUUUAAGAAAAAAAAUAUUAUUUACUAUUGCCCAGUAUAGCGUUGAAUGACUUACUGCCUAUGAUGAUAUUAGUUCAAAUUAAGUAUGCCUUUAGCUAGGUUACUGGAGAACACGAUAACACGUGCAAUUAUUUGAGUACUUAUCCAUGUUAGAUUGAAUUAUUUAAGUGCAUAACCAUUUUGACUUAUCAUUUGCAUUAGGGGCAUAAUUUGAUCGAGUGAAUUUAAUUGUUGAUGUUGUUGAUCUAGUUUCGAAUAAAAUUCCCAAAACCUUUAUAUAGAAACCAAACUGGGUGAGAUGGUUAGUGCUUGUCGUCAUAGAAAUGUGAUGGUUUGGAGUUCCAGGAUCCCAACUAUAGUUAAAGGAGUUUGAGUUAAAAAGUCUAAAAUGGGUACUAAUCAUAUAAAAUAAAAAAAUAUAAAUAAAAAAAUAAAAAAAUCAAAUGUCAUACAUCUUCUACUUCUCUUUGUAGCAUUUUUGACUCGAGUGAUUAAGCCUGUAAGGGUAUUUUAAAACCUGGUGCCCUAAAGUCAGUUGACUUAGGAGUCAUCGGCCUAAAACUCGCUACAAGAGUCGUUUAGAAAGCUUAAUGGAGAGAGGUAUUGCAUGGGAGAUGUUUAAAAAAAAUAGAUUCUCUUAAAAAAUUGAUACAUCUUCUAACUUUCUUCGAAGCCUUUAUAACUCGAGCAAGUAAGCAUGUAAGGGUGUUUUAAAACCUGAUGCCCUAAAAUCAGCUGGCUUGGGAGUCAUUGGUCUAAAGCUCGCUAAAGAAGUUAUUUAGAAAGCUUAAUGGAGAAUAGUAUUGCACAGGAGAUGUUAGAAAAAGAAAAGUGCCCAAUCAGGACUUUAAGAUUUGAACUCUAGAGACUGGCGGUGUGAUUUUGAGAAAACUUACCACCUCAAUUCUAGGUUGGCAAGUAUCUAACUUUGAUCACUUUGUGGGGGAAAAAUGAAGGAUAAUAAUUUUAGAAAUCCCCAUGUGCUAAAAAUACCUCGGGAUUGGAGAGAAAAGCAUAAGGAGUGAUUCUACACGAGAGGUGUAAGGAAAAAUGACCACAAGAGGGUUGGGAUUGCAAAAUAAAUCAAUGACACUUGAUUGAUUAUGUUCUAGUAUGAGUGUGAGUUCAAGGUUGGCCAAUCGCACCCACACUAAGUUCAGCAUCGUAUAAGUAAAAAUUUAUUUUAAAUGUUGUUUGAAACUUUCUAAAGUGUAACUUAAAUUCGAACCUGAGGCAUGCGAUAAGCUGUUCAUUAUUGAGUCCAACAUUUGUGACCUAUGUGCAACUAGUAAUAUGAUCUAUGCUUGAGUUUUGUUUUGUUCGGGGACGAACAAAGGUUUUAGUUUGGGGGUGUUUGAUAAGUGCAUUUUGUGCACUUAUUUAGACCAUAUUAUUAAGUUUUUAUGUCAUGAAAGUGUUAUUUGACACUUAACUUGAGUAAUUUUUCGUUUAUUUUAGUGAUGGACCGUUUCCUAAGCAAUUGGAAAAGGAAAAAAGGGGGGGAAUUCAAAGUAUGAGGACUAAAUUGCAACAUUUCAAUAGUUGAUUCAGAUCACAAAAUGAAAAUUAAAGAUGUUGUGGGUUCAAUUGGAUGCAAAUGAAAGUCAAAGAGUUGAAAUUGCAAGAGAAAGAGCUUGAAAGAAUAAAAAAUCGACUUCGGGGGCUAAAAUACAACAUAUGAAAGAAAUUUUGCCUAGGCGACAGCCUACUUAUAAAAAUCGGGCGAUCGCCCCAUAUGUUUUUCUUAUUAUUGAGAAGAAAAUGUUGGCCUGGGUGAUAGCUUGGGUUUUGCGUGAGCAACAGCCCAGGCCAAUUGCAGCAAGAAUUUUCUGGUUUCCUUUUCUGAUUAAAACUCUUAUGGAAACAAAUCUUAGGAACCUUUUAAAGCCCUAGGGACGUCCAAAAAUAGAAAGGACGAAUUAUACAUUAUUUUGGGAGGAUUUGAAGAGAAGGAAGAAGGAAGAACAAAAAGAUUCAAGGUCUCACUUCAAGAAUUCAAUAGGGCGAUGUCUUUUUUUAAUUCUUGUUGUUAUGUUCUUCUUCCCAUUAUGCUAGGCUAGAAAAAUCUAUACCAGGAGAUCGAUGAACCUCGUAAUGUGAUAUUUAAUUCUUUGUUCCGCAUUUUGACACUAAAACACGUAUUGAUUGUUUUGAAUGAUUUAUAUGCAUUUAAUUGCUUCCAUGAUUAUGGGCCGGUAAUUGUGUGAGUUUUGGUGGUUUGUUUUAUCUAUUUAAAAGAAGAGGAAUGAAUUCAACAAGGUAUAAAUCAUCGUAGGGCCUGAUAGGGGAUAUAAAUAUACCCCUAUGCUUUGUGUGAAUCUCUAAGUACUCACAAAACUAUAUGCAUUCUCAUAUAUUUGCAUUCAUCAUAGAGAUAUAGGCUGGUAGCGUAUGAGAAUAGGUUCAGUUCAUCUCGAGAGAGUGUGUUAGAUAGAUUAAGGAGAUCAUGUUGUCAAAGUGUGGAAUUAAAGUUAAAUUGAGCAUUGUUUGGGAAUUCGUGAUCCUAAUGCACUUUUAUAUUUAUUGAGUACACCAACUUGCAAUCAACAUAUUCACUUCGCAUUUUAGUUCAUUCAAAUAAUACAUAUUUGCAUAUUUAAUCCAAGUAAGGUUAAUUUAAGUCACUACAAUUCACGUUUGACAAAUCAGUUUUGGUUAAGGUCAAGUUAGGUAAAAUUAAACUAAUUAGUCUCUUUGGGAUGAUGUUCGGACUCAAUUGAUCUACUUUAUUACUUGUUAACGAAUCGUACACUUGCAGUGAUUUAAAUCGAAAGAAAAUAUUUCGUGAACAACAACCAUAUACCGACACAAAGAAAAUACCAUCUCUAAUUCAACAUGGACGAGAGCACCAUCUCUUCAAGAUCCUCGAGGCUCGCCAAUUUAGACGAACAAAUAUGGAUGAUAUUAUAAGUGAGGUAUCAUGUAGAGUAGCCAUGCUUUCUGUUACAUCUUGUCAUUUUAACAAUAAAGUUGGGGUUUAAUUACCUCAUCAUUGUGGCUGAAGACCAAUCUGUAACUUGAUCAUAGAUUGGGGACUAAGCAAUAUUAGAAAAAACAUUUAGAUAAUCAAAACAUUCCACAGGAUAAGGCCCAUGCCCGCCAUCCUCCCUUAACCCCUCAACCCUCUGCCACCGGCAAAACCCAGGAAAAACACAUAUCGAAAAACUAGUGUAAAUUAAUUAAUGGUCACUAUACUUUGCUAAAGGUUACUACUUGAUCAUCAAAAUUUAAAAGGUUAUUCUUUGUUUACUCUAAUUUGAACAAAAUUUUCCAUCAAUCACUCGUAUCAUUUCCAUUAUUGUUAUUUAUAUCAAAGUUUAGUGAGGAACUAAUAACCUUAGCUAAAUUUAUGUUAGCAACAAGUAACAUUUUAAAUUCAGUGAGCAAGUAUUAACUCAUAGCAAAGUUCAAUGAGCAACGAGUAUGACCUCGUUUGAUACACAUUAAUGUAAAAAUAAGAAUGAAAAAUAUAGCCGUUAUGGAUCACACACAAGAGAUAGAAAUUCAAAUUUGGUGGCUUAAUGUGAUGGAUAAUGAUCAUAUUUUUCAUUUUAAUGAAGAAAAAAUGGGAAACAAAAAAGGGCUAACUUUUAAAAGAUCGUUGAGCAAGUAGUAACAUAUAACAAAGUUCAAUGACCAUUGUUAUCUAUUAAAUCUUGUCAUUUUAACAAUAAAGUUAGGGUUUGUUUACCUCAUUUUUGUGGUUGAGGACCAAUCUGUAACUUGAUCAUAGAUUGGGGACUAACAAAAAUUAAAAGAAACAUUUAGGGUCGUUUAAUUGUAAGGAUGAAAUUUGGAUGAAAAGAAAAUGAAUUUCAAGGAAUUGAAUUGCUUAGAAUUUGUUUUAUUGGAGAUUGACAAUUAAAUGUGUUUGAUUUGUAUAAUUUUCCACCUGAAAAAUGUCGAAAUGUUUUAUCUUUUGAUGUUCAUUUGACUUUAUUUUUUUAUUAAAAUUGUCAACUAAAAGGACAAAAUUUGUUACAAUUGAGAAUAGAAUUUGUUCCAAUUGUAAAAAAAUUUAAAAAAAAAAAAGGAAAAGAAAAAAAAGUGCCUGCAAAUCCAAACGAUUUUCCACAAAACUAUGAAAUUGGCACAUGUGUGGAGAGAAGUUGGGAAACAAAUUCCAUGAAAAUUUUUAACAAUCAAACAAUACAAAUUAAAUGAAAAUGAAAAUGAAAAAUCAAGGCUAUCAAACAUGACCUUGCACAAGGCCCCGUGCCCGCCCUCGUCCCUUUACCUCUCAGCUCUCGGUGAUCGGCAAAACCCAUGAAAACAUACACACCGAAAAACUAUAGCGAGUGAAAAGAGCAACAAUGGCUUACAAUCUCAGUGCUUCACCAUUUACUUCACUUUCUCAUGGCACCAAUCUCUUUUGCAACUCAAUGUCUCCUCCACACCUCCUUCAACUCAGUCUCAGACCGUAAAAAACCCGUCGAUUUUCGCCUCAAAUUUCGUCCCCGGAAACCCCCUUUUCAUAUUUCCAAUGUCUCUUUACAAGAACGAGAGCACGCCGCAAUUUCAGAAGAUUCACACAGCCCAACUAAAAAAACCAAUUCUUUGACAAAAUCCUACAUCUGGGUCGAUCCCAAGAGCCACAGAGCAUCGAAAUUAAGGCAGAAGUCCUAUGAUUUCAGGUAUUCUUCUUUAGUUAAAAUUUCGAAAUCUUUGGAUUCUUGUUCCCCGUUAGAAGAAGAUAUAGUGAAUAUAUUGGAAAGCUUUGGGACUAAAAUUGUGAAACAAGAUGCUGUGAUUGUAUUGAACUACAUGUCGAACCUGGAAACUGCGCUAUUGGUGCUUAAGUAUUUUCAAGAAUGGUUGAAAUUGAGUGAAGAAUUUAUUUUGUAUAAUGUUACUUUGAAUGUUUUUAGGAAAUAUAGGGAUUUCGAUGGCGCAGAAAAUUUAUUUAAUCAAAUGCUUGAGAGAGGGGUUAAGCCUGAUAAUGUUACUUUCUCAACCAUAAUUAGCUGUGCUAGGGUGUGUUCUUUGCCUGAAAAGGCUGUUGAAUUGUUUGAAAAAAUGUCAUCUUUUUGGAUGUGAACCUGAUGUGGUGACUUACUAUGAUUGACGAAUAUGGGAAGGCAGGGAAUGUGGAUAUGGCUAUGAGUUUGUAUGAUCGUGCAAGGACUGAGAAAUGGUGUGUUGGCGUUGUCACCAUCUCAACGUUGGUUAAGAUUUAUGCGGCAUCCGUGAAUUUUGAUGGGUGCUUGAACGUUUUUACGCUGAAUUGGGAGGGCCAGACUCCAAGAGCUAGCUAAUGAGGUUGGAAAAUCCAAGCCAAUAUAAACCAUACAAAGGAAGCUUACACUUUCGAUGUGGGAUUCAGGUGCCCAUAUACCCCAAUGGGAACCAUGACAAACCACCGUGCUUCCGACUUAACAUUCACGUCGAGCAGGUGCCCAUACACCCUAAGUGGUAACCGAGAUCAGAAGAGAUGAUGCUUGCUCUGGUACCAUUAUCAUGCUCAAUUGGGAGAGUUAGCCCUAAAAACUAGCCAAUGAGGUUGGAGAACCCAAACCAAUAUAAACUACGUAAAGAAAGCUUACACUUUCGAUGUGAAAUUCAGAUGUCCUUAGACCCCAAUGGAUACCAUGACACACACAAAGGAAGCUUACACUUUCAAUGUGGGAUUCAGGUACCCAUACACCCCAAUGGGAACCAUGACAAACUUGUACGAGGAAAUGAAGGCACUAGGAGUUAAGCCUAAUUUGGCUUUGUAUAACAAUUUACUGGAUGCUAUGGGAAGAGCAAAGAGGGCAUGGCAAGCACGCGAAGAAUAUCUACAAGGAGAUGGUGAAUAAUAUGAUCGAUCCAAGUUGGGGUAGUUAUGCCACAUUGAUUAGGGCAUAUUGUAGGCUUGGUAUGGUGAUGACACACUUAAUGUUUACAGGGAGAUGAAGGAGAUGGGCAUGGAGUUUAUCGUUUUUUUAUAUAAUACUAUUUUGUAUAUGUGUGCUGAUGUAGGACAUGCAGAGGAAGCCGUUGAAAUUUUUGAGGAUAUGAAGAGUUCAGGACCUGCAUGCCUGACAGUUGGACAUUUUCUUCUUUGAUUACAAUUCAUUCCUGGAGUGGGAAAGUUAACCAGGCAGAGGCUACCGUGAAUGAAAUGGUGGAAGCUGGGUUUGAGCCUAACAUCUUUGUCUCGACCUCACUCAUCCAGUGUUAAGGGAAAGCUGGCCAAAUAGAUGAUAUUGUAAGGAUAUUUAAUUGGUUGCUAGAGCUAAGUGUAACUCCAGAUGAGCGAUUCUGCGGUUGUCUUCUUAAUGUAAUGACUCAAGCACCAAAAGAAGAACUUUCUAAGUUGAUGGGUUGCAUUGAGAGGACUAAUGCGAAGCUUGGUCGUGUGGUCAAAAUCCUCACAGAUGAAGAUAAUUUUGAAGGAGAAAUCUUCAAGAAGGAAGCUGGUGAACUCUUUGAAUGUAUUGGUAAUGAUGUAAGAAAGGCCUAUUGCAGUUGUUUAAUUGAUUUCUGUGUCAACCUUAAUCAUUUGGAGAGAGCUUGUCAGUUGUUAGACCUUGGGCUCGCACGUGGAAUAUAUGCUGAUGUACAGUCUAGACCUCUAACCCAGUGGUCUUUGCACUUGAAGAGCCUCUCUCUAGGGGCGGCUUUAACUGCACUGCACAUCUGGGUGAAUGACUUAUCGAGAACAUUCGAAGAUGGGGAAGAACUUCCAUCAUUGCUUGGGAUCAACACAGGGCAUGGGAAACAUAAAUACUCUGAGAAAGGAUUGGCAGGUGUUUUUGAAUCCCAUCUGAAGGAGCUAAAUGCUCCAUUUCAUGAGGCACCAGACUAAGGUUGGUUGGUUUUUGACGAUGAAGGUUGCAGCCACAUCUUCGUUGAAGUCUAGAAGUUCCCAGGAGGCAGUUGCUGCUUAGGUGGAGUUCUUAGCCUUUUUGUUGAUACAUGACACCUCAAAUUAUUGUUUCUCUGGCCUUGUGCAAUUAUGCUUAGUCUACAAUAGAGAAUUUUCUUCUUCUUCUUCAUUUUUUUUUUAUUUUUAUUAUUUUAUUUUUUUUGGUCACGUGGAUUGGCUUAUACUGAUUGUUUCAUGAUUGUUUCGCCCUUCUAAGAUAGUUUCAUGAUUGUAUACGAGUUCAUUGAAUGCCUGCAUUUGUAUGAUGGCAUGGUUUUGACCAGAAUGCACAUUUUCUUGGAUAAUUCAAAAUUUUGUCCCGGCUUCAAUUUUUAUGCUCAUUUUCCAGUUCGGUUGCUAAUUUGUAGCCAGAUCCGUUGAUAACCCUUCAUUAAUAUGUUGUUGAGUUGGGAGAAAAUGAUGGACCAUAAAAGAAAAAGAUUGAAGAAGAAUCUCUCAAAACCAGUUCACAUUCAGGUGAGAACAAAUAUGAUAGCAAGGAGUUGACAUUUUUGACAUACCAUGUGCACUUUGGGUGGAAGGUUCAAUAAACAUAUUUCGUCAACUAUAGAGAAUGUCAAAUAUUAAACAAACUGUCAGGUGCUUUGCAGUUUUUUUUUUUUUUUUUUUUAAAGAGAUGAGGGUGGUGUAAGCAACAUUAUAUAUGUGUAGUUUUCCUAAAUUCAACAUCCAUGCAAAAUGGGAAACUUCGUAGCAUCUCAGAUGAAAAUCGGAGAAUAUGGAGGAGAAAAGGAACUUGACGCCACGUCGCCAAGAAGAAGGCAGGACGUUUUUGGCUUUGCAAGGCUCUUUUUUCUCUGCGUGCAAAGUCAGAAUUGCCACAGAUGACACUAUACUGCCGCCCUCUAACACCACCAAAAGUGGCAAAGGAAGGCCAGAGAGUAAGAAUGGUAGACACUAAGAAGCAGUUGGAGCUGCUGAUCAUUAGUACAAAAAAUCUCAAAUCGAGGCAAAUUGCACUUCGAUCCUCAUCUUUAGCUACCAUUCCAGAGUUGUAGUAUUGUUUAAACAGCGUGGAAGGUUUUUUCUUUCAGUUUAUUAUUUCAUUUGCUCCCCGAUUUCUGGUGGAACUGUACAUGUGAACAAACAGGAAGAGUAUCCACUUUUGGAUGAAUUUAGAGGUGUUCAUUUCUGCUAUAAUAUGUACCCUCCGAAGAAUUCUACGAAAAAGGGAGGUGGGGGGGGGGGGUUCCUACUUAAUCAAGUUACCUCAAACGCCCCCACCAAGCCCCGAGGUUCUAUCUGUAUUUUUAUGUCAAUCAUGUUUGAAUGAAGAGAUCUCUUCAAAGGCUAUCGAUUAUACAAAUGCAAAUGUUUCAGAAUUUUGCAGUUUCUUAGUUGAUGAUGUCAAUGAGGAAUACAUUCAACUUUUAUACUGCAAAUGUCUCAGAAUUAGUCACUAAUAGUUAAGUUGUAGCACUGUCUGUUUCCCCUGUUUAGGGAUUCCAACAAUUUUCGGGUUCUUGAAUUUAACAUAUGCUCAACCAUUCGGAAUAUAGAUUAUAAUUACUUAUUUGAAUUAUUUACAAGAGCUUUUCAGUUGGAUUGAAUAUCAUCCCUUUGAAUCUUAGCUGAAAAUAACUCCCAAAUUCAUCCUCUAAAACGCUUGACAAUCCCACUUACAAAUCAAUUGAAAACAUUAUUUCUUCUAACUUGAAUCACUCAUAUUCUGUGCAUAACUGGUAUGAUACACCUACUGAUUUCCAAGCUCAUUCUCUCUCUCUCUCUCUCUCUCUCUCUCUCUCUCUCUCAAAAUGCAUCUACAGGAGGCACUUAGGACCUGAAACAAUUCGCAAAAAUAGUAAAUAUCUCAUGAGUGGAUAUAAUCAUACAAAUUUGGAUCAAUGGAAAAGUACACAGGGAACGGCCAAAGGGUUGGUGGGACAGAGACGAAAUGCUAACCUUCUUGAGGAGUUUGUUUUUCUUGUCUUGUCAUCCACCUUAGCUGAUACUGAAUCAGUCUCUCUUAUUGCAGCUUCUCUCUUUGUUUUCUUAGACUCAAUUUGUAUUGCUUUUGACAGGGUUUCUAUCUUCUUCAUGAGCAUCUGUAAAUAACUCAAAUAUACUAGUUAAACAAUGGAAGAAGCACACUGCAGGUGCCUUGGGGUUGGGCGGAGUUGCCAAUAGGUACUUUACCUUGAUUUCUUCAUCCUUAGCAUUCAAAGAGCUAUCUUUAAACUCACAAUACUUCCUCAAAUUCAUAACCUCUUUCUGAAGCUUAUCAUACAGAAAUCCUGAUACCACAUCAUCACUAUUGCUGUUAGCACUAUCCGCAUUCUUCGUCUCUCCAUUGCUGCCAACUAUACUUUUUGCGUUCACCAUGUCUCCAAUUUCAUUGCUGUUAUACUUCUCAAGAUUCACAGUAGUAAUUUUAUUCAUAUCUGCGUUCUCCUUUUCGCUGUCUAUGAAUUUAUUCCUAGAAGCCCACAUACUCUUUUUCAGCAAAGUCUCUCCCGUAGGAUCUCUCCUUUUUGUACCAUCACCUGGCUUCAUUUCUCCUUUAGCAGUCAAAGUUUGUUUCUCGUCUCCUGGCAUUGAUGAGCUUUUGUUGAUAGUGGAACCCCUUGGUUGUGAUGUAGAUCUCUUUCUCAUUCGGGUAUUACUCGCUAGGAUCCCAAAAAAGUGCUUGGUCUUUUCAGUUUUCGGGCAUCCACCGUUUGCAUUAGGAUUGACUGAGAAACAUGACAUAUGCUUUAAGCCUUCUUCCAGUGUCUUCAGCCUCAAAUUCAACUUAUCCUGGAGAAAAUGAUUUUAACAUCUUCAAUUUACUUAAUCAAGAAGCAAGAAGCACAACAUGUCUUAUAGUAUAGUAGAGAAUACAAGUUUUAACCUUGAGUUGUGCUUCAGCCUUUGCCGUUCUCUCUGAAAUCGCCAGCUUGUCUCUUAACCGUUGCAUUUCUGCCUACAAUGUAUAAAUCCAAUAAUUAAUAAAAAACUGAAAACUCAUUUUAGAUUUUUCGUUUGAAUUGUAAAGUUUUUGAUGUGCAGAUAAGGAAAAGUGAUCGAGCAUCUGAGAUUGGGACACCGGUCGAUACCUGCAACAGCCUUCUCUCUUCCAGCCAUUGCUUGACCGGCAUUACUUUGUCAUUCUCGUCUUUCCACUCGUUAGCCACAACAGUUGCUACUCGGUUUGCUGAAACCUUUAUUCUUGCUAGUUCUCUUUCCAGUGUCCUCUUUUCCUCCUAUGAAGUUUCAUAGAAAUAAGAUCAGUUGAUAUAAAAUACAUGUCUAAUUGUGACUACCUUGUGUUUGGUAAAUUAUUAACUGUAAGAGACACAAACAUUCAGAAAACGUUAAACAAGUUCUACAUUUAACUCCGAAAUCUGUCGUUUGUAAUCACAAAUAGUGUUGGCUGCUGCUCCACCAGCAAGAAUGGCCUCCUCAAGCUCCUGAAUAGUUUGGCUGAGCUUUUCAACCUCUAAAACUUUUUGCCUAUUUGUCUUAUCAAGUAUUUUGUUCUCCUCCUGUGCAUGAAAUUCCGUUAGUUAUCUCCAAAAACAUUUCAUUGAUUAACCUCGUAAAAAUUCAGUCUGAAAAUUUACCUGGCAGAUUUCAAUUUGUCUUCUAAGCUCGAAGUUUUGAUUUUGAACCUCCUCCACUACAAGUGCCCUUUCUAGAGCACUUUUCAGUAUCCUUUCUGCUUCAAGCAGAGCCGCUUCUUUCGACUUGGUGAGACGAUCCAAAGCCCUCUUAUUUUCCUGCAGUGCUGCAACCUAAAAAGCUCCAAGGCAAUGAUAUCAGAUAAAAAGCAAGUCAGUUUUGCUCGUGUGUGUUUUUCAGCACAAGCGUAUGAUUCUAAAUUUCUAAUUCCCACUUUCUCUUCCACUUUCUCUUCCAUUUUAGGAAAUUUUUACAUCAAUUUAGUCGAAGGAGCAUCAGAAGAGUUUUCCUUCUAGAUCAAUGCUUAUCGUAUAAUUCAUUGAAUAGAAACUAUCUUUAAUCAUCCAUGUAUGCACCUCGUUCUUAUACUUCUUGAGUUCUGCCUCAAGAGGAGCAAUAACUGACUCAAUAGGAAUAGAAUCAUCGUCCUUUUGAUUCGCAUACACCCUCCUAAGAGUUGCUUCAGCUGCAUAUUGUGCACUCAAUGCCCCCCUCUUCUCAUAUGUGAGUUUCGUAGUUUCAAGAUUCUGCAUCAAUCCGACUCAAAAUAAGUACCUUCUCAGACAAUUCAGAUAAAGAUAUAUAAAUAUUGUUUCAUAGAAGAGAGACUAUAUCACACACCUUCUGUUCAAGAAGGUUUUCAGCGACUCUGAGCUUCUCUUCAAAUCUUUUUAAUUCACUUCCAAUCUAGAAAAACAAAUAGCAUAUAUAGAAAACAUAUCAUGGCAACUAUAUUCGAUAUUUUUGUGCGUCAAAGCUGAAUUCAUUUUGUAUUAUUUUUUGUUUUAAUAAUAAGAUGAGGAAAAUAUUUUUCGAAUACCUCGUCUAAAGCCUUGUCCUUUAAGACUUCUGUUGCUCUCAGUGCUUUGAUUUCAUUUUGGGCCUCUCCCAACUCCUGAUCCUUCUCUGAAAUUGUGAGACAAAUUUAUCGUUCUUAUCAUCGUGAUUGCAGAUUGUAAUCGUAAAACAAGCUUGUCGCCAUCCAAGUAGGAAUUUAGCGGAGGAGAAUAUAACCAAUAACCAGUAAGAUGUUCAAUAUUAUCAGUGAACCUACAAUCCAGGACACCUUUCCUUGCCAGGAGAAAAUAUGCAGAAGAUGGCAAAUGUAUGUACAUUGAUGAAUAGAGAACCUGUUGCGAAAUUUUAGUGUACAAAACCAGCUAAGAAAGGUCUAAACUACCCCAAUGCAUCAACACCACUAGCAGGGUGUUCUUACUAGAAAUUCUGGACAUAUACAGAGCUAUGAAACUAUGUUUUAGGUGUCAGAUUAAUGACUAUAUUGCUCAAUAUAAUAAGUUAAUUUGCUUUCUCAAAAUUUAACAUAAUAUAUCUACAAACAAAGUGCGAAAUUCAUUUUUUUCUCUAAUAUAUGUUCCAAGUACUUGAUUCAAAUUUUGAGGAAUUUGGAAAGUCCCCUUCGAUAAACAGAAUUCCCUUACCUUCUGUCUUAAUCCUAAGCUGAUGAUACUGCCGAAGAACGUAAAGUUGAACCGGUAUUCAUAAAUAAGAAGAGGCAUUAACCGCGAGUUACAGGUGACAACUCGAGCCUUAUCAAAUACAUGGUAAAUUUUUGUGUGACAUCCUCUUAUUUAGUCAUCUAUUUAAAUUCCCACAGUAAUUAGCAUAUUCACUGAAUAAAACAGCAAAAUAAUUGCACUUUUAUAGUGGAAUUUACUAAAACAAUUCCCGUUAUGGUAUCAUAGUGUGCAAAAGUCUUGAGUCCAUGUAUCACUGCCACCCAUUUAUAAGAAAUCGUGCAUGUCCACACACGAGGCAGCAUGUUGAAGCCAAUUUAAAUAAAUAAAAUUAUUUCGUCUUUAACAGCUUAUGCUAUUAGUUCACCAGUUAUGAUCAGUUACCUUUGAGUUGGUUUUGCAAUCUGGUGAGCUCUAAAACGACAGGGUCGGGACGAGAAAGAGGGACUUCUCCUCCACCAAUUUCCUCCAAGCCAUGCAUUUUCUGGGCUCUGUUUAUGGCAAAGUAAUUCAUUUACUUUGGUUUUUUCUUGCCACUUUUGAUAGUGAAAGGGCUAUGUAGAGCAUGAACAACCACAUAUAUGUUUGUUGUUCUCACUCAAACCUUUAAUUCCUAUAUGAAUAUUUAUUCCAUGAUACCUAUUUAGCUCAUGUGUACAGUUUUUAAAAGAUCAUGACCUUCAACAUGCCAUACGACGGAAGAACAACACAAUGGUGCCUAAAUUCAUAAGCUUAGUUACAUAAAAAGGAAGACACAACAAAUAUUAGCCCAAAGGCUAGGAAACAUUUCUACCUGAGUAUGGUUUAAUCAGUAUCCUAUCACUGUUUAAUCGACAUAUGUAUUCGCUAUUUAAUUGAGACUUAAACAUGUAUAAAUAAUACGUAUAUCAGUAAAAAAUGUGAUAGAAAAUGCUGAAUGCUAUAUGCCGAGAGUAUUAAAAAAUUUCUCGAUAAACAAAAAGAAAAGGAAAAGGUGGCAGAAACGGGAACGGGGAAACCCAACCUUGCUAGGAUUUAUUGGGCCCAUGAAGCUGCCAACACAAACCAGAAGGCAACAAAAUGUCGAGUUACAGCAAGAACGUAAAGUCUAAUACAGCUAAAGUAAAGGUCAGCCCAAAGAACAUCAUAAAACCGGCCCAAUUGAGAUGAGCGGCCCACUUCAAUCUAUUGUUCAGUAGCAAUUUGGCAUCUAAGUUUUAAAAUUAAACAAAUUGAUCUCCAACAUUUACUAUAAUUGCAAAACCAUCAAUAAUGGAAACUCUACAAAUCUGUAUUAAUUCAGCACGUGACUUUCUCGCAUCUAGAUUUUGCAUUUUACUUAGACUUGUGCCCAAAAAUUUAAAUGUCUCAUGUUUCAUUAAGGCAUGUCAUAAUUUAAUAAAAAUUUGGCGAAAUUUUGUUACUUGUAUAAUAUUGUUCAUCACCUUGUUGACUAAUGUUAAGCCGAUGGCAAAUAAAUCAAGUUCAAUGUAAGAUGUAAAUAAAUUGAAAUAAAAUUCAAAUUCAAUCUAGGAAGUGAAUGAAAUUCAAAUUUAAUUCGAAAAUAAUUUAUAGCGAUCCUAAAAAUUUUACACCAUACUUCAUGUAAAUUUGCUAAUAAAAUGGUGUAAAUUAUAUUGAAAAAUUUGUUUUGCAAAAAUAAUAAAAAUUAAUGAAAUAAUUAAAAAAAUUAAAAGAAAGACAAGUUAGACGUCUUUUUUAGAGAUAUAAGUUUGAUGCACGUUUAACUCUUUUCGAUAUCCGUUUGAACCAUUCGAUAUAACUAGCAUGCAGUUCCCGAAACGAGCUUCUAAAUGACGUAGGUGAUUUGUGUAUUCGACUAGAGUACNNNNNNNNNNNNNNNNNNNNNNNNNNNNNNNNNNNNNNNNNNNNNNNNNNNNNNNNNNNNNNNNNNNNNNNNNNNNNNNNNNNNNNNNNNNNNNNNNNNNNNNNNNNNNNNNNNNNNNNNNNNNNNNNNNNNNNNNNNNNNNNNNNNNNNNNNNNNNNNNNNNNNNNNNNNNNNNNNNNNNNNNNNNNNNNNNNNNNNNNNNNNNNNNNNNNNNNNNNNNNNNNNNNNNNNNNNNNNNNNNNNNNNNNNNNNNNNNNNNNNNNNNNNNNNNNNNNNNNNNNNNNNNNNNNNNNNNNNNNNNNNNNNNNNNNNNNNNNNNNNNNNNNNNNNNNNNNNNNNNNNNNNNNNNNNNNNNNNNNNNNNNNNNNNNNNNNNNNNNNNNNNNNNNNNNNNNNNNNNNNNNNNNNNNNNNNNNNNNNNNNNNNNNNNNNNNNNNNNNNNNNNNNNNNNNNNNNNNNNNNNNNNNNNNNNNNNNNNNNNNNNNNNNNNNNNNNNNNNNNNNNNNNNNNNNNNNNNNNNNNNNNNNNNNNNNNNNNNNNNNNNNNNNNNNNNNNNNNNNNNNNNNNNNNNNNNNNNNNNNNNNNNNNNNNNNNNNNNNNNNNNNNNNNNNNNNNNNNNNNNNNNNNNNNNNNNNNNNNNNNNNNNNNNNNNNNNNNNNNNNNNNNNNNNNNNNUUAAAUUAUGAGUUUAAUACAAAUUUUUAUAGUUAAAAUAGAAGGAAAAAUAGAAUUUGAGGAUGAAUUGGUUAAGAAAAGUGAAAAAAAUGGAACGGAGUUCAUCAAAAAUGGAGUUUUCAGGCAAUUCAGGCGACAACGACGUCAGCAUCUGAAUCGAGAUGACCCAAACGGCUGGGUCGUCCUGAUCCAGACGACCCAGACCGCCCAGACAUCUGGGCCGUCUGGAUCGAGACUGCCCAAACGACCCAGACUGCCUAGACGGUCUAGGCCGUCUGGAUCCAGAUCGCCCAGCCAUCUGAAUUCGGACGGCCCAGUCGUCUGGAUUAGCCCGUGCUAGCCUCUUUUUUUUUUUUUAAAUAUUGAAUUUAAUGGUUUAUAAAUAAAAUGAAUUAUGUAAAUUGUUUAUUUAAUAAGUAAAAUAAUUAAUUGUUUUUUUAUUUAAAAUAUAAAUAAUUUAAAUAAUGAAAUAAAUAUAAUAAAAAAUUGAAUAUUCAAUAAACAAUUAAAAUAAAUAGGAAAUUAAAAUAAAUAAUUAAAUGACGUAAAUAAAUAUGAAAUAAACAAUUAAAUAGAGUAAUUAAAUAUUAAACAAACAAUAUAUAUAACCAAUUAAAAUAAUUAAUGAAAUAUUUAAAUAAAAAUUUAAAUUAAAUAUUAAAUAAAUAAUUUAAUCAAUCAAUAUUUAAUUUAAUUGUUUAUUUAAAUUUUUAAGUAAUUUCUCUAAUUGUUUAUGUAUAUUAUUUGUUUAAUAUAUAAUUAUUUAUUUUUUACUUUAUUUUCUUAUUUAAAUAUUUCAUGAAUUAUGUUAAUUAUUUAUGUAUAUUUUUUAUUUAAGUAAAUAAUAAAUAACUAAUUGAAAUAAUAAACUAAUUGAAAUGAUAAAUAACUAAUUGAAAUAAAUUCAAUAAAGAAGUAAAUUAAAUGUUAAUUAAGCAAUAAAAAUAAUUACUUAACAUAAAUAACAAAUAAAUACAAAUAAUAAAAAAUAGUUUAAAUAAGUAAUUAAAUAUUAAAUAAAAAAUAGAAAUAAAUAAUUAACAUUUAAAUAUUAAAUAAAUAAUUUAAAUGAUAAAUAACUAAUUGAAAUAAAUUCAAUAAAGAAGUAAAUUAAAUAUUAAUUAAGCAAUAAAAAUAAUUACUUAACAUAAAUAACAAAUAAAUAUAAAAAAUAAAAAAUAAUUUAAAUAAGUAAUUAAAUAUUAAAUAAAAAAUUGAAAUAUAUAAUUAGCAUUUAAAUGUCAAAUAAAUAAUUUAAAUGAACAAUAAGUAUAAAAAAUAAAACAUAAGUAAUUUAAAUAAGUAAUUAAACAAUUUUAAUAAACAAUUGAAAUAAAUAAUUAACAUUUAAGUAAUAAAUAAUUAAUUUAAAUGAACCAUAAAUAUAAAUAAUAAAAAUAAGAGAUUAAAUAUUAAAUAAACAAUUGAAAUAAAUAUUUUACAUUUAAAACAAACAAUUAAACAUUCAAUUAACAAUUAAAAUAAAUAUUAAAUAAACAACUAAACAAUUAAAAUAAAUAAUUUAAAUACGCAUUUAAAUAAUGAAUAAAUAAUUUAAAUCAACAAUUUAAAUAAAUAAUUAACAAUUAAAUAUUAGAUAAACAAUUUAAAUGAAAAAAUAAGUAAUUAAAUAUUAAAUAAACAAUUGAAAUAAAUAAUUAACAUUUAAAAAGAACAAUUAAACAUUCAAUUCAAAAUUAAAAUAAAUAUUAAAUAAACAACUAAACAAUUAAAAUAAAUCAUUUAAAUACACAUUUAAAUAUUGAAUAAAUAAUUUAAAUGAACAAUUUAAAUAAAUAAUUAACAAUUAAAUACUCAAUAAACAAUUUAAAUAAGGAAAUAAAUAAUUUAAAUAAUUAAUUAACAAUUAAAUAUUCAAUAAACAAUUUAAAUAAGUAAAUAAACAAUUUAAUUUUCAAAUAUUAUGCUUUAUCCAUUGUUUUUCACACAAGCUCCAAACAUUUUAAAUUUUAUAGGAUGAAUUACAAUUUGGACGCCACCAUGAGACAGAUUCCCGACAAAGUUAUGUCAAACUGUAACUUUAUCAGUGUCGCAUUAGCCCUAAAUUUGUUGGAUGACAAGCACGCAGACCUGUUACGCCGAUCCUGCUUAUGACAGUAAUAAUUGGUAGAGGUGCCGGUGUUGGGGACGAAAUAAUUGUAAUAAUUGUAUAUAUAUUUUUUGUUUAUGAAAUAAUUGUAUAUCUAUAAUAUAUUAAGUAUCACAUUGAAGGAGAAUCAUUUUUUGGACGAUUCUAGCCUUAUUACAACUUAAUUAUUUCAAUAAUAUAUUCUUUUCGCUUUUCAAUGUGUACUUAAUUGAAUGUUAAUUAUUAUACAUGCGCGUAAAUAAAUAAUUGUCAAAUACAUUUAUGAACAUGGAAUUUAAUUAAUUUGAAUUAAUGAAUAUAGAAAAAGAAUAAUUUAUAUACAUUUAGAUAAAGAGUGUGUACUGAACUAACGUGAAAUUUAAAAAAGAAUAAUUUAUAUACAUUUAGACAAAAGACGCAUACAUGAACCAACACGAAAUUUAAUUAAUUUGAAUUAAUAGAUAUAGAAAAUAAUAAUUUAUAUACAUUUAGACAAAGGGUGUUAUAUCAUAAAUUAAAUGAAUAAUAUCAAAAAUUAAUAAGUGUGCAUGAACUUGAAUAAUUUAUCUACUCCAAUAGUAAUUGAUGAAUAAUUUAUUUACUCCUAAAAUAAUUGAACGGCCCACAAAACAUAUCAGGUGUACAUGAACUUGAAAUGAAAUAUCUAAAUAAGAAAUUAAAUUAAAUAUUAAUUUUUUGUUUAAUUAAGUGAUUAAAUAAAUAAUUAAACAACGUAAUUAAAUAUUAAAUAAAUAAUAUAAAUAACUAUGCCAGAGAGGACCCUCAAGUUGACAGACAAUGUCACGAGUUUGGAUAACACCCUGUACGAAACAUAUUAUUGACAAGAGAACUAGAUUGCUGUCACAACACAUUGUUUCUCCGUACGCGAUCGAGGCAUAGAGGAUAACAUAUGUUGACGGUACAUUGCCCAACCUCUUCUGUGAAAUCAACCCAGGUGAUUGUGAAGUCUUUGCAUUGAAGUUAGGCUGUAAAUGGAUCGGAUAUAUGGAUUGGAUUGCUCAAAUCCGAUCUGAUCUGUUAAUAAUAAUUAUCCUAUCCUAUCCGAUCCAAUAAUCCGAUGGAUAUUUGAAUGUUAAAUCCUUAUCCAAUUAACUAUGUUAUCGGAUAUCCGAUUCGAAAUUGAAAAAAUUAGAAAAAUAAAAUAUUUAUUUAUUUAUCAGAUCGGAAUGACCUAUAUCCAUAUUUGAUUGAUUUAGUUAACGGAUUAUCGGAUUUGAAUCUCGAUUGGGUUAUCGGAUUAAGACCUUAAAUCCAUCUUCCAUUAAUUUCAUCGGAUUCAGAUCAAAAUUCAAUCUAUCGAUUCAUUUAGUUAACGAAUUAUCGAAUUCGAAUCUCGAUUGGGUUAUCGAAUUGAGACCCUAAAUUCAUCUUCCAUUAAUUUCAUCGGAUUCGGAUCAAAAUUCAAUCAAUUGACAACCCUAAUUGAAGCACAUUGAAUUUUUAGCAUCGACUAUGGCAUAGAACUGAUAAACUAAACACACAUUAAAAUGCAAGCGUUCUUUUAUGUACAUUGUGAUCCGUAAUUGUAAUAAUUUCAAAUGUAAAUAUUUUUUUAAAACGUUUGUAAUAUUUUAGUUUUUAUGUAAUUGUAUAAUGAAUAACUAAUUACUCUUAAUUACAUAUAUAACACACUAUAAAUAAAGAAAAUUGAGGAAAUCAGUAACACACUAUAAAUAGAGAGUUUAUAGGAUUUAAAUAGAUAUUACACAUCUAUUUGGUAGAAAGUAACAUACUAUAAUCGGGAACUUCUCACUCGACUUCAUUUAGUAGAAGAAAUAUAAUUUCAGCAUUCUUGAAUAAUGUUCGAUGUAUUGAAAAUGUGACCGUGCCUAAAGUUCGACUCUCAUCUCUGUUAGAUAUUCUCAUACACCAUGUGAUUUAUAUUCUAAUUAAAUAUUAAAUAAAUAAUAUACAUAACCAAUCAAGAUAAUUAAUUAAUGAGAUAUUUAAAGAAUAAAUUAAAUUAAAUAUUAAUUUUCUAUUCGAAUAAGUGAUUAAAUAAAGUAAUGAAAUAUUAAAUAAACAAUAUACAUAACAAAUUAAGAUAAUUAAUUAAUGAACUAUCUAAAGAAGAAAUUAAAUUAAAUAUUAAUUUUUUUAUUUGAGUAAGUGUUUAAAAUAAAUAAAUAAAAGUAAUUAAAUAUACAUAACCAAUUAAAGUAAUUAAUAAAAAAAUAUUUAAACAAGAAAUCAAAUUAAAUAUUAGAUAAUUCUACAUGUACUAAUUCAUAAGGAUGUUCAUAAUGUACAAGUGAAAUUUCAUGAGUGGAGGAUCGAAAAAACUAUUUUUCAAAUCUCCAAUAAUGUUAUGCUACCUGUACAUUAUGAUAUAAUGUUUUUAUUUAAAUAAGUAACUAAAAUAAAGUAAUUAAAUAUUAAUUACUAAUAAUAGACAUAACCAAUUAAGAUAAUUAAUUACUGAAAUAUCUAAAUAAGAAAUUAAAUUAAAUAUUUUUUUAUUUAAUUAAGUGAUUAAAUAAAUAACUAAACAAAGCAAUUAAAUAUUAAAUAAAGAAUAUACAUAAUUAAUUAAGACAAAUAAUUAAUGAAAUAUUUAAAUACGAAUUAAAAUAAAUAGUAAUUCUUUUAUAUAAAUAAGUGAUUAAAUAAAUGAUUAAAUAAAGUAAUUAAUUUUUAAAUGCAUAAUAUACAUAACCAAUUAAGAUAAUUAAUUAAUGAAAUAUUUAAAUAAGAAAUUAAAUUAAAUAUUAUUUUUUAUUUAAUUAAGUGAUUAAAUAAAUAAUUAAAAAAUAAAUAAAUAAUAUACAUAGCUAAUUAAGACAAUUAAUUAAAAAAUAUUUAAUUAAGAAAUUUAAAUAAAUAUUAAUUUUUAUUUAAAUAAAUGAUUAAAUAAAUAAUUAAAUAUUAAAUGAACAAUAUAGAUAACCAAUUAAGGUUAUUAAUAAAGAAAUAUUUAAACGAUAAACCAAAUUAAAUAUUAAUUUUUUAUUUGAGUAAAUGUUUUAAUAAAUAAUUAAAUGAGGACCAAUUUAAGAUAAUUAAUUAAUGAAAUAUUUAAAAGAGAAACCAAAUUAAAUAUAAGUUUUUUUAUUUGAGUAAGUGUUUAAAAUAUAUAAUUAAAUAAUUAAUUAAAUAAACAUAUAUCAAUUAAGAUAAUUAGUUAAUGAAAUAUUAAAAUGAGAAAUCAAAUUAAACAUUAAAUUUUUUAUUUAAACAAGUGACUAAAUAAAUAAUUAAAUAGAUUAAUUAAAUAUUAAAUAAAUAAUAUACACAACCGAUUAAGAUAAUUAAUUAAUGAAAUAUUUAAACAAGAAAGUAAAUUAAAUAUUAAUUUUUUUUAUUUGUGUAAGUGUUUGGAAUAAAUAAUUAAAUAUAAAGUGAAAAGUGUUUGAUUUUUUAAUUUGUAAUUUAAGGGUAUUUUUGCCUUUUUAAACAAAAUUCUAUCUUUGUAAUUGUAUAAACUACCUAAGAAUAUUUUUGUCUUUUACUCAACAAAUGGCAAUUUUGAAGAUUGGCAAAAUUUUUUGAUCAAAUUGAGGUCAUUCUUAGGUCAGUUUCAAACCACUGUACAGUUUUAUUCAGGACAAAGGGGCAUACGGUGCAUACCCAGUGUAAUGUUCUUGUCAUAAAUAUAUCAACCUGGCCUUGAACCAAUUUGUUCCCUGAAUUAUUCUUUUUGUAGCAGGUUUGGUUUAAAUUAUUAAAAAAAUAAAAAAGGUUGAACCCCAACCUUGAGAGCCCUCACUGUCCCAUCUCUAGAGCUUUGUGAGGGAGUUAAAUCGCGGGAUGUGCUCCAACAGGCCAGGGAACAAGAGCUACCUAUACACUGCGCUUACAAGGAGUCCAAUUCCAUGUUUCAGGAAUCGAGCCCUCACACUGCGACUGCCAGUAAGGCGUAAGAUAACCUCACUCCCAUCCUUUACACCACUAGACUAUGCCCCGAGGGGCUAGUUUGGUUUAAAUUAUUAUUUCAACACCACGUUACCUCUAUUUGGUUUAGUUAAAUAUCGGGUUUAUAAUAGGUUUUGAUAAAAAUUAAUUAAACAAACGAAAAAUUGAUAAAGAUUACAUUCUCGCUAUAAAUAUGUAGUUGAAACUAAUUUUGAGGAAAAAUGAGCCCGAUUUAAGUUCAAUCACGUAACCUUCUUUUUUAAUUCGUGGAACGUGUAUUAAAAGAUAUGAAUCCUUUGCAUGAAACUUGUAUUUUUCUUUACAUUAGAAUGAUAUGCCGACCUUUUUAGUGGGUUGAUUUCAAAAAAGGGCUAAGCCCCGUUAUACAGUAAAAUCAAUCGCUUAUUUUGAUCAAGCCAAGCAAAAUUUUUAUAUUGGAGUUAAGAAUUGUGCUCAGACAAACACUAAAUAUAAAAAAAAUUUAGUACCUACGACCUUGUUGAUUAAUAAUCUCAAACUGGACUCUUUUCCAAAUUUUUGAAAUUAGUAAGUACUGUCAAUGAAAAAGCAGUGGUAGUUGAAUAUUGCCCGUUUUGACACCAUCAUUUGAGAACUCUUUUUUUUUUUCGUAUUCAUUUUCAUUCAUACAUUUACACGAUAAACUAUGUUGCACAUAAACCCAAAAUUUUUCUUAUUUUUUAACUAUUCAUUAUCCUAGAAAUCACUAUUUAAAACAUUGUUUUUUUUCCAAAGAAUGAUUGUCAAAAAGGCGCUUAAUGAAUUAAAAGUGUAUGCUUAAUAUACAGUACUUACCAAAAUCUUGUUCAUGUUUACGUGCUGUUCAAUAAACAUGCUAUAACGACUAAUAAGAGCGCAUGAUUUAACGUCACCAAAGAGAGAGAGGCGGAAAUCUAAUUACAAAGAAAACAUAAGAUUUGUUCGAUUCACCAAAUACACAAACAGGCGCGUACAAUACACAUGUAAUCUGUGGUAAUUACACAGCUAUAUUUGUUGCAGUUGGGCUCCAAUCCUGAUUUCAGCUUUCAUUUUCUUAUAAAUUCUUCAAACUUCUUGAUCAGUUCUUCCUUGCUUACCUUCACAUCAUCACUUAUUCCUUCUUCUUCAGCAUCUAUAAUUUGUUGUGAUUCUCCUAUCACCAAAAAAAAAAAAAAAUUCAGCAUCUAUAAUUUGUUGUGAUUCUCCUAUAACAAAAAAAAAAAAAAAACUAUUAUAUUUCUUACUUGAAUAGAAUCAUACAAUGGAGUUUUACAAACUCUCAAAACUCUCUCUAAUCUCUCCCUUUUUUCUCAUCUCCACACUCUAUUUUUCUUCUUCUCAUGGAACUUGUUUCUCUUUGAGGCAACAUCUAUUUAUAGAAAAUUUCAGCUGCAAGAACCGCCUCAAUUUGUGGCCAAAAUUCUACCAAUUAAAUGAUAAAAUGGAAGUCAACAAAAGUGGUUGCCUUCAUGUAUGUGGAGGCUGGUUUUAAAAAAUUUAUUACAUGCAUGGAAGCCUUCUUCAUUAAGAAACCAGAUUUGUGGGUGUCAACCAAUCACAAAGGCGGUGAAGGGAGUUUAAUCCAAUUUCUCCAAUUUGCAUGUAGGUUGCUUCUUGUUUCAUGCAAUACCAUACAUGGUGGUUUCUUCUUCAUUAACUAGGCACUUGUGGUUGAAUUUCAAUAUCUUCAGCUUGAAGAAACUGAAAAAAUGCGCCUGGAUUUAUCAAUUCUCCCCCUCUAGUUGCAUCCAAAUCAAUUAUUAUUUGACAACCGUAGUUAUCAAACCCGGCCCGGACCGGACUGAUUGGUCGAAUUGAAAAACCAGUAACUUGGGCUCUUGACAGGGCUGGGUAGAAUAUUUUUAUAAAUAUGCAAUUGACUCGGUAAAAAUCAAGUUGACUCGCCGAGUUGAUCGAGUUAACUGACGAUUUUUAUAUUAACUCCGCCGGUUGACUGGUUUGAUCAAGAUUUAAAAGUUUUCCAUAAAUUUUUUGUUCUCAAAAGGACUUGAACCUUAGACCUCUAGGUUAAAUGAAUACCAGAUAACCACUAGAGAUCAAGUGUUUAUUGAUAUGUAUAUGCAAUAAUUAUAUAUAUAUAAAUCAUUUAUAGUUUGUUAAAAAUAUUUUUAAAAAAUUAUAGUAACUAUUUUGAUUAACAUGAAUAGAAUAUUAACAAAAUAAUAUAUAAAUAAUUAAUAAUAGAUAAAUUUUUUUCUUUUUGUUUUAUCUAAAAGAAAAACUUUAUACUUUAAAAAAUAUUUUAUAAUUAUUAAGCAUUGACCCAUCGAUUUAACCACUAACUCACCGGUUCGACCAGCAACCUGAGACCCGAUGCUUUGACUGAGUUAAUGAUCGGGUCAGGUUUAAUAACUAUGAUCCUAGCCAUGUCUCUGCACAACUCUAGCUUCUCUAUUGGAACUACCUUUGUUAACAUAUUCGUUGAAUUCUCAUUUGUGUGAAUCUUAACUAGUCUUAGCAGUUGUUGUUCCAUCACCUCUCUUAUGCAAUGAUAGCGGAUGUCAAUGUGCUUUGUCCGAGAAUGAUACAUUGAAUUCUUACUUAAGUCAAGAGCACUCUUGCUAUCACAAUGUACUUCGUAAUCUUUCUGCUUGAUUCCUAAUUCUUGGAGAAAUCACUUUAACCACAACAUUUCUUUACCAACUUCCGUCACCGUAAUAUAUUCUGGUUCUGUUUUAGAAAAAGCAACACACUUUUGUAGUCUUCACUGCCAUGAAACAACCCCCUGCAAAAGUGUAGAGAAAUCCUGGAGUAAAUUUUAUAUUAUUAAGAUCUCUAGCCAUAUCUGAAUCCGUAUAACCUUUCGAGAUUGAAUCAGCUCCCCCAUAGUAUAGACGUAUCUUUGAUGUACCUUUAAGGUACUUGAGAAUCCACUUGACUGCCUCCCAAUGUUCUUUUCCAGGACUAGAGAGAAAACGACUGACCAUGCUCACUUCGUGAGCAAUAUCCGGCCUGGUACAUAUCAUUGCAUACAUUAGAUUUCCAACAUCUGAAGAGUAAGGUACCAAUGACAUCUCCUCUAUCUCUUUCUUAGAUGAGGGGUAUGAGUUCUUGCUCAACUUGAAAUGGUUGGCUAGCGAAAUGCUGACAGGUUUGGCUUUAUGCAUGUUGAAUCUCUUGAUCACUCGUUCAACAUACUUCUUCUGAGAUAACCAUAACCUUUUAUUCUUCCUAUCUCGAGUUAUAUGCAUUCCCAAAAUCUGUUGAGUUGUUCUUAAGUCCUUCAUGUCAAAGGACUUGGAGAGUUCCUGAUUCAGCUAGUUGAUUUUUAUUGCAUCUUGUCCAACGAUCAAAAUAUCGUCUACAUACAAUAAAAGAGCAACGAAGUUGUCAUCUGGAAAUCUCUGGAUAUAAACACAUUGAUCUGCAGUAGUUCUUUUGUAGCCUUGGGUCUGCAUAAACGAGACAAACUUUUUGUACCACUGUAUUAAUGUUUGUUUAAGGCCAUACAAACCUUUUUCAAUUUGCAAACGAAGUUCUCUUUGCCUAAAAUUUCAAAACCUUAUGACUGCUCCAUAUAAAUUUCUUCACAAUGAAGAAAUACUGUCUUAACAUCCAUUUGUUCAAACUCUAGAUUUAAAAUGACUACUAAUCCAAGAAUAACUCGAAUUGAGGUCAUCUUUACAACAGGUGAAAAAUUCUCGUCAAAGUCAAUUCCCUUCUUCUGAAGAAAUCCUUUGACUAGAAAAUGGGCUUUAUGUUUUACUACCUUUCCACUACCAUCUUUCUUGGGCUUGACAACCCAUUUAUUCCUCAAUGCCUUCUUUUCCUUUGGAAGCUCAACCAACUCAUAUGUCUGAUUCUUCUACAGCGACUCCAUCUCAUCCUACAUUGCUUGUAUCCACUUGUCUUUGUCCACGUAAGUUUGUGUUUCCUAAAAGCUCUCCUUCGUCAGUGAGCAAAAUGUACUCCGAUUUUGGAUAUCUUGUUGAUGGAAUCAGUCCUCGUUCAUAUCUUCUUACCUGUAGAUCGUUGGUUUCAGGAGUUGCACCAUCAUCUGGUUGAUGUGAUGGUCCAAUAACUUCCAGUAAAGAUGAUUAUGACUCCCCCCGAUCAAUAUCCUCUUCUUCAUCCUCCUGUUCUGCUUUUGGCAUUUCAUCAUUCAUAUCAUCAUUAUCUAUGCUGAAUUGUGCUGGUACUGGAUUUGGAGCAAUAUUUUGGGCACCAAAAUUAGAAUUAGGAGAUAUUGUGGGCUUUUCAAUGUCUUCUAAUGUCUGGUUUUCAUGGAACAUUACGUCCCUACUUCUGAUGACCUUCUUUGUCUUUGGGUCCCAUAAUCUGUAUCUGAAUUCCUCAUCUCCAUAGCCUAUAAAGAUGCAUGAAGUGGUUCUUGUAUUUAGCUUUUAUCUUAGCUCCUUGGAUACGUGUGCAAAGGAUAAAUAGUCGAAUACUCUCAAGUGAGAGUAUGAGGGAUAUUUAUCAAACCAUACUUUCUCAGAAAUUUAAAAAUUCAACGGUAUUGAUAGUGAUUUGUUGACCAGGUAGCAGGCGGUUCGAACAACUUCUUCCCAAAAUGGGUUUGGCAACUAAGCCAUAUUUAUUAUGCUUCUGACCUUUUUCAUGAUCAUCCGAUUCAUCCUCUCGACAACUCCAUUAUGUUGUGGGGGGCGCAUGGGACUGUCUUCUCAUGUCGAAUGUCGUAUCUUCUACAAUAUGCAUCGAACUCUUUGGAAGUGUACUCAUCUCCAUUAUCUGUACGGAGACACUUUAGCUUCUUCCCUAUUUCACGCUCUACCAUGGCAUGAAACAAUUUGAAGUAACCUAAUACUUGGUCCUUCAUCUUCAAGAAAUAUACCCACACCUUUUAAGAAGUAUCAUCAAUGAAUGUCAAAAAAUACUUGUUACCACCUAGUGAUUCAACCUCUAAGGGACCACAAACAUCAUCGUGUACCAGAUUGAACAACUAUGAUCGUCUUGUCAAAGAGAAAUUGAAGGAGACUCUAUGUUGCUUACCAAAUAGACAGUGACCACAAGGAUCUAGCGUAGCUUCCUCGGCAACCGUGAUUAGCUCUUUCUUUGUCAAAGUAGACAACCCCUUCUCAUUCAUGUGACCAAGUCUCUGGUGCCACAAGUUUUGAGAAGUUUCACGUUCUAUUACGUUGAGGCUAUCCAUAUGCAUUUUAACAUGAGUAUUGUAUAUAGUAUCACAUAUAUAUCCUUGAGCGACAACCAUGGAACCUUUCAUCAUUUUCCAUGUGUCAUUGCUAAAGUGAUUGACAUAGCCCCGUUUGUCAAGAACUAUCCGUGAAAGUAGAUUUAGUCGAAGAUCAGGUACAUAUCUAACAUUCGUCAGGAUUAUUUUGCACCCAAGAAUAGUUUGUAUCUGAACAUCACCAAUUUCCACGAUCUCAGAGGAAUUGGUAUUUUCCAUCUUUACUGUACCAAAGUUUCCAGAUUUAUAUGUUGUGAAGAAAUCUCUGAGCGGAGUGGCAUGAUAAAAUACUACAGUGUCUAUUAUCCACUCAAUAUCUUGGUUUGAGAUGUGAAGACAUGUAUCCUCAUGGAUGGAAAGGAUGGCCACCUCUUCAAAGAUAGUGACUACUGUUUCUUAUUCCUUAUUUUUCGAUUGUAAAUUGUUCUAACCUUGCUCUCAUAGCAAUUUUCGACAAUUCUUCUUCAAAUGGUCGUCCAUUCCACAGUAAUGAAACCUGUAAGGCCGUCCACUCCAUAGAAAUGACACUUGUAAGUAGGCUUCCUUCCAUAUGUCAAUCUAUCCUACUUUUGCUUCUACCUCUCCCCCUACCUCAAAUGCCUCAUUGCUGUCUUUCCUAAUUUUCUAUAACAAGGGCCUGCGACUGGUCUGUGUCGAUGUCCUUUCUCUUGGUCUUUUCAUUAAAUAGGGCAUCAUUAACCAUAGACAUGAUAAGUUAGCCAUUAGGGGUUGAGUUGUUGAGAGAUAUUACUAAUGUCUCCUAACCAUCGGGAAGAGAACUUAAACGUAGUAAAGCUUGUAUUUUAUCCCCAAGCGGCAUAUCCACAUAUGACAAUCACCAAGCUCUGAAAUUCAUUGGUGUGCUCGGCAACUAAAGUUCUACUCUUUAACUUCAGAUUCACCAAACAUCUCAUCAACAGGGUUUUAUUCCGAGCAAUCUUGGCCUGGUACAUGUCAUCCAGAAUCUUCCAGUGGACAUGCAUCUGUCUCUUGUGCCACAUGGUGAAAGACACUAUAGUUAAUCCAUUGUCGAAUUUGACGGAUAGUUUUCCUAUAUAGCUUCUUCCACUCUGUUUUCUUGGUAGGAUCGAGGUUUAUACCUUUGGCUUCCAGAGGGUCAUACAAAUCCUUACAACUGAGGAGGUCUUCCAUCUGAUGCCUCCACAUUGUGUAAUUGGUGGCAGUGAGCUUGAUCAUAGCUCCCGAUGAAGAUUUCUCUAUUAACAUGUUGGCUUGCAGAUGCUAUAUCAAAAUCAAAGCUGUAUAAAAAAAUUACAAGGGCCAAUUGAUAAACAUUGCUCUGAUGCCACUUGUUCCGAUUCUUUGAUCACCAAAAAUAGAAGAUAAAAGAAGAAAAACUAUUAUAUUUCUUACUUGAAUAGAAUUAAACUCUCUCUAAUCUUUCCCUCUUUUUUCCUCUUCUCCAAACUCUAUUUUUCUUCCUCUCAUGAGACUUGUUUCUCUUUGAGGCAACCUCUAUUUAUAGAAAAUUUCAGCUGCAAGAACUACCUCAAUUUGUGGCCAAAAUUCUGCCAAUUAAAUGAUAAAAUGGAAGUCAACAAAAGUGGCUGCCUUCAUACAUGUGGAGGUUGGUUUUUAAAUUUUUUAUUACAUGCAUGGAAGCCUUCUUCAUUAAGAAAACCAAAUUUGUGGCUGUCAACCAAUCACAAAGGCAGCUAAAGGGAGUUUUAAUCUAAUUUUUCCACUUUGCAUGUAGAUUGCUACUUGUGUCAUACAAUACCAUACAUGGUGGUUAAGUAGGCAAUUGUGGUUGAAUUUCAAUAUCCUCAGCUUGAAGAAACUGAAAAAAUGUGGCUGGACUUAUCAUAAUUAAUCCACUUUCUUCUUCGUCGUCCUCAUCUUCUUCCCCACUCUCUACGUCAGAACCCUACUCUCUCUUUCUUCUACUUCUUCUUGUUUUUUCCUUGUGGCCUUCUCUUCCUGUGAAAUCGCAAGAUUUUCUUUAGUGGCAUAAAUUAGGCCUGAUGCUUCUUUAUCUUCAGGAGGCAUGGCCUCUUUUAACUCAGAAAUUGGGUUCAUGUUUUCGCUAUUUGAGGAAGAGCCGAAACUCAGGCUCUUGGCAAAAAAUCCAAGAAUACCAUUACAAAGAAGGAACUCGUAUUUCUAUUUAGAGCAUGGGAGAAUAUUAAUGGUGAAAAUUGAACAUUAUAGGAGAAGCCGAAAUCGAAACCUGAUAUGUAAGAAAAUACUAAAGAUAGAUAUUGGGACUAGAAUUAGUAAUAAUUCUAUGAUAAACUCAUAAUACUUACGAGUUUCUGGAGCUGUUUCAAUCAUAUAUUCAUCAUUUUGAUCCAUCUUCUUGUUGGGCCUGAAAGGAUUGUAGUGAAUGAGAUUAAUGACACGAUAUGAAGUAAUAAAGAUCGCAAUAAAAAACAAUAUUUAAAAGUAAAGAAAUUAACAAAGAGAGUUAAUCGUGGAAGCACAACAUUUUAUUAAUCGACAAUAUGGAGAGAAAUACAAGAAUUCAGCAUUUUUACCUAAACAAAACUGAAAAAGAAUACCACUAUUUAUAGGUACAUGACAUAGCAUAAAGAUGAAAAUAAUGUGGAAUAAGGAAAUAAUAUAUUUUCAUAAAAAUCAUGUGAAAUAUAAAGAAACGAAUUUUUCUACAUGAAAAUAAGGAAACAAUUUAUUUCCAAAAAAAUCAUUCUAAUUUGGGUCACAAAUCCAACAAUCUCCACCUUGGCCCAAAUUUUGGUGCAACGAACGAAACUCUAAGAUUUCAAAUCGGUCUGCAUCGAAAUAGCCAAUCUCUUCAACACAGUAACCAAAGCUUUCCAACCAAACCGUCGUCUUCUACAAGGCGUCCACAAGCAACACCUAAACCCAAAUCCUAGAUUCUCAAAAUUCCACGAAGAAAUUACUAUUUACCAAACAAGAUCGAAACACACCCUGUAGCAAAAACCAUACCACAUGUUGCAUCAGAAGGCCCAUUGCUAGAACUGUCGCCUUCAAUGUCCCUAAAAGCAUUCCAAACAUUAUUAACACUAGGGUACCUAUGCUCUAUGACUCCAACCCUAGCAAAUGAACACAGUGUAUCCACUGAAAUUGGUGGCUAAAUGAAAUCACCAAUGCUCUCUUGAGAAAUGUUCUGAAUUGACUCAGAGCCCGUCACAAGAGGUACUGUACCAAAUUGAAUAUCUACCACGGUACCGAACUUGUCCCGAUGUCUCUUAAUUGAUUCUGUGCUUCAUUGCAAGUUGUACAACUGAGACCUUCAUGUCCCUCAAGUACAACCCGAACACCCAUUUGGACCUUCAAAACUCCACCUCCACCAGAGAAUUUAUACCCUUUUGCAUCCAGGGUACUCAGCGAGAUAAGAUUCCUUUUUAGGUUUGGAACAUGUCGAACCUGAUAAAUUGUUCUGAUCAUCUCAUCCUGCAACCUUAGUCUAACUCGAUCGAUUCCAGUAAUACGACAAGAUUGGUUGUUUCCCAUCACAACUCUACCUUGCUUGAUAGCCUCAUAUGUUCGAAAAAUUUUUUGAUUGGAACACAUACGAUGAUAACAUGCCGAAUCGAGAAUCUACUCCUCGUCCGGCCUAGAUUCCAUGUCAGAUACCACGGUCAACUUCACAUCUCCACCGUCUGAAAAAUCCUCAACUGCAUUUAUUUCUUUUGAAGUCAAAAGUUUUGCUCCACAAUUUGCAGCUAAAUCGCCUUUAGUCUGCAACUUAUCACAUUUCUUCCGAAUAUGUCCUUUACAUCUACAGUAAAAGCAAAAUAAAUUACUGUUGUUCUUCGAUCUACCCCUCCAUCGAUCACCAUGAGAUAUAAGAAAUUCCUCAUCCCUCGAUAUAUCUCUAACUAUAUGCUUCAACUUCUCCUUUGAGUGCAAAGCAUCAUAGACAUCAUCUAUAGUUAAAAUAUCCCGACUAUACAAAAUGGUGUUCCGAAAUGAUAUAUAAGAGCCGAACAACAAACACAAUAGGAUCAAGACAAGAUCUUCUUUAUCAUACUUAACCUCCAACAUUUCUAAAUCUGCGACAAUUUCUUUGAACACGAUAAUAUGGUCUUCCAAAGACCCUCCUUUCGCCAUACGAUGGGAAUACAGUUUCUGCUUUAGAGUCAGUUUAUUGGUAAGACUCUUGAUUAUACAUAACCGCUCUACUUUCAACCAUAAAGCAGUAACUGUUUUCUUCUUCAAGACAUCCUGGAGAAUAUUAUUAGGUAGAUGAAGAUGAAUCAGCGACAAAGCCUUCCGAUCCCUCUGUUGUUUCUUCUCCGUUGUCCAAUUAACUAGCAUCUUCUCAAAGCUUAGUGGCGUAUCUUCCAAAUCCAAUUGCGCUAGAAUAGCCCUCAUCUUUACUUGCCACAAUGAAAACCUUGUAUUAUGAUCCAGCAGCGGAAUGUCAUACUUCAUGGUAAUCAUCUCUGAAAAAACAUCAGCCAAUCUUCAAAAGAAGAACUAAGCUCUGAUACCACUUGUUGGACCCGAAAAGAUUGUAGUGAAUGAGAUUAAUGACACAAUAUGAAGUAAUGAAAAUCGUAACAAGAAACAAGAUUUACAAGUACAAAAAUUAAAAAAGAGAAUUAAUCGCACAAGCAUGACAUUUUAUUAAUCGACAAUAUGGAGAGAAAUACAAGAAUUCAACAAUUCUUAUCUAAACAAAACUGAAAGAGAAAACCACUAUUUAUAAGUACAUGUCAUAGCAUAAAAAUGAAAAUAGUGUGGAAUAAGAAAAUAAUAUAUUUUCAUAAAAAUCACAUGAAAUAUAAGGAAAUAAAAUUUUCCACAUAAAAAUAAGAAAACAAUUUAUUUCAAAAAAAAUUCACUUAUUCAGUUUAUAAGUGUGAGAGAAAAUCUCACCUCUUAAGCUAGCUUUUGGUAUUGAGAAGGCCGAAUACCAUCCAACACUGGUAUCAGAACCCAAUUUAUCAACAAGUCUCCCACCCAACAGUCACCGAAAUACGGGUUUGUGUGAGUAUGAGAAGGGUUUGGUCUCCCGCAAGCCCAGUUGUAUGAGGGGGAGACGAGUUUGAUCUCCUGCAGAGCAGAUAUGUGGGCAGGGGCGAAGCCAGAGAUUUCGUCCAGUGUGGGCACAAUUUUAAGUGUCGGCUACGGUGAUUUUUUCGUCGAAAUUAGUCUAUGAACAAAAAGAGCUUCACGUGAUCAAUGCAAAGUACAUUUUUUUAACAAUAUAUAAGAUGUUGGGUUUCAUUGUACAAACAAUAAAGUGAUGGACCAAUAAAUCUGUAAUAGGGCCUAUUGUUUUUCUUUCAAAAAAGCCUAACUAAAGAGAAUGCCCAAAAUCUAAAAGUUAAAAAAUUGGCCCAAGUAAAUUUUUAUUCCACCUUCCCUUCUUCUUCCCUGUGGGCAGCUGUAACUUUCUUCGCUUCUUCUUCCCUGUUGGCAGCUGUAACUUUCUUCCUCCUUCCCUUCUUCCCUGUCAGAGCUAGUGCCUACAGACAGCAGACACACUUUCUUCUUCUUCCUUCCCUUUUCUUAUUCUUCUUCUUCUUGGUCCAGUGCAGGCACACUGGAUUUUCCUAUGUCAAAUCCAAAGUCCAGUGCGGGCAUCAGCCUGCACUGGACUCCAUGUAGCUCCGCCUCUGUGUGUGGAGGGAAGACGUGUUUGGUCUCCUACAAAGUCCGAUAUGUGAGGGGGAGAUUGUUGAGGUUGUCCUACAUUGGGCUUGGUAUUCGGUUUAUAAGUGUGAGGAAAAAUUUCACCUCUUGAGCUAAUUUUUUGGAUUGAGAAGGCCCAAUACUACUCAACACUUCUCCUCUGUAAAGUAUAAACCUAGCUAAGAGAGAGUACAGGAAGAACUAGUGGCGGCAAAUGGCUUGGAAUUUGCUGGAAUAUGCACGGGCUGGACCAUAGAACGCGUCUAUAUAUUGAGUUCAAUAUUAAAAAAUUUUGAUCGAUUGACAGGAUUUUACUUUUAAUCUCAAAAUCAACUUUCUACUUUUCAGAAGUGAAGGUAUCAAACUACCUUAACUAUUAUAUUGAAUGCCCUUAAGUAUAGGGAAGGGGCUCUGAAUGAGUCUGUGUAGAAGUCAAUUUCUAUGACAAAGGUUGUAAUUGGUAAAUGAGAAUAGAAAUUUCUAGCAUUCACUGUAAAGCAGCUUUUUCUAUCAUCUUUUCCCCCCUUUUUCAACACAUAGCAGAACAUAAUUGACUUGGACAAGCACAAAAUUUGAGCAUUUUAUAUUCAUAUUUUCAACCUUUUUUAACUUAAAACCUUAGAGUUAUAAUUAACUGACCUGAAACAGAAACAGGAAAGUCACGAGAUCGAGGUUGUAUGUACUAAAAAAUAAAAAUAGACUCAUAAAAAGACAUUGCCGUCACUGAGCCAUUUUGUGGUGAACGAAGGAUUCGUGGAGUAAAGUGUAUGGUUCUUGACUUAUGUUCACAAGUUCUAGAAGUUCCCGAUUAAUUAAUAAUAACAUAAAAUAGGAUCUAAUAUUUACAGUUUCUUCAAUCGAAUCGAUUAGAAUCUAAUUAAAUUUUGAUAAGAAAUGUAAGUGAGCAUUUGAAUUUAAUUUUUUUUGGUUACACUAAAAUACUUCAACUUUCAUCUAAAAUUUAGUAUAAUGUGUUUGCCGAGACUCGAGAGAUAUAUAUUAAGAGAAAUGUAACUGAAAUUACAUUUAUUUUUAACAUUAAGUAUCUAAAUGAAUAAAGGAAUAAAGGAAAAUUCAAUCUAACCCCUCGGCCAAACUGAUAAAUGCGGGCGUAAUUAAUAUUCAUAGGUUUCUACAUUUUCUAAAUGGAAGUUUUUUAAAUUUAUUUUUGAAUAUAAUUUGUUUCCACAUAAUAUUAGAAAUAACGCUACCUAUUGAUGAAAUCCAGGUUGAUUGGGCCAAAUACAUAUUUCCUGAAGGAAGAAUUUUGUUAUAUCAAUUAAUGUUACAUAAGACUAUUAACAAGCCUCAUAAGAAUUGAGCGAUCCCAACUCUAAAGUAAUGAAUUUUGUCAGCGUUAAAGGUGAUGUGGUAUCUUUCGACUCUACUUGAAAAAAUUAUGAAAAGCUAAGGAAGUGAUAAGGUUGGAAUCUAGAUUGCGCCCGAACUCGAAAGGUAGUAUGCAAGCUUGAAGUGUAUAAUUAAUAAGAGGGAAUCUGAUUGUUACUCCCCCUAAAAAUAAGUUCGGGCCAUGUCACCCCUAGGAGAGGUCGACUUGAGCUCGAACCCUGUUUCACCUAGCUAGGUUCCUUGCGUAGAACAGGGAAUUUUAUUUUUUUUGAAAACUUCCUUUCUUAAAUUUCAGAAUUUUAUUAUUUUUAUUUUUUUUUUAUUUUUUGUAUGAUGAUUUUGCAUAUAAAAAGGCAGUGUCACUACAAUUUUUCGAAAACUUCUGUAAUCGUCACUCUUCUGAUCGUUUGAUUGAAUUUAUUUCUAGCUUCACGAUUUGUUCAUAGUUGGUAUUAUUAUACUAGUUUGAUAAAGAGUUUCUACUGUAUAAUCUCUCUCUAUAUGUUUUCUAUUGCAUUGUUAUACCUCGUAAUUUACGUAAUGCUAGUUCAUCGUUAUAUGCUUUGAACAAAAAUAAUUUAUUCAGUUUUUUGCCAAACUUUUAAAGAUCUAAUAAAAAUGUCAGUCAUAUUAUGAUGUACGACAAGAUGAAAGAAAAAUUAAAGCUAUUUUUCAUGAAUUAGGAGGGUGAUAUUUCUUUAGUCUUUGAUGUUUUAUAUCAUGUUGGCAGUAAUGGAUGCAUAUAUUUGAUAGCAUUAUACUCUCGUUUGGCCCCCAUUAAAUUAAAUUAAAAAAUAUUAUUUGUACACUGGGAUUGACUAGGGCCCGACAAAACUCUCGAACAGAAUGGAACUCGACGGUUCUUCUCAAGUUAAAUACCCGAACGGGUAUUUGAAUCAAGAACCAAUGGGUAUGGUUUGGUUCUUGAAUCUCGACUAAGACCCGAAGAACCGAAUCUCCGUAAUUUUUUUAAUUAAUUUGUUUUAAAUAAGCAAAAUUAUUUUAUUUUUUCUAAAUAAAUUUGUUAACUAGUUAAUUUAAUUCAAACCACAAAAUAUAAUUUUCCUAUUUCUAAUUUUCAAUUCAAAAUCAAUUUAAUCAAAUUGACCUCAAUUUUAUCCAAAUCUGUUAUUCUACUGUAAUGUCGUUUAUAUUGAAGAAAAUCGAAUUAAAGUUCUACAACAUCUCUCUUAAUUAUUUUGAACUCGCUAACUUUCUCUUUCUGUGAUUUUAAUAAUCAAAUUUAUGAAGAAUUCAGCAAAAAGAGACGUAAAACACAUAAAAUUGAACUACGUUAUUUUGUAAGAGCUAAUAUUGAACAUAUCAUUAAUUAAAUUAACGUAAUUUUGUAUAUAUUAAAAAAUUUAAUUAUAAUACGGAAUCGAAUGAAAUCGAACUCAAACGGUUCCGUAAUUAAAUUUGGACCCAGUGGUUCCACUUACUAAAUACCCGAAAAUUUCGGGUCAAUUUGGUUCUCGUUAGAACCGGACCAUAUCCAGCCAUUGGAUUGACAUUCCGGUGUACACUCCCCUCACAUAAGAGAAUGAGCCCCACGACAAUAAAAAAAUUGUGGAACCCCCAUGUGAGGAGAGUGUACACCGAAGUGUUAACACUGAUGUACGUGUAGCAAAACUCAAUUAAAUUUCAUUUUUUCUUUCCUAUUUUCAAUCAUACAAUCUUUCAUAAAAUACUAUAACACGUAAAUCGAAAACUUUCUUUUUCUCAACCACUAAUUUUUCAAAAAAUUACUAUUCCACACAUUUUUAUUUUAAAAAAUGGGGACCAAACAUAUGCAUAAUCUUGAUGAUGAUAAUUUGACUCUUAUAAAAAAGUUAUUGCUAUUAAACCCAUUGUAUCGGAUGAAUCUAAUCAUCAAGUUAUUUUUAUUCAUGAUGAAUGGAUUAUAUUCUUUUUAUUUUAUAAUAUGUUGAACAUAUUUUCGUCUUCUAUGCUAUAUGAUUCCCUUGUUCAUAAUUUAAACUUGGUUAUACCCUCGUUAUUAAAUUUUUCUUUUAGUCUUCUUACAGUACAAGGGCUAGGAAUCUCUGUUAUCAAAGAAUAUAUCGCGAUGAAAAAUACACUUUGAAAAAUAUUUUUCGCCGUGUACCAACUUUUUUAUUAGCUACAAUAUUCGAUCCUGGUCUUAAAUUAUGUGGUGCCGAACGUUAUUUUUUGUUAUAUUCAAAAUAAUAUAAAUUUUAUAUUUAAAAUAAAUGUAUCAUCGUACGAAAAAUAACUAUAUUAUUGAGUAAUUCGUACUUCGGGUCAAUCUAUGUACAUUUAAUUUCUUGAGUUCGAAGUCCAUUUAACAGUACCACAUAUGUCAAAUGCACAAUUUAUAAUUCUUAUAAGAGAGGAUAUAAAUUUUCAAUUAUGACCUUUUUAUGUUGACAUGGAUAAGUUGAAAGUGAAAGACAAGUAAAUUUAAGGAUAAGGAUGUUUUUGCUGCUUGGUGCUUGUUUGAAUCUUAUUAUAUUUUUUUAAAAUUUGAAGUCGAAGUCAUUAAUUUCAUUUAUUUAUUAUACAUAUACUCAUUACAACUAAUAAAGAAAAUAAUAAUUGAUUUUAUUUUAAUUGCCAAAUUCCCACCAAUUUACUUUACCAAAAAUGCUAUAUUGUAUUUCUUUUAUAAUAAAUUUCAUUAUUCUCUAAUCUAAUUUUCCUUUGAUGGUGUUGAGCUAGCCACUUGGUUUUGGUCAUCAAAUUUAGGGAUAGUAACAAGGUGGGGACUAUUUCCCCCGUCCUCAUCCUCGUCCUACCCUAAUUAUUAAAUGGUGUGGGAAUAUUUUGCCUUAUAUGGGACCGGGCACUGUGAACGAGGUCGAUAAUUUUAUCACAUCUAAUUCAGAUUACUAAAUUACUAUUUUCUAUUUUACUUUAAUAAAAUUUAUCCAGAUUUCUUUUGCAUUUUCAAAAUCAUGUUAUUUAAGAACCUUUUUCUUUCUCUAUUUGAUUCAUGAAUCUUUUUGAGUAGGAAAACGCGCGGAAAUAUAUGAAUCAUUCCGCCUGGACCCUCUACCUUAGGUUGUUGGGACCUUUGGUGAAUUUUGGAAGCUGGGCCUGAAAUCGUAGUAUGCAAUGACGGGCCUAGAAUUGGAGUUCAGUUACGAGGGAUAUUGAUCAUUGACUAUUGACCAACGAUAGUCAAUGUCCAUAAUAGCGAGGUCGUGAAAUCGACUAGAAACAAUGGCGGGAUUAGAUACACUACUAGAACUACAGGAAUUAGGUAGGGACUUUCGUUUUGGUUAAAAGAAUUGUCCCAUAAUCUGCAAAUGCCAUGAUUUAUAGUUCAAUUAAAAUUUGUUCAAAAACAAAUAAUACAUUACACCUUGAAAAACAAAGCCCCAAUAAUCAUUUUUCAACUAAAAUUAAUUAAAUAGACAUCAAUAUAUUAACAAAAUCAAAUAAAUUUGGUUCCAAUUUAUCAAUUAAAAAUUUUCAAGUUACUUAUAAUAUGCAAAAUUCUCCAACAAUCAUUUAGGUAGGAACUACGUUGGAAUUUUUUCUUGAAUUAUUUAUCACAAAUUACAUUUAUAACUCAUAAAACAUAAAUUAUAACUCAUAAACAACAAAUUAAAAAAUGAAUUAAAAGAACAAAAAAAAAAAAGGUGAGAAAGGCCAGAGGCUCAAAGACACUGAGAUCGGAGAGGCUGAUGUCGACGGCGACUCGUUAAAAGCAGCAGCAGGUCGCAAAUGAUGAGUUUGGAAUUGCAAGGCAGCAAGAGGGGGGAAGGGUUUAUGGUGGAAUUGGAAAAUGUAAUUGCUGAAUUGGUUAACAUGAAUAGUGGGGAGUGGAUUUGGUAGUUACUUUGUGGAAAUUCUACCACACACACCUAUCUUUUAAUAAAUAUUUAAAAUGUACUAUUCAAUAUAUUUUUUUUUUACCAUAAAUUCUGUUUUUUUAUAAGGUAAAAAUAGAAAUGUGAAAAAGAUAACCAAAAUCAAAUAGGCUAUUCAUUUACGUUGCUAUAGUUACUCCAUCAAACACGCCUUAACCUGACAAAAUUAACCCCAAAAUCCUUAAAACGGUGUUAUUUCCUAUUCUAAUCAAAAUCAUCAACCCAAAUUCUCUUGUCGAAAUCGCCCACCAAGACACUGAAUUGAUCAUUCACAGAGCUCCCGCAAAAGUUUAUUUCCAUGCCAGAUUCCAUCGUGUUUCUGUGCAAUUUCGCAAAAAUCAGAUAAUUCAUUAAGUAUAUAUUCAAGUAAAAGAGAUCAUACACACACAAAGAAAUGGAGAUGAAUUUUGCAAAAAUGUAUUCUCUUGUUUCAUUACCAAAUACAUUAUACAGAUAUAUUUCUAGCAAAUCAUCUUCUAUAGUGUAAUCAAAUCUCGAAAGAACAAUUUAACAUAUCUGGUGCGAAAUAGAAAUUGAAAACCAGCAACUACUCCUCCCAAAAAUGUAUCUUGAACUAUAUUUGUAGAAGAUGAAGUUUCAAAAUAUAAUCUGUGCCAAUGAACUAAUAAUUCGUGUCUGAUUUUGGAAGUCAUUAAAUGCAGAAUGUAAAUUUAGCUAAAUUCAAAUUGGAUCAGUUACAACAUGUGUUUUGGGUAAUAUUUUGGGAAGUUAGAAUAUUAAAAAAUAAUUAAUAUUAUAAUUACUAUUUUUUUAAAAACGUUCCCAUCAUAUAGUAAAUUGGGAAUUUGCUUUUUGCAUUGGGGCACACAUGAAUUUUUCCGAGUUACUUUGCGAUUGAACUACGGGUCCAUGGUACAUGAAAAUGAAUUUGGGCCUAAUUUUUUAAUAAACAGGAGGCUAAAAAAAGCCCCAAUUCAUAAACCUAUGUUAUCUUCCAAGUUUCAUUUCUGCCUUUGCAAUUCAAGUUUCCUCCUCCGGCUGGCAGGAUCUCGACGACAACUGUAAAUUCCGACCGCUCGUACUGGCUCCGCCACUGCUAUUAUGCAAAUCUAGGGAUGUAAACGAGCCGAGCCGAACCGGCUAGCGAGCCGAAAUUUUGGGCUCGGGCUCGGGCUCGACUCGAGUAAAUCGUAGCGGGCUUUUUUUGGGCCCGAGCCAAAGCUCGGCCAAAAAAAUAUGGCUCGGGCUUUUUACGAGCCGAGCCGGUUCGGGCCGGCUCGGUUUUUUAAUUUUUUUUUUGCAAUUUUUAAUGACUUUUUUUUACAUGCUAAUUGUUGUGGUGCAAUUUGUUUAGUAGAAAGCAAAGAAAUUGUUUAAUGACAUUUUUUUGAAAGAAUUUAAAAAUUGCAUCAUUUAUUAUUUAUACAAAUUACAAAUUAAAUAAAAGUACAACUUUCAAAAUUAUGUAAUUUAUACGAAUAACAAAAUAAAUAAAAGUUACAAAUUACAACCCUCCUCCUUUUUCCGGGCUUGGGACCGCAUAUGAAUAAAAUAUUUCGUGUACAAUUUUCUUGAAUCAAAUAAAUUUAAAAAAUAUAUUUCUUAAAGAAAAAUAAUUAAUUUAAAAACUUACAACAUCCUAUGUUUGGAUAUGCUGCAACUCUUCGACCAUUAUACUAUCAACAUGUUCUUGAACACGUAAUUCUGCACAUUCCCAAUCCUUCAAACAUAUCAAAGCCUCCAAUAUAUCUUCUUUUAGUCUUGAUCGUUCAUCUGAUAAAAUUCGACCACCUAAACUGAAUGCAGCCUCCGAUGCUACCGUAGACACCAGAGGUGUUAGUAGAUCAGGUGCAAUUUUUGAUACAAUUGGAUAUUGCCUUUCGUUACAUCUCCACCAAUUUAAAAGACUAAAUUCUUGUAAUUCGUGCGGUUGCAACACACUACGAACAUCCACGCACAUAUACCUAGCUAACUCAGAAGGAAUUUCAAGAUUUGUACCACCAAUAUUGAUCGUUCUAGAUGUUGAUGAGCUAGAACUAGAACUAAAUGAAGGAGCACUUGUAUUGCUAUCUAAAUAAUUCCAUAAAUUUUCGGGAUUUGUUGAAAUAUUUCUUGAAAAAGAACUCUGGGAAGUAGAACUACGCUGACCUUCCUUUUCAGCAUAAUAAUUAUAUAUUUCACAUAAAAAAGAUUCUAUAUGCACGCGUGAUAAUUCUAUAUUCAAAAAAUCUGAUAUCCCCUUUACAGUAGUUUUUGUGCCAGUUAAAUUAAGUCGAGGGUCCAUUACUAAAGCUAAAAGAAAUAAAGAAGGCAACUAUUCCCAAUAUUUACAAAAUUUUAACUCCAUAGAGCGGAUUACAUCAACAAAAAGUGGCAAAUUCUUAUAUUUAUGAAAUGCUUGUGAAAUGUAGAAAAAAUGUUGUAAAACAAGAGAAGAUGUAGGGUAAUAAACACCGCUACAUUCCUUUGUAGCAUCGAAAAAAGGUUGUAAGAAUUUUUUCACGUAAAAUACAAUAGUCCAUUCCCAAUCUUCCAAAUUAUGUUCGGGUCCGAGUGUAUGCCUACCAUUAUAAUAUAGUGAAAUCACUUUAUCGUAAUUUUCACACGAAUGCAACAUAAGAUAUGUAGAGUUCCACCUAUAUGUUACAUCGGUGGCAAAUAAUUUCUCCUGUAAUCCAUACUCCGCACACAAACUAUUAAAUGCUUGUUUUCUUGCUGGUGAUAAAGUAAUAAAAUCUAUUGCUUGUCUAAUUUUAUCUAAAGGUGAACUUAUAUGUUCUAAUCCAACUUUUACAAUCAAAUUAAUAAUAUGACAUACACAACGUUGAUGAAAAAAUAAAUUUCCAAAUACGGGGUUAAGAUCAGCAAUAAAUUUUUCAAUAACAACUUUGUUCACUGCAGCAUUAUCAAAAGUAAAAUUUCGAACCAUAUCUUGUAUACCAUAUUCCUGUAUGAUAUCUUUUAAAACCAUGUAUAUGUUAGUGGCAUUAUGGGGAAAUUCUACACAUCUGAAUGCAAUAAUUCUUUUAUGUAGAAGCCACAGGUGAUCAAUAUAAUGAGCCGAAGCAGCAAUAUAACAUUUUCUAUUACAACCAGUCCAUAAAUCAGAAGUAAACGAUAUAACACUAUUAAAACUUUUUAGACCUUCAAUAGUAAUUUGUUUUCUUCUGUUGUAUAAUUUUAUGCUAUCCGAACGAAGAGUAUUUCUAGAAUAAGAAGAAUACCUGGGUUGGAGAUAUUUCUGCACGAGUCGAGUAAAGUGUAUUAAGUCUAUCAUCGUAAGCGACAUCUCUGCUGCAGCCACGUAUGCAGCCAUUCCUUCACGAAAUCUUUCCUGUGAAUAUACAAAGGUGGAAAGAGUAGAAUUAGAACCGCCAAACACUAGUUCGGUCUGUUUCGAGUCGAGAUUGGCUGGUUUCGCUUUGCAACUCCUUAAUACGUGUCUAUUCAAAUGCGUUGUGCUCGAGCCAGGCUUCCAACUAAGUUCUUUGCCACAAUAAUUGCAACAUGCUUUCCAAAUAUCUACUCCAUUUUGAACAUCAAUUUUUUUUCGUGUCAUAUGUUGCCAAUAAUCCGAUGAUUCUUUUUUUGACCUUUUUGUCUCGAGUACUUGAACUUCUUCCUCUUUAAUAUCCUCCAAAUUAAUUGGAACAUUUUCACAUGCAUCGUAGUUAGAUGGAGUACUCGAGCUACCGCCAAACUAAUUAACUUCAUCACUUGUAAAAUCCAUAAUAACUAGUAUAAUAAAAAAUACUGAAUAUUAGACUGUAGAGUGAAAGAAAUUGAAUAUAUUAAUUGUUAUAUGAGAAGUGAGAAAGAAGAAAUUGAAAUUUGAAUGAUUGAAUCUGAAUCUGAAUCUAUAAUAUAAAAUUAAUGCGAAUUAAAAUCGAUAGCAAAGUGAUUUAAAACUUCAAAAAUCAUCCCGUAUUUAUAGAUAAAAAAAUUCGUGUUAUUUUUCAAAUUUGAAUUUUAAAAUCUAUAUGAUUACCAAUACGAAAAAAAAGGCAGCUAUAGCUGCCCUAGCCGGCAGCUGUAACCUGCUGCCAUGCAGCAGUUAAAAAAAAAUUUUUAAUUUUUUUUUGUUCUUUUAUUUUCUCGGGCCGAGCAUUAUUGUCACGGGCCAUUUUUGGCCUAUGACAAGAGCCGGCCCAACCACACGGGCUUGCUCGGGCUCAGGCCGACCUCUUAUUUUGAGGCUCGGCCCGAGCCUAGGCUCGAUCACUACGAGCCACAAGCCGGGUGGGCUCAGACUUUUCCCGAGUCGAGCCACGAGCCACCCGAGCCUUUUUGACACUCCUAUCAGCAAAUCAAUUAACUAAAAACUCAACAACUAAACGAAAAAAAAAAACGUAAUACUUAAAAUAUUUUAUUACAAUCAAUUAAUAAGAUUGAAAAAUGUUCUACAUGAUCAUUCAAGAAAUUUAAAAAAAUGUAAAGUAUGGCUAGGACGCAAAUAUUUACACGUUUAGAUUGUUAUUUGGAUAUGUUCUAAGUACUUGUAAGUUGUGAAUCAUAUGAAAUAUCUAGAUAUUGAGUGAAUAUUAAGUUGCACAUUAUACAAAAUCUUCAAAUAAAAAGUAUGUUUGACAAAUUUAACUUAAGCGCUUGUUUGAAAUUGCUUAAGAAGCUACUAUAAAGUUGAGGUCAAAGUUAAAAAAUUAAUUUUCAUCACAUAAUUUAUGAAAUUCACAAAUUUUUAAUCACACAUUCAUCAUAUUUUAUCAAAAUCUCGACAACCUUUAAAUUUUAAACUUCGCAUAAAACUUCUGUGCAGUGGGCAAAAUAACGUGCUAGAGCUAAUGCCUAAGAAUUAACAUGUGUUAGACAGGGUGAAUUAUAGGGCCUAGCGCCCCUGUUUUUGGCCCUAGAAUUCAUCCUAGCUGUCUAGCAGGGUGUAAUGCGUAAUUGGUGUAAACAUUAAAAUAUAUAUAGUUAUGAAAACUGUAACGCCCCAAAUUUUUUUUUAUAAAAUAGGUAUGGGCCGUUACCAAAAACUUACUUUUAUUUAUUUUAAUACCAAACAGUAAGAAUAAAAUUCUUAAAUAAACAAGAUACUAGAACACUCAUAAAUUAAAUUUAAAUCAUGGAAAUAUACGCAAUCAACAAACAAAUCAAAUAACAUAUUUUUAUACACAACCAACUAGUAAAUUUAAAGGCUGUUGAAGAGAGACACAAAAUAGCCUAACGAAAUUGUUUUUGAAUGAUUUCUUGAAAAACAAUUUCUUUACUUGGCAACCCGCGCAUCGCUCAGCCACCUCCACGUUGACCCUACUGAUCUGAAAUGUUGAAAUUAAAGGAGUAAGUAAUUACACUCAGUAGGAUACGUGCGUCCGAACAAUAUGAUAACUUUUAAAACAUGAAUUCAUAACAUUUCAUACCAUCAUUUCAUCAAGAGCAAUUGGUGAUCAGUCGAAAGCUCCAGUACAUUUGAGGAGACCCGAAAGAGAUCUCACAUUUCAUUUCAUUUCUUUGAGAUUCGCAGGUGAAACAUUUCAUUUCAUUUCAUUGGACCCGCAGGUCAAUAAGCAUUUCAUGAAAUAAAUCACACAUGAAAAUCAUAAUAUUGAAAGGACAUAUCACUUGCACAUAAAAGUAUCCUACCUCUUUUGACAAUAAAAUUGUUGGAAGUAGGAAAUUCACAUUCCCAAAAACCUUCGUCGUUGCCGAGUCUAUAUGCUGAGAAAAUUAUCGAAAAUAUAUUUUAUGAUAAAUCAUGAGUUGAUUGAUGAUUGCAAAGCAAAAGUCAAGAUUUUGGAUACCGUGAGGAUGUGAACGUGUAGCCGAUCAAAGUGAGUGAAAUCCAAUGCAAAAGUAAAUAUGCAUAAGAAAACAUUAUUUUAAAUUGAUGACGUCUCAUAAGUAUAAUUGAUGCUAAUCACUUAGCAAGGCCCCCGUUUUAUACUAUUAAAUCAUUUAAAAGGCAGUGGUCAAUCUAGGUAAGAAGUCUUCAUUUUCGACCUAAUGAUUAUAGAUAAUUAGGCACAAUUUAUGCUAAUUAAUUUUUAACAUCCAAAUUUACCUCACUUACUUGAUUAACACUUUAAAUUAGUAUUUACCAAUUACAAAAUUUUAAUGUUUUCCACAUGCUAUUUUUACAUUAAAUGAUACAAAAUACACGUAUUGAGAAGAGACAUAUAUUUUAAUAUGAUUUCUAAGUUGAAUCCUAAAACGAGACGAAUCGUGAGGUAAUAACAUAUAAAUAUAACUACUAUAAUAAAGUAAUAAACAUAUCGUAAUUAAAUUAAUAGGCACGUUGAUUGUUCGUCCAAGAUACGUUUAACUGUAAAAAUAUAAUUAUUCACUGUAAAAUAAUAAUAUCAAUAAAUAACAGAUGCAAUCUAACCAACAGAAUCUCGUCAAUUAAUUCCGUUAAUCAGUCCAAUUACAAAACUCCUUGUUUGGAUAUCAAUCAAGUUAAAUUAAUUAGAAUCUAUUUAAUAUAAGAAUAAUCAAGUUUGCAUCAAUUUACAUAAAAUGACAGGUUAUCAUACAAUAACAUAACAUCAUAUAAAAAUGAAAUAAAUAAUUAUAUAAUGUAUUAUAAGCUUAAUUGGACUAUAUACCCAAAAUAAUUUACUUUGAUGGGGAUGUAGAAUAUUUGUUAGAGGCCCAAAUCGUGUCUUACCAUUUGUCUAGCAAUUUGUGAGAAAUUUACUUAAUAUGAAAGAAGAUAUUUAAGGGCAUUGUUAAUUACAAACUACCCAGUAGUAAAUGUAAAAAUAUUACAAGUCACAUGCAUAUGCAAAUUAAAUUGAUAUUUCUAGGUAAUGAUCCCCAAAAUUUUCUAUAAUUAUUGAUUAACUGUAACAUUUAUUAUGGGAGGUUGAAUGAAAUUCUAGCACUAAGGCAAGUUUUGCUCCCUUAAAAUACAUGUGCAUGAACUAUCAAAUGAGGUGGAUGUCAAGAUAAUUAAAUCCCCCAAACCUUAUGCUUGAACUAAGACACGUAAUCCCCUCCCCAAAGCCAAGACAAUAAUGAUUAAUCAUAAAUAAAAUAAAAUUUUCGGAGCAUUACAAAAACCUAGGACAAAUACAAUUCUUUUUACCGUACCGUCAAUCAGAUAAAAGGAAGAAAGGAUGGAGUACAAAAAUGAAAAUUAAAAAAGGAUUAAUAUAUAUAUACUCACAAACUUUGACAAAAUGAGUUACACACACUCACAAAAAAUACGGAUCCAACAUGAAUUCAAAAAUACCGGCUGUGUGGUCCUCACCUCUAUUGUGAGUGUAAGUAAAACUUUUUGUACAAAAGUAUAAGUACAUGUAACAUGAUCCAUUAAAAAAUUCUUUAACUUUGUCUUAGUUCUAUGUUUUUCUCUGUCAAUCAUUUUGUUCCAAACUACCCAUAAAUGUAAGAGAGAUAUUAGGGUAGAGCGAUCGCAUAGUCUUACGUUCAACCUUCAGUUCAGGUAUUUCUCUCAAUAUAUUGGAAAAUCUUAGAAACUUUACUUAUUAAUUUGUGUGUUUUCACUUAUAAGUAAAAUGAAAAAUUCUGUUUUCAUGCUUAUCCAAACUUGUUUGGAACGAUGAAACUCAAAUAAUGGAAUUGUAACAUUUUAGAAACUCUUAUUUCCAAUCAUAGAUAUGCCCAACUUGUUUUUGGCAGUACUAAGAUAAAAUGUUACUUAUUUCAAUUUGUAACUUUUUUUAACCAAUAACACAUUAUAGACACUGUUUAGAUUAAACAUACUUAUUCACUUAUAUUAAACUUAUUUAUGCUUAAACUUUUUAAGCUUAGCCCAAACAUGGCGUACCUCAUUUGGGUACCAAGGAAAUGUGUUGCAAAAUUCUGCAACCCAAACAGUAUUUUCAUGGCAUUUGGCUCUGCCUAUGCUUGCCUUCUCUUUGCCAAAUAUUACUCACUUCUCACUUUAUUCAAGCCUUGACAGCCCAACAACAGCUACCACCUGAUAUCCUACUCAGGCUUGAGUCCGUGUCUUUCUCGGGAAAUAACUGAACCCGCGCCCUGGUUCUCUAUUUUUCUCAGGUCGAGUUUUAACACUUGUCUAUAUGUUUAGUUGCUAUCUGUCUUUAGGGCUUGUUUCGUUUGUGGUGUUAAUACAGCAUAAGUUGAGGUUCGUGAGAAGUUUUUCUUUGUGUGAUCAUUGUUCUUUUUUGGGUUGUGAAUGCUUGUUGAGCCAUUGAAUGUGGAUGGCUUUCAACUUAGUUAAAGCUUUCUAUGUGGGAUUCAUUUUAGGCUUUGAGUGCCUCGUGUUUCUUGGCUUUUUGAAUUUUUGGAACGUUCUUUAUCUGUGCCGUUGGGUAAAAAACCCCUUUUAUGUUUUUUGUUUUUUUUUUUCAUAAAUUUAGUUCAGAAAUCAAUUUUUUUGUUGUCUUUUCUAUUUUUAAUCUUUUGUUUAGCCUGUCAUUGUUCCGUUAUUAAUUUUUUGUCGAUUUUUCCUGAAGCUAGAAUCAUAUCAGAGUGCUGUAGAAUUUUGGGGUUCUCCAAAUUGGUGUACAAGUUAUUUGUAUUUGGGGAUGAUGACAUUCAUUAAGCAAUUUCAUGAAGGGGUCAUUGUAACAUUGCACUUUUGGUUUAUGACAUAUGAUCUUUUAUUUUUCAGUUUCAUCAGGAUGUCUGCAAAUAAUCAUGUGUUCGUGGAAUGGGAAGAGCGUAUUAUUUCUAAAGAAAGGGGCAACCGAGUUGUUCAUUACUAUUUGAAUGAGUCCAAUGGGAAUUCAGUCCUUGCCAUUGUGGGGACCGAAAAGAGUUUAAGGCACAUGAUCUAUGUUCUUUCGGAGGACUUUGUAAUCAAUUAUGGGUGUACGACAACAGUCCGUGCUGGCACAAAAUGGCGAGCAAGACGAGAUGUUGUGGAAUGGCUCAUGUCAAUAGUCUCAAGAGGCCAACCAAUCUCGACUACUCCAGGUAUGUAGGGUUUUAUUCCACAGACUUAUUAAUCUUUAACGACAUAUGCAUAUUGAAUUUAAAUUCUUUUAGUAAAUUCUACUCUCCUUUUUAAGCUUUUGAUAAGGAGUUGGUGACAUUUUCCGAACCACAAUCAGGUACGGGCACUUUGUUACCUUCGGUGAUAAAGCUGAUUGCAUACGAGAAAUCUGUUUUUGUUCCGAUUAAGCUUAUUGUACUUGUUCUACUAUUUACAUUCUUUGAACAGCUCACGCUCGGCACUUGUUAUAAGCCAUUAACUUAUAGCAGCCUUUUAAACUAGUGUGAUAAAUUGAUGUCUUUCAAGUAAAUGGUGAAGGUCUAUCAAUCCCUUCCUCUCGAAGUGAAGGUUGAUUUGUAAUUAUUGAUCUUAAAUGAAUUUGAGAAUAAGAAAAGAAAAGAAAAUGGAGCUUUCAUUAGAAUUACAGUAACGGUUUUAUUUUUUAUUUUCCAUUUGUGUUAGAGUCGUAAUGUGGUUGUUUGGAAAAUUGAUAGAUUUUAUUUUGUAACUCAUUUGGUCAGAAAGUAAAGAAAAGAUAUUUCCACUAGAUAUAAGUUCUAUUUAAGAGCCAACCCUUAAAUUCUUAUUAUGACACUUCACAUUUUUAUACCAGCCGAUAGUUCGCGACAAACUAACGGUUUUCAAUACGAACCUGCUUGACAUAGUUCAGCUACUCCUUGCCAAUUUCUUCAAGUUGAUUAUGUGAGUUAUAUUGUACCAUUCCAUGCUACUCUCUCAUGCUAAGGUCAUAAAUUAGUUUCACCAUUUUAAUGUCUCAGUUCAGGUUGAUGCUUGUCACCCUAUUUCCAGUGACCUCACUACUGAUUGCCAUCACGAUCAUGGAACUCUUCUUUUCUAGAUCAUUUAUUUAGUUAUUCUCUUACUUAAAAGGAAGUGCAUUAUAAUUUAUGAUAGCCCUUACGAUGCUUACCGAUAUCACUUAUUUGUUAGGAGGGCUAGUUUGCCAGGCUUUCUUGUGGACCUCAAUAAGUUUAGCACGCAGGCUUACACACGCACACACAAUCUCUCUGUGUGUGUCAAAAUUGAUGAUGUUAUGAGAACUUGAAAAUUGAGAAGAUUUUCUUUAUUACAUAUUUGCUUAUAACUUAUUAGUUCUCAGCACCUUGAAAUAAUGUAAUUUUAUGGGGGAAAAUUAUAACCUAACCUGAAUCAAGAUUUUCUUUACAAGUUAAAUUUUAUCUUUCUAUUCCUAAUCAAGCUUUGCUGAAUAAAUGUGUUCAAAAUUAGUAAGUCAUCAAACCUAUAAUCCAAGUGCCAAUUUCAUACUCAAAAUACCUUGGCAAAGUGUAACUUCCAUAGAGUCUCGGUCAAAAAUAUUGUCCCCUUUUUAUUCAAUUGACACGGAGCAAUUUCAUUAAUAACGUGACAGACUGCAGAUACCUUUAUCAAAAUCAGUGGGCCCCAGAUUUGAGCGUUAUAACUUGGAGCCACCACAAUCAUCUUUAGAGCCAGAAGUAAUCUCAUCUGUGGAUCUACUCUCUACCCGAUUUCGACCAGUUCUUGAAGUGCAUUCUGUAAUUUUAUUGAACUUUUUAUGCAAAAUCACAAAAGCCGCUAAUUAGUGAAAGGAAGCUAUAGUGAUUGAAUUACAUAGGUUUUGUAUUUUCCUUGCAACAGAUACCUUAAAUUUGCUUUAGAGAAAUUUUUGCAAACAGUUUUAUGCCAUUUUUCCCUUCCGUUCCCUGGAAGAUCCAAAAAUACUUCGCUCGAAACAAUCUCUGGAAUCCAGUGGAAUCGGGAUGUCUAGUUUCUUUAAUUGUUUGAGCCGCCAGGGGGAUGAAGUGGUGACUAGAUAUUUAAUUCUUGGUUCAUUUUUUAUGAUAUUUUUGUGCUUAACUGUGUAUUAACUUCAGAUUACUAAUAAAGGACCUUCAUUUCAGAUCCAAGUCUCUAGAAAAUUGAAUGUCAGAAAUCCAAAUAUCGAGUGGAAAGGUGAUGCUUGGAUCUGCAGUAAACAGCUUAAGCAUUAUCCAGGUUUUUGCAGAAAUGGAACUGAGAUAGCUGUAAGCCUUAAUUUAUUUAUUAGUAAACAAGUUAGUUUGGAAAAUGAUCAUGUUUUUAUUGAUCAAAAUUGAAAACGAAUAAUUAUCUAUUUGAAGGUAAGGGUUAUUUUCAGUUUUUCACAAAUUAAUCCUUUUCUUUUCACUCGUUACGAAAAAAUAAUAAGCCCCCAUUUGUUUCCCAUUCUUUUCUCAUUCAAAUGAAAAAUAUAAUCGUUAUCCAUCACAUCAAGCCAUCAAAUUUGAAUUUCUAUCUCUUGUGUGAGACUUAUAACUGCUAUAUUUUUCAUUCUUAUUUUUACAAAAAUGAGAAAGAAAUGCCCCCUAAGUUGCUUAAACAUGUUUGAGACAAAAAUUGGCUCUAGAACAACUCUACUAGUUUGUAAGCCUAACCAAACGAGUUCUUCAUAUGCUUUGUAACAGCUUUCAAAACUCUCAUCUUGAUCUUUAGGUUUUAUCCUUUGCACUGAUAAUGAGUGAAGAAGGAAGUCACUAUCUUGGUUAUCUGGAAGACUUAUAUGAGGAUAAGAAUGGCGAGAAAAUGGUUAAUGUGCAAUGGUUUCAAUUUAGGGAGGAAGUCAUCAGUAUGAUUCCUCAUGUAAAUGCACAUUCUAGAGAAGUUUUCAUCACACCUCAUAAGCAGGAGAUCAGUGUAGAUCGUGUUGACAGUCUAGCUGCAGUUUUGACUCCAAAUCAUUUCCAAAAAUGUUGGGCUCAUUUUGUGCAAGGCUUGCCGUUGGGAAUUUUUAUGUGCCAUAAAGAAUUCAAAAACGACAAGGUCAAGUCCUUCUCUGUAAGUAAAUUACAUGGUUACUAAUAUCAACCAAUCCUAUCUCAUCUGGAUUCCAGUUUCUCCCGGACAAGAAAUGAGGGACAUAAACUAAGUGAAGAGGCAGCAAAAUGUGGGCCACCUAUCUUGAGAUUGAAAAUCAAAAUGUCGAGUAAGGAACCUAUUGGUAUUUGAUCUUGUUGGGCUUGAAGCCCAACUUCAAGUGCCGUCUAAGGUGAAUGCAAAUAUAGAGCUUCUUUGUGAGGAUAGCGGCAUGCGAGGCUGCUGGUUUAGGUGUACGAUCUUGCAAUCACUAGAAAAGCGUAUGAGGGUUCAAUACUACGAUGUCCUUGAUGUUGAUGGACCUGCAAAACUGGAAGUAUGUGAAUCCUUCAUGUUAUUGCUUUUGUUUUCUGUACUUGGAGGAUGAAAAUUAUCCUUCAUUAUUAUUUUUAUAUCUCUCAUACAACUUAAGAAUCAAGACAUGGUUUGUAACCAAUGAUUACUGCAUGAUAAAAUAAGUUCAUUGCAGGGAAACCAUCGGGCAAACUUUUGUCGGGAAGACACAUUUAUUGACCUAGUUACAAAAUUAUUUGUUUAUCCAUUUGCACUUUGUAUACAGGAAUGGUAUCCGGCAUCUAGAGUUGCAGCUCCUGAUAGAUUGGGCAUGAGAUGUGAAGGCCGCCUUACUGUCCGUCCUUGGCCUUCUGAGGAGGAUUCUUCAGGCAGUCCUUUUGUGGUUGGGGCAGCUGUCGAUGCAUGGUGGAGUGAUGGUUGGUGGGAAGGUGUUGUGAUUGGAUGCGACACCAUUCAACCAGAUAAUCUUCAAGUUUACUUCCCUGGUAAGUAUCAUAGUUGGCAAAAUAUGGUUUUUCCUAUCAUCCUUGUAACUCUUAUAGGCUUGAUUUUAUAACAACCAGUAACUUUAUCUCCAACUGUGGUAAUAAUCAUAAUCCCAAACUUGCCAUUCUAUAAGUUUUAUACCGUCAUUUGAACCACAUAAUGCCCCUGUUUGAUCUUCAUUAAAUUACAUUCCAUUACAUUCUAUUUUUCUCUCUCCUAUUUUCAAUCACACAAUCUUCCAUAAAAUAAUAUUACACGUAAAUCGAAAAGUUUUUCUUCUUUUUCAACCACUCAUUUUUUCAACAAAACACUAUUUUCCCCAUUUUCAUUACCAAAAAUGGGGGCCAAACAGGGGCAAUAAUAGCUACUUGAUAAAUUAAAGGAUGGGAACAUUCUUCCUACGAGUUUAUCUUUCCACUGCACUCGUUUUGGGUGCUGAGCAUAAUAUUUAAAUGAAUAAAUUUGUCCCAUUUCUAAAAGCUUGAGCUUUUAGAUGAUGUGGAGCAACAUGGUAUACAAAAGACUUAGAUUCAAGUCUCUCUGCCACCAUUUUUGAACAAUUGUGCAUGUGUCUGACCAUUGAUGAGAAAAUGGAACCAACCUGCACAUGAAGGGGCGAUUUGAAGACAACAUACAAAUAUUUGUCCUCUCUAUAUUUAUAGCUCAAACUUUUACAAGAGGUAGUUCAACGUUGGGUUAUUCAUGCCUCGGCCUUAGAGGUUCUGAUUUAGCUUAAACUUUCUUGUAGGUGAGAACAAGUUUAUGACUAUCCCAAGGAAAAAUACAAGGACUUCAAGAGAUUGGGUUGAUAACAUAUGGGUGGAUAUAAAGCCAAAGCCCGAUAUAAUUUCUUUCUUAUCUCCAACUGUCAUCCCAGUUGUGAAUCUUCGAUCUUUCCCAACUUCGACUGGCCCAUCUAAACCUAAUUGCAAAGCUCUCACUUCUUCAAAAUGUGAAGGCUCCGAAGAUGAUAACUUGCAGUUACCAGAUCCAAUCACAUCUAUAGGUGCUGAGAGGCUUAACAUGUGGAACCGAGUUGUUAUCAAAGACGACGAGGACAGGGUUCAUACUCUUGCUCAUGCUGCAGUCAAGGGGAAAGCUGUGAAGAAAUAGUGAUGUUACUUGAAUACAAACAAGAAACUGCUAUGGAGUAAUUUUGAAUCUGUAACCUACUCCUGAAGUUGGCAAAGCUAUUUAGUGUUUUGUUGUUACUAGUUGCUGGUAACUAGGAUGUAUAUUCGAUGUUUUGUUUUAAAUUUAGAAUAGACAGCAUUUGGUGCAAUCAUGUCAACUAGUUUUGAGUUCCGCUUUUAAUAUAAUAUGAAGUAGCUAUUUCUGUUGUUGUUGUUAUUAUUAUAAUUAUUAAUAUUAUUAUUGUGAAAGCGAUUAUUUUAAAAGUAAUUUUUAUUUUUAUUCUUAUUUUUUGGGGUUAAAAGUAGGAAAGAGAUGGGUAAAUGUGAAAAAUGAUUUUAUUUUAAUUUUUUAAGUGUAAUUUGAGCGUGGAUUAGAAGUGAUUUUCAGAGAAUCAAAAUUAAACAAGGGCUAAGUUUCACACUUCGAAUAAAUUAUGGGCUUGUUUGAUAGUGAUUUUGAGAAUUGUUUUUUUGAUCGUUGAAAAGCAAAGUGGGUCUAUCUGUAAAAGAAGAAGUAAAUUAUGAUGGCUUUAACAGUGAAAUAACGGUCAAAAAAUUGAUUUUUUGAAGUGAAAAAUCAAUAUCAAAUAUGCUGUAUAUGUAUCUUGAUGUUGUCCCCAAUGCAUUUUGGUACCAAAGAAAAAGUAGAACCAAAAUUAAAUUAAAUUUAAUAGUAUCAUUCACGUAUCUUUUAUAAUAGAGACCCUAGAAUACUAAGUAGCUAUAAAUUAUAAAUUAAAUUGAAUUUAAUAGUAUCAUUCAUUUAUCUUUUGUUUGGGGAUAAAUUAUAAUGCGAUGACAAUUAAGAAGAGAAAUUGAUUUCACAAAAUAUGUGGAUAAUAAAUAUGUAGUAAUUCGUCCGUAAAUUAUGAGGAGAUUAUUAUGAAACCAAAACGAGCAUUAAAUGCUAGUUUGGAUUAGCCUAAUGAGUGUAGGUCCUAUCGCCUUAAAAGUAUGCUUGACCAAUUUAUUUAUAAAUAAAGAUGCAUCAUGAUUAGGUGGCAAUGAGUCAUUUGCUCAUUGUCCAAUGAAUUAAAGUGUAACACGGUUCCAUUGUACAAUAAAUAAGAAAUUCGUUGCACCUAAUCAGUGGUGCAUACUAAUGAAUGAUGAUAUAUAACAUUAUUCUAAAUUGUCAUUUGACUUUGCAAGAAUGUUAUGAUUCUAUAUUAAUCGUCCAAGAUUUAAUUGGUAACUAGUCUCUAAUAGAAUAUCGAAUAAAUGUGACACAUUCUCGCAGUCAAUACCAAAGAAAAAGUGGUCGACACUUUCCAAUCUUUCAAUUAUCACACAUUGAAGCACUUUUACUCAAAAUAUAUGAAAAAUAAGAGUUUGGCUAUGUAAGCUUUCAACUAGUGCACUUUCAGGUAACCUUUAAAAGUGAGAUUAUAGAUAUAUUUAAAUCUUUACAUGACAAAAUUUCUAAUAUGCAUGUUAAAAUUGUACUUACUUUCACAUGACUAAAAAUUAGGGGGGGAAAUUCUCAAACCAUUUAAUUACGUGCAAAUAUUCAUAUUAACAUUCCAAAUUCAUAUAUAUUUAUGAGCAGUACUACACUGUCAAAAGAAUUUCUACAGAAGCUUUACAAGUUACUCACAGUGUGGUGGGUUAGUUUUUUUUUUUUUUGCAAUAUUUUAUUACUCGGGGUCCCAUGUCGGACUCACAUCCCAUGUGAGUACCUAUACACACCUUGUGAGAGUCCCCCUGUACGUGCAGAUUAAUUGUAUACUUAUAUAUGUUGGGGGACUCAAAAUCUUAUAUUUAAAUAUUAGGGAAAGCAAACCACACUCCCUCAAAGGUCAGGGAGUCCACCCUGAAAUCCCCUGAAAUAUUUGAAUUCAGAUAGCGGUAAGUCAAUAAUCAGAGUACAAUAUUAUCAUUAAAAAAAGAAGAAGAAAAAAAAGGCAAAUUCUCCCGCUAUCCUAAAAUUGCAAGUCAUUUGAAUCACUCCAAAAGAUUAACAUAAAAGGGGGAGUAAAUUCCUUCCUCUUCACAUUCCCAAAGAAGAACAAUGGCUUCAAUCAAACCCUCAACUCGCUAUGCUAACAGCCUUAACAGCUCCACAAAAUCUGACCCUUCUUCAUCCACCGAGUUCCCAACAUCACGCACCACCUCGCGCGCCGUCACGAAAGCUACCUCCAAUAAAAACGUCACUGCCACCGACAACAUUAAUCUGAGCUUCAUGGUCAAGAAAUUUAUGGAAAACAAGAAGGCAAAGAAUUCAAGUAAAGACCCAAAAUUCAUUGUGGCAGCUGAUUUUUUAGCCGAGGAUUUGAAAAAGAAUAGUGCCAAGAAGGCUACCGGAUUAAGUGGGCUGCACAAGAAGUUAUUCAAGGGUUCAUCAGGGGCAAAAAAGGGAGAUGAAAGCUCGAAGAAGGCGUUGACUGAGGUCAAAGGAAAUACAAGGACUUUGGCUAUGGUGUUGAGGAGUGAGAGGGAGCUGUUGAGUGCAAAUAAGGAGCAGGAGCAGCAGAUAGCUGAGCUCAAGUUUGCUACUUGAAGAGAAAAAUGGAGAGGGAAUAUGUGUGUUUCUAUGUGGUUCUGUACAGAAGAAUUUAUGGUUUUAUAGUUGAACUUUGAUGUGUGUUUCUUAAUUAUCUAAGAUGACAUAGAAUCAAGAUUCAUGUGGUAAAAUGUGUGAAAUUUACUGAAAUUUGAAGAUUUCGGAUGAUAGGAGUAAAGUGUACGAAAAAAUGGAAGCUUUGGAACAAAUGGGGAGUCAAUAGCAUGAUAGUUGAAAUAAAAAUCUUUUAGGAUCACUAUAAUUCGGGAUGUAUUGAUAAAUAUGAGUAAAUUAACUGAAAUUUGGGACUUCUUAUGUGUGAGAUUGACUGAUAAUUGAAAUCCCGGUUUUUUCAGUUUAAUCUUCUCUUUCUAGGGGAUCCCUCCGAGGUCAUGAGAUUUGGUUGAGGCAGGUUUUUCUGAAUAUCCCAUGUUUAGAUUUCAUUUAAUGAUUAAAGAAUUUGUAGGUCGAGAAGCUGAAAGAUUUGUGCUUGAAGCAAAGGGAAGAAAUAAAGUCUCUUAAAAGUGCCAUACUUUUCCCAGAUGUGAUGAAUUCACAACUUCAGGAGCUUUUGGAGAAGCAGGGUUCGGAACUUCAGCAGGCAAAACAACUUAUCCCGAGGCUUCAGAGACAAGUCACUUCUCUUACCGGCCAACUUCAAUAUCUUGCCGAGGAUCUAGCUGAGGUAAGCAUUCAUAUUUUGUACAUAUAUCAGAGUAAAAUGUAAGAUUAGCACAUCUUCAAAAUUGAUAAGAAAGUAAUUGUUAAUUACAUUGAACUAUUGUCUUCUCUUCUUCAUAAUUUUUAGCUAGGGUUGGACAAAAUUCUUGAAUAGGACCCUAACUGAACCAAAAUGAACCAACCGAGUGGUUCUUCUUAAAUUAAAUACCUGAACGGGUAUUUGAAUAGAGAACUGUGAGGUUUGAUUCGGUUUUCGGUUCUAGACGAAGAAUUGAAGAACCGAAUUUUCCUAUUUUUUUAAUCUUAAAUCAGCCAAAUUAUUUUAUUUUCUUUAAAUAAAAUUGCUAACUAUUUAAUUUAGCCCAAAUCAAAAAUAUAAUUUUCCUAUUUUUAAUUUUCAGCUCAAAUUCAACUUAAUCAAAUUAACUUAAGUUUUAUCCAAAUCUCUUAUUUUACUGUAAUCCGUUUUUGCCGUUAUGAAGAAAUCGAAUUGGAAGCUCGGUUGCGUCUCUCUUUAUUAUUUUGAGCUCGUUAUUUGCCCCUUCUCGUAAUUCUAGCAGUCAAAUCUAUAAAGAACUCAACAAAGAGAGGUGCAAAAUAUAUCAUGUGAUUCGACUACAUUUUUUGAUAAAAGUUAAAAUUGAACAUGUCAUUUGUUAAAUUAAUGUAGUGUUGUUGUAAAUAUUAAAAAAUUAAUUAUUUUAUAGAACCUGGAAAUCGAACCGAACUAAACGGAACCAAACCCGAAUGUUCAAUAGUUAAAUUUGGACCCGACAGUUCCAUUUACUAAAUACUCAAAAAUUCUAGUUUGAUUCGGUUUCUUUAUGACCUAACGGAGCCUAACCAUGUCCAACCUUACUUGUAGCUAACUGCUUUCUGUAUAUAAAGCUCUAGGGAUUCUGCAUGUUUGGUGCUAAACUGUUGUUUGGUUCCGAAGUACAUUUACAUGAUAAAAACUAAGGCUUAUUUCCAAUAAAAAAUUGGGAAAACGAUAUUUUAUAAGGAUUCAAGACAAACAAGUUCGCUCAUUAUACCAUGUCCUUGCUGUUUUCUCUAAGGAAGCAGAAAGAAUCAAAAAAACUUUCUACUUCUAUUCUUGAUUGUCAAAAUAUUUACAUUCUUGGCCAGUAGCUGCUUGUUGGAGUUUACACACAGAGCAAGAAAGAAAAUGAGAAACUGUAUAUUAUAAUCUUGUUAACUUGAACCAAUAGUAGCUAUUGAAGCUAUUUUGAGUUUGGUCUUCAAUUUUUUCAAGGAAAUUUGCUGGUAAGGCCUGUUGUCAAGCUGUCAGCAGUCUGUUCUGAGGACGUAAUAUGUUGAACAUCAUGUUGCUUAGCUUCCACUUUUUCUCUUACAAAAUAAGGAUCAAGUUACAUAUUCAAAUAUCUAAAGUACCUACUGUAUGGUGUGAUAACUUUUGUACAACUUACCUUUCAGCUAACAUAUCAGCAGUAGCAUUAGCCUAGCUUUCGAAUUAGGCUUUGAAAUGGUCUGUUGUUUCUUUGAACUCCAGAUAAUGUCAUUGCCACCAAAAUAAAUGAAAAAGGUUGAAAUAGAUUUCCUAUCACCCCCAAUCUCCAGCUAAAAAAUCAUGAAGUUGAAUAAUAAAAUCUAUGUCUAAAAUAACCCGUGAUCGAAAGUUCCUAUCAAAUACUUAGAAUUCUUUUGACUGCUUUCAAAUAUGUAACAGGUGAAUUUUGCAUGUUUAUCUGUCUUUUGAGUGUGGCAUAGUGAAGUGCAUUAUGAUUCUAUAUAAUAUGGGAUUGGGUAAAGCAUCUCCUAUCCUUCUGAACAAUUAAGUGCUACUAUUGGUGGAGGAAAUGCCCUAAGCGUCAGCCAUCUUUUUUUUCCUUAAAAGAUGUUGAACCGAGAAAGAUGCAAUCCCCCAUUUGUAGCCUUUUAACUUUUAUUCCCAAAAAAUAGCUAAGAUCCCGAAGAUCGUUCAAUGCGAAAGGGUUGUUUAACAACAACAGCAACUCUGGUACUUCUGAGUUAUCACUGCCUGUGAUGACUAUGUCAUCAUCAUAAACUAAAAUGUUUUGUAUAUCUCACAAAAAAUGAUGGAUCAGCUUUGGAGUUGGUGAAAUGCAGCUGCAGCAGAGAUGUUUUAAGCCUCUCAAACCGGGUCAUGUUUCAAUCAUAGAUAGUUACUGCAGUAUAUUUUUGUUAACUAAUUUUGAGAAGUUGUUGCCUGGUAUCAACUGAUCCUAAUUUCGUUCUGCUCCAUAAUGUUUUGAAUUCAUACAUAACCUUGUCAGAUUUAGGAUCACUUUUGCUUGUGAACUUGAUAAUAUAUAAUUGUUGCUGUAGGUGAAGGCUGAGAAAUAUUCAUCGGGAGGAUAUUGUGACGAUCAUGUUAACUCUCCAAGGACACCGUCAUACGAUCAAGAUGAAGAAGCAAAUUCUCUGGUAAACACAUUCUAUCCAAGUGGUGAUCUUAUUUUGGAAAGGUUGAUCUUGUAAAUUCCUACUAAGAUCAUAGACUCAUAGAUGAAGAGUACAAACGAGUUCCUAUUUGUUUCAAGAAUUAUUAACCUAAAUGGACAUGGGAACUUUGCAAGUCAUGUAUAUUAUUCUCUCAAGCAUUAAACAAUAUCAUCGUGCUUAAAUAUCAGAAAAUCAUGUCGUAUAAAUGUUUGAAAGACACUCUUGGCACGUUUUCUCUACUAAUAUUUAUAUGAUUUGUUCUUUUACCACCAACAGAACUUUUCUCAGGGCUAAAGAAUUAACUGUCUCAUAUUUAUGAUGCACAUGUUCUUUUCUUAAAAUAAAUAAAAUUCAACCAAUUUUACUUCAACAUAAAUUAGCAAGGAUAUCUUAGUUUUGUAUAUUGAGCAGUUUGGUAACGAGUUCAGCUCAGGAGAUUACACGGCAGGCAGUCCAGAUGACAUGUUUCUCAAAGAUUUAAAUCCCUGCCUAACGCCUAAUUAUGCCAAGACAAAGUCUAAGGUACCUGUAUUCAAACUUGAACCAAAUCUCUUUGCAUUUCCUUCACUAUCUAAAUCUUGAUUUUGAAUUCAGAAAUCUUAUAUUAGCUUAUACGAAUGGAUAAUAUUACAAUAUCUUAUACAAGUACUUGUAGGAAUUUGAUGCAUAUAAUUCCCCAGAUGAGGUGUUUAAGUCCAAUAUGCAAAAUUGCAAUGGAUUUAACACAUGUACCAGGAAGCUAUCUAAAAGUUCGGACCGUAGCCAAUGCUCAAAGACAGGAAGUGGUUCCAUUCGUGUAGCUUGGAGGUCAGAUGAAAGCAAAUGCAACUACAGAAAGCCAAUGAAUAAUAAACUUUAUCUAAUACUCAGGAACUUUAAAAUUUUUCUUGAGCAUUUUUACUUUGUUCCAGCAUCCUACUCUCCGUUGCAAAAAUUUGAAACCUUUGUAUGGUCAGAAUAUUCAGUUUUCUUGUGUUGUAUUGGAUAUACUGGCUAAAUUGCCAAUUUAAUCAUUUUAGC